UUUGUUUCAUUUCUUUGCCCUUAAGGAAUUUGGAGUUGCUUUUUUCAGUUUUCUUUCCUAUGAAAAUAAUCGAGAUGUUUAAUGUUCCAGGCCUCCAUGUAUUUUAUAUUCCUUCAUUUCUCUGCUUUGACAAAUGCUCACAAUCUGAUCAGCAGAAAGGUUAUAACAUUUGAAAAAGAAGUGGUUUAUUUUUGUUUUUUUUAAGUACAAUAAUUUUCGUUUGGAUAAAUGGUCUGAAGGGUGUUUGUGUUUGGCUGAGUUCAUGGAAUUUUCAAGCUAAUUUGGGAUUUAUUCUCAAUUUCAAGAUCAUUGUGGAUACGUCAGAAAUUAAUGAAAUAUAAAUGGUGGAAUGUGAUUUUCUUGUUUAAGAAAAGUUUUUCUUUGAAAAUGCGGGUGCACCCGACCUACCUUAUUGUGCUAUUUGGAACACAAAACAUAAGUACAGGUAAUUUAUUAACUAAAUUGUACACUUUUUGAUAGUUCAAGGAGGUGGUUUUCUUCUUUUAGGGUGUCAGCUUUGGAAAUAAGAUGGAUCUACAAGUUUUUAUGUCUCAUCCUUAUAGGGAACUUGAAAGCAUGGAUGCACUUAUCUCCAUGGAAUUUGGCUGCCUUGAAAUCAAAUUAAGCUUUAUGCAUCAUUUGGAUGCUGAGAAACAAAUGGAAAUAGAAAAUUCGGAAUCUGACAAGUUUUUGUAGGGCAACUGGAUCUAAUCUCUCACUUGAAGCUUAAUUGGGGCAAAUGCUGAUCAUCUUUGAACCCAUUGAAAGUUCUAAUCUGUGCACAAUUCUAAUGUUUUUGUUUUCUUCAUUUCUUUUUCAACUCUUCAUAAUAGAUGUUGAAAGUUAAAACCGAGCUUACGUAGUCCAUCCAAGUGGAUGCAUAUAAAUUUAACAGAAACUGAAAUUCGAAGAAACUUAUUUUCCCUUUUGUAAAUGGUGUUUAAAAAGUCUGUGUAGUUUGGUUUUUUUCCGGGAAGAUCAGAUGAUUUUGUGAUCAUUUUUCUAUUUGCCUUGUCAUCAUGAGAUUUAAAUAUUUUAUUUUCUUAUAUAAUGCAUGUCAGGGUACCAUUCUGGCCUUACAUAAAGCUGAUGGUCAUCUGCUGGCUGGUGAUACCGCAGUUUGAUGGUUCAUAUUAUGUCUAUCAACACCUAGUUCAUCCAUGCUUGUCCAUGGAUCCACAAGUUGUCAUGAAUUGGCUCUUCAAUGAAUCAAAAAAGAAGUUUCAUAGUAGAGAAACCUUUCUUGUUUCAGCAGACCAAUAUACUAAGGAGAAUGGACCUGAAGCUUUGGAGAAACUACUUGCUAGGAAGGUAUGCCAUUAUAAGUAGGAUUAUCAACAAGUCAAACAGAGUUUUAUUUGAAAUGUUCAGGUAAAAAAUGACUAUAGCAGGUCAUCUAAAAUCAUUUGGUCUAAAUUCAUGUAUAUAUCUAUAUAUAAUUGUGUUCUCAUUUUUUCACAUAUGCAUGUGCAUUUAGAUUUACAUAAUUAUAUAUGCAUAAUCAGAUUCAACUGUGAUAGCCCGGAAUUUAAUUCAGUAUUCGACUCUUCUGGGAACAUGUUGGUUAUGGUUUCUCUCUCACUGUCCUCUUCUUUACACAUGACUUUUCAGUUGAGGAGCACAAAGCCUAAUGUUGAAGUGAAAGAGAUCAAAGCACCUGCAGCACCGGAGAAAAAAGGGGAACAGGUAAGUACUCUAAUGUGGCUAUUUAAUUUCUAUGGAGGCAGAUCCCCAGAGAAAUGCUGUUCAUGUAAAUUACUGAUGCAUUUGAUUCAAUGGCCACGGUUUUAAAAGAAAAACCACUUUAUGUAUGUUUCUGUGAAUGAGAGAACAAGUUUAUGGAUUAAAUGAUAUUUUUUAUGGUGAAAUAAUCAAUAAUUUUCAAAAUAAUAAUACAUUCCUGCAUGUUUUUGCAAUUCAUGAAUUCCUUUUAUGAUUGAUUCUUCUCACCUUUUUUCUCACCUCAGUGGAAGUGUGAAGAGCCUAAUGUUGCUGAAAAGGAGAUCCAAGUAGUCAAAGUAACAGAGAUAAAAAAUGGGGGGGAUGAAGCAAAGAGGGUAAGUUUUGCUUUUUAUUUAUAAAGUAGGCUGUCUUCACACAAGGAUUAUUAUUAUUAUUUUAAGACAUGAAUGUUGAAUGAUUUUGGAAUUGUCCUUGAAUCAUGUGAAGUAUGAAUGGCCUAAUGCUGCUAAGGAGGAGGUCAAAGUGACAGAAGUAACACAGAGAACAUUUGGUGGUACAGCACAGUGGGUAAGGUUUCUUCUCAUAUUUAAAUGGCUCCUUAUAUUUCACUAGGAUUAAUUUUGCCCCUACAAACUAUUUGGCUACAAGUUAAGAGAGAGUUCCAGAUGCUGAUAAAUCUGAGACAUAAGUAAUGAACGAAUUUAGACACAUGCACAACUCUUGUGUGAAACACAAUGAGAGUGGAAAAUAGCUAAGUUCAAAAAUGGCCAAAUACUAUUUUGUAGUUCCCCCUACUGCUUAAGUAAUUUUUGUCAUCCUUUGUGAAUGGAAAAUGCAGUCCCUUCAGUAAUUCCAUUAUAUUCAUGACUUGGUGAAGCAUAUAACCAUUAGUGUCUUACCCUAAGUCGACCUUUAAUGAUGAUCCAUUGAGAUGGGUCUGACUUUUGUCAACCCUCUUAUUCCCUUGAUCAUAGAGGUGAAACUUAGGGGGCUUAACCCACUUUUCAAUCUUAUUGGAUAUAUGGCACGUGGUAUCCUCUUCAUCUUGAAAGAGUGAAGUGGUCAUACUCUUUCCUCUGAGUCCAUUGUAGCCAUGCACUUCUGGCUUAUUGGGCUGAGUGAAAGGAUUCCCUUCUGCUUCAAAUCAUAGAGAGAUAUGCCAUGGUCAGCCUCUUUAAUUCAAGGGAUUGAAGUACUCAAAUCCAUUUCUCUGUAUCCAUCUUAGUUCUGCAUUCAUGUCUCAUGGUUAACCAAGAAGAUCCAGCCUCCAUCCAUGAGAUCAGCAUCUGCAGGUUUAUGACACCACCCUUCCUUGGCAUAGGAAAGGGAUCAUUAAGCCGUGUGUCGGAUGACAGAAGUCAUCAUUCAGGUUAUCUUGAGAACUAAGGAAGUUGGAAUUCUAAUUAUUGCAUAUGGUUCUUGAUGUUUAGCCAAUAUACUAUAGGAUUUUAAGCAUCAUGCUCACGUGCAUUGUGGUUGUUUAUCAGCUAUAUGGUUUAUCAAAAUGAGGGACUGAUUAUGGUCAUAAGUACCUUUUUCCCAUUAAUUUCUUGCAUGUGCUCUGCUGAGAUUAUGUUUUUGACAGUCCAAAUCAGGGCAAACCAACAAACAGCUUUAUGUUAACUUUUACAAACUGCCACAUUUUCAGGUUAAACAAACAGAGAUAAAUCUUGGUGAAACUAGAAGUAAUACAACCUGUUCUGUGGAGAUAAAAGAAAGGGCAGCAGUACUGGUGGCUGCAGAAAUUGAGGCAUGUAGAGACGAUAGAACCCCCAAGAUACCUCUUCAUGAGAAAGUCCAGAAAGAGUGGGCUUGUGCUGUAUGCCAGUUCACAACCCAAACUGAAGCGACCUUCAAUUCCCACCUUCAAGGGAAGAGACAUCAGGCCAUUUCUGAGCAGCUGAGAGCCAAAAACCAGGCAACCAAAACCAAUUGUUCCCCAUCUGCUUCAAUGGCCAAGAAAUCUGAUCAGUCCACCAAAGAGGAGCAACCAAAGUGUACUUCCAACAAUCUGAAUUCCAAAAACAAUGGAAUCUCAGCUGCUUCAACAGUGAAGAAACUUGAUGAGACCAAAGAUGAUGAGCAACAAAAGUCUGCAUCUAGCAAUGGACCAAACCAGAAGAAUAACAAAAAGCAAGAGGUACAGACCAAUGAGCAAGGCCAUCAGAAGAACUCAAGGCAAACUGGUGAUGGAAUGAAAGAGUUGAGAUCAUGGUGCAAUAUCUGUAAUGUAAGCUGCACAAGGGAGCUUGACCUGGCCUCUCAUCUCAAUGGAAGGAGGCACUUUGAUAGGAUAAAGCAGCUGUCUGAAUUAUGGUGCAGUAACUGCAAUGUAAGGUGCAACAGUGAGGUUGAUAUGGCCUCUCACCGAAAUGGGAGGAGGCACUUGGAGCAGCUGAAGGAACAGUUAGGAUUAUGGUGCAGUAUCUGUAGUGUGAGUUGCAACAGCAAGGUGGACAUGGAUUCUCACCUAAAUGGGAAGAGUCACUCGGAUCAGAUCAAGGACCAGUUAAGAUUAUGGUGUGGGGCAUGUAAUGUAACCUGCAAGAGUGAGCGCAACAUGGCCUUUCAUCUGAAUGGGAGGAAGCACUUAGAGAAGAAGGGGAAUACCUGAUUUGCUCUUCAGAUUAUUGAUACUUACAAAUGGUUUUAGUUAGAAGCAUACAGACCAGUGGGUGGUGCUCACAGAUGCCUCUAUUUUGUUGUAUGAAGUAAAAACAGUAUUUCCAUGUCCAGAAAUCAACCACUUGUUUAGUGCAUGCAUGGCUGGUUCAAAAUUAAACCUAAUUGUGAAUGACUAGGAGCAGGGAGGGAAAAAUUGAAGUGAAGAAUGUAAGAUUAUGGCUUCAUUUUUAUUUUUUCCUCUUCUGAAAAUUGUAAGAUUGUGUUAGGAGGAGCUGGAAUGGGUUCAAAUCAGGAAUUAAGACCCAGUUCCAAGACAUGGAAAGUGUCUUUAGAUUAUGUUAAGUUAUUUCCAUUUUUUUUUCUUUAUUUACGGUAAGAGGGAGCAUAAGGAACGAAAAUGAAUAUUUUUUUUUUUUCGAAUAAAAAUGAAUUUGAUAAUUUCAAUUAUUGUGUUUGGAUGUAUUUCGGAAUGUAAGAUUAAAAUAAUUAUUUGUUUUCAUUUUAGUGUUUGAUAAUAAUGAAAGUAUGAAUUAAAAAAUAAAUUGAUAAUAAUAUUCUUAUAUUUAAUUUAAAAUAUAUAUAUAUUUUUUAUUUUAGAAGAAUAUGGGUUAAAAGUUUUUUUUUUUUUUUAAAUAAUAAGCUUAAGAAAAAUAAUUUUUACUCAAUAAAUAAAAUUAAUCAUACAAAGUCAUAAAAACCAAACCAAAAUAUAAGGGUAAAAUAAUAAUUUUAAACUAUUCAUUUAAGUUAUCCAAAUGCAUUCCGACUCUUCAUUCUCUUAUACCAAAUACCGUCUUUAAGUAUUUGUCAAACUUAUUUUUUUGCAAAAUAUCAAUAUUUUACUAAUAUUUUUAUCGAUUAUUUGCCGAUAUUUAUCGCCACGUCACCAAUUCUUUGAGUUUGACUUUCAAAAUUUUGAAAUGAUCUUUGAAGUCCAGUUCAGCCCAAAUCACUACACCCAUGAACUCAUCUACAAAAGGGAACGGCUGGGCCACCACACUAAUAUGGCCCAUACAUGGGACCUCGUAAAAGAAUACCCAUCUUCAAAAAUAGGGACCAUAUUAAAUUAUUAAUGUAGCUAUAGGAAGCAUUUGAGGACAAGGGUUAUGAUUUUUCCCUUUUCUUUUUCUCCUUAAUUUUCACAUCACCCAACAACACCACUCUUAAUUCACACAAAUUUGAAGGUUUGGAAUGAGACUUCUUCAUAAUUAUAUUGUAAUUAUGUUAUAAUAACCAUGUCGUUUUUGGAUUUAUUUAUUCAGUCCAUCUAAAUCUUUUGUUUAUUCGCGUCAAAACAAUAUAUUUAUAAUCGAAUCCAUUUAUGACAUGUUCAUCUUUUAUAAAUUCAUUAAUUUUAUAUAUUUAAAAUUUAUAAAAGUUAAAUAUAUUUUUUCAAUUAUGAAUAUCAUAUUACUAAAAUAUUAAAUAACUAAUUAACUUGAAAUGUUUUAUAUUUCAUUAAUUAUUUUAUAAUUACAAAAUUAAGUGAAAUAAUAAAUAGGUUAAAAUAUAUAUUUUAUUUUAGUUAAAAAUUAUAAAUUGUUAUUGAGACACAUAACUACUAAAAUUCUACCCAUUUGACUAUCAAACAAACAACUUAAGUUUUUAGUCAUAAUUUAAGCUUAUGAUAAACUCUAUUUACAAAAAUUAGAAACCAAAAUCAAAUUCUUCCUAGACUCAAAAAUAUAAAGACAAUCUUUUAACUUUAGAAGAGAACUAUCAUCUAAGAUAAGGGUAACACAUCCCAUUGCCUGUACAACAAUUCUUGCUUCAAAAGCUAAUGUUAGGUACAUAUCCCUAUCAUUCAACCUUUCCCUUAGCUAAAACCCCUAUAAAGAAUUAUAAACAUGAUCAAUGGCUCCAAAAUUUAUCCACCAAGAGUUAGUGGAAUCUAAUACUAAACAUGAUUCAACUAAAAGAGAAUGAUGCAUACCUGACUGUCUCUUUAAGAACUAAGGGCAUUCCUUUUUCUAAUGGCCUUUUUUACCACAAAGGAAACAUUUGUCAUGACCCUUACUCUUCUUCUUCUUCUCUUGCCCUUGAACUUUCCCUUCUGUUUGGUGAAUUCUAUAAUGUUCUUAUUUUGGUUAGAAGAACCUAAAGAACACUUAACUGCCAUAUAAAUACCUCUCUGAUCCUUGAGAAUUCCCUCAAUCAUUUUGUGUUCUCUCAUCAGUUCGGUUAUAGUUUAAGAAAAAAAUUGUUUUUUUUAUGUGACUAAACUUGGAAUGAAUGUCCAAGUUGCAUACAUACUCGGGUUGAGAUCAAGUCAUAAUGUAGUUUAAGAAAAAUAUUUUUUAUUUUUUAUUUUUAUUUUUUAUCUGAUUGAACUUGGAAUGAAUUUCUAAGCUACUUACGUAUCCAGGAUGGGAUCAAGUUCUAACAUAGUCACAAUGCAGUUCAAGAAUUAUUUUUUUUUCUUUUUUUGUGCUCCAACUUUUGCCAAGACUAAAGAUCUUAAUUUUGCGAGCAUGUCCUAACUUUUGCCUAGGUCGCCUUUCCAAGUUUUCAAUUUAGCAAACUAGGUUUUUUUUUUUCUUUUUAGUUCUCUAACUUUUGCCAAGACUAAAGAUUUUAAUCUUGUAAGCAUGUCAUAACUUUUACAUAAGUCGAAUUUUUAGGUUUUCAUAGUGCUGGAUUUUUUUUUUGUUUUUUGUUUUUUUUUUGUGUCGUAGUCAAUUUAAGCUCAUAUGGGUUGGAAGCGAUGUGUAGUUUGUUGGGAUUGAGCCCUUAAAAGCAAGACAUGAUGUAAUAAAGUUAAACUUAACUAUCCCCUUACUAUCCUUUUGGUGUAUCAACAUUGAUUUAAACAUUCAACCCAUAUCUCUUACAUUGUAUAUGAUUUAGAAGCAUUAGGAGUUGUACAGAAGAUACAAGUUAUGUGUUCUUUGUAAGUAGGUGAGUUAUCCAUAGUCAUUUCAUGGAUUUGGGCAAUCUAGUAGAGACUAUAGUGCACCACCUCCUAAUUGAAGGGAUGACUUGUCUUGGCCGUUGGGAUGAGUUUCCUAUGGUGAGCGUACUAGUGUAUAUGAUGCACAUUGGAUAGGACCUAUGACAAAUCAUGAUGCAAGGCUAUCAAUUGUCAUGAUUCACCAAGUUACUAUACUACAUGGACUCUCAACCUUGAGAGGACAUUGAACCUGUGUCAAAAUCAAUAGAAAGUUUUGACCUAUGGGCGAGACCCUAAAGUAGUCAUAUAUCCUUAUGAAUUAGGUCAUUGUUGAUGGAGGCUAGUGAUAAUAGGCAUUCUCAAUAGAGGCACCAUGAUAUGUCAUGCGAUUGAGAUGGUGUGUCCCUUUGGGUGAUCCAAGGAACAUGUGAUCAUGAAAUUUGUGGCCACAGUAAUUCCUUUAGUGGAAUUUGACAUAUGCUCAAGGAUUUGAGAGAUAAUAUUGAUAGGUGAUAACACUAUCUUGUUAGAUUAUAGACACCAGUUUCAUGGGGAAUCUGCAUGUAGUGGAUAGUAGGUCAUGAAUGCGAGCUUUGUCUCGUUGUUAUUUACAUAAGGUACUGGAGUGUAGUUGAUUCUCUUUAGUAGAAUGUUAAAUCAACUUCAAAAUUGGAUUAUGAGGGAGCCAGUACUCCUAUGGGUCUCAAUGGUCCCCACUCUAAGCUUAUAUACCAUGAUGACAUAAUUUAUGAGGGUUGGAUUGGCUUUAGGUUCAUUCUUAUGCAUAAGGGCAUUUUGGUAAUUACUCAAGGUUGCAUAGGGGAUAAUAAAUAAGGUCUCUAGAUUGGACUAAUUGAUUAAUUAGAUGGCCUUAUGUGGUUAAUUAAUCAAUUAAGACAUGUUAGGGCUAGAUUAAGUGACUCAAGCCUUGAUGGGUUCAAGUCACUUAAGCCUAGUGGGUAACCGUAUAAAUACCCCCUUAUGGGUUAGGGUUUUCUAAUGACUUUUAGUUAGUCAUCUUCCACUUUUAGAAAAAUAGAGAGAGUCAAAGCUUCCUCCUUUCCACUGCCCACACUUUGGAAUGCCAAGAUCGUGGAUCGAGUCAUCGAACGAAAGAUCUUGGGUGUAUGAGACCUUCGAACUCUUUAGGCUUCUUCUUCGUUGGAUGGAUUUUGAUCUAGGAACAUCUAGAUCACAUGUAUGUGUUAUAAAAUUUGGUUAAUUCAACCUAAGGUAAUCAUCCUAGAGAAGGGGCGAAUAGGGUGAUGAUCUUUUUUUGAAAAUUUAAAUUAUGUGAAUGCAAGAGACAAUUAUAUGCAAAAUAUAUAGCAAAACCAUAUAAAAACAAUUGCAUAUAAAGUAAAAGGGUAAGGAAGAGAGAAAAUAAACACAAGAUUUUUAUAGCGAUUCAGUGCAACCCGACCUUCAUCCAUUCUCCUCUAGCUUCAAUCCCAAACUUGAGGUUCCACUAAUUUAAGGCUUCCAACCCAAGCCUUCAAGCAAUACAAUCGGAUUAUGGUUCCAAUCAAACCUCUUGAAAUUUUAGUUCUAAGCACAUUUUACAAUCUUCAAGAGAUACCUCACUCUUAAACAACUCCUUAAGUGAUACCCCACACUUGAGAAUCCCUAAGUGAUACCUCACACUUAGAUUUUUCAUCUCAAAGAUUUAUAAAUGAAGAUAGGAAAUUGUUAGCCCAAGGGCUCUCCUAAUCGGGUUUUGAUGAUAAAAAAUCAUGGUUAAAUGACUAAUUGGUUUAAUGGUUAAGAAUCUCAGGCAUAAACUUGAAAAUUCAUCAAAAGACCAAAUGGAUACAAGAUCGAGACGUUUGGAAGACUUGUGAUCAUAGGAAACUAAUGUAAGAUGAAUGCAUGAGUACACUUAGGAUUUUCAUACCGUUUCAUGCAAUUUAGAAAACUCGGUUUAUUCUUUAAAACUUCAAUUUCAUUAAAACUUGAGUUUUAACAAAUGUACCUUAGGCAAAAUGUUUUAAAAUUGGCAUAAUAAUUCACCUAAAAACCUUGCUUAAGUGUUAGAAAAGAAAGGAAUUGAAAAAUAUAGGUUUUCGGGGCCAAAAGGCUCAACCGAUCGAGGCUAUGACCAACCUGCUCAACCGGUUGGGGAAUCGGUCGACCGGUUGCCCCUGUCCGGUCGAGGUUCGAUAGAGGGAUGCACAAAAUUUUCUUUCUCUCCCAGUAGCCUUCUCUUCUCGGUCGAGGUCUGGUUGAGGACCGAUCAAGGUUCGAUCGAGGCAACGGUAACCUGUCAAGCAUUAAAUGUUCCAACGGCUAGUGAACCGGUCAACCCCUAGCUCGACCAGUUGAGGUUACCUUUUGCUGUUUUUGGCUCCCGAGCUUAGAAACCUAUAAAUUGAGAGCUCCACUUUAUUUAUUGACGAGAGAACACUUGCAAUCAAUUGUCUACCUACCUGUUCUUGAUCAAAAAACUCUCAUUUCUUUCUUUGUGCAUUAAAUCAUCACUUGCAUAUCCUUUAGUGCACUCUUAUGUGUCAUCCUAGCUUUGUCUUAUAUUUGAGCUAUCCUUAAGCUAGGUUGAGGGAUUCAUUCUUGUAAAAACUGAGUGUCAAAGCCUUCAAGAGGUUUAAAUCUUGAAGAGAUUGUGUAAGAGCCCAUUGGAGCCAGAAUCCAAGUGUAAGAAGAUUGGAAGCUUGGUUGAAGCUUCAAGUUAGUGGAACCCUCACUCGGUUAAAAGAUUGAGGAGAGUGGAUGUAGGGAAGGAAGUGUCGAACCACUAUAAAACCCAAGUUUGAAUUCUCUAACUCUAUCUCUUUAUUUUGCUUAUAUUGUGCUUGAACUCGUUGUGAUUGAAAAGAAUUUAAAAAACCCAAUUCAUCUCCCUCCCCCCUUUUAGGUGUUUUUCUUAAUUAAGCAUAGCAUUUAUUUUCUCAAUUGGUAUCAGAACUAGACCUCUUGUUUUUUUUUUUUUUUUAAAAAAAAAAAUUAAUCGUCUAAGAGGAUAUGACUAUUGCAUCAAGCUCAUCUCAAGCUAAAAUUUUUUCAAAACAUAGAGCUUCAUUCUUUACGGGAUCCGACUAUCCCUAUUGGAAAACUAGAAUGACUUGGUACUUACAAUCUACUGAUUUAGAUGUAUGAGACGUCAUUGAAGAUGGCCUAACUUUUCCCACUAAACUAGUUGAUGGAGUUUUGGUUCCAAAACCCAAGCAAGAAUGGAAUGAGCUUGAUAGAAAAAACUUUCAAUUAAAUGCUAAAGUCGUUUUUACUUUGCAAUGUGCUAUGGAUAGAAAUGAAUAUAAUAGAAUAUGUCAAUGCAAAUCGGCUAAAGAAAUUUAGAGGUUGCUUGAAAUAACUCAUGAAGGAACUAAUCAAGUGAAAGAGUCAAAAAUUAAUUUACUUGUUCAUAACUAUGAAUUGUUUUCAAUGAAAAAAAAUGAUACUAUUGUUGAGAUGAUUACUAGGUUCACCGACAUUGUCAAUGGUCUUGAAGCUUUGGGAAAAACCUACAAGGAAUCCGAGAAGGUGAUGAAGAUAUUGAGGUCUUUCCCAUCAAAGUGGCAUACCAAGGUCACUGCAAUUCAAGGAGCAAAAGACUUGACUAAGCUACCUAUGGAAGAGCUCAUAGGGUCAUUAAUGACAUAUGAGAUCAAUUUGACAAAGAAGCUACAAGAGGGUAAAGACAAAAAGAAGAAGAACAUAACCCUCAAAGCUAUAACCAAGGAAGAAGAAGAUGUUGAAGAAGAAAAACCAAGUGAUGAAGAUGAUGAUUUAGCCCUCAUCACAAGAAAGCUCAACAAAUACAUGAGAGGUGAAAGGUUUAGAGGAAGAAAGUUCACCUCUAGAAGAGAUCCUUCUAAAAAGGAAUCUUCAUCCCAUGGUGACAAGGAGAAAUGAGAAGAUAAAAGAGAUUUGAUAUGCUUCAAAUGCAAAAAACUGGGACACAUUAAAUAUGAUUGUCCACUCUACAAGAGUGAAGCCAAGAGAAGAAUGAAGAAGGCAAUGAUGGCCACUUGGAGCGAAAGUGAAGAAUCCUCCGAAGAAAAAAAGGAGAAGGAAGUAACAAACAUGUGCUUCAUGGCAAUAGAUGAUCUUGAUGAGGUAAACUCUAACUUUAGUGAUGAAGAUAUGUAUGAUGUUUUUGAAGAAUUAUAUGAGGAUUUUGAAAAACUUAGUUUGAAAAAUAAUUCUCUUAAAAAUAAAAUUCAAGAACUUGAAAAAGAACUUGAAGAAGUAAAAGAAAAAGUUUCAAUUGUUGAAAUAUCUAAAACUCAUCUUGAAAAAGAAAAUAAGAUUUUGAGAAGUGAAAAUGAGAUUUUGAAAAAGAAAAAUGAAUGGUUGACCUCCUCUCUUUCAAUUUUCUCUUGUGGAAAAAAAUAUUUUGAAAUGAUCUUAGUUAGCCAAAAAUGUAUUUUUGACAAACAAGGGUUAGGAUUCAAAUCUUCAAAAAAUCAAAAGUAUUUUAAAAACUACUUUGUAAAAGAAUCCGCAAGUGUAAGUCAUUCUACCACUUGCAACUUUUGUAGAAGAGGAGGAGACAUUAGUAGUACAUGUCUCUUAAGAAAUGGUUCUCAAAAGAAUUCAAAUGCUAAAGCUAAAAAGGUUUGGGUUGAGAAAUCCAAAGUCACUAACCCUCAAGGACCCAAAAAGAUAUUGGUACCUAAAUCAACUUAAAUUUUAUUUUGUAGGGUUCAAAGAAGGAUAAGUGGUUCUUGGAUAGUGGAUGCUCAAGACACAUGACCGGGGAUGAAUCCAAGUUUGUUUUCCUUACAAAGAGAAAGGGAGGAUAGGUUACCUUUGGAGACAAUGCAAAAGGAAGGAUCAUUGGUCAAGGCAACAUUGGUAAUGACACAUCCUCUCUUAUUGAAAGUGUUUUAUUAGUGGAUGGUUUAAAACAUAAUCUUUUGAACAUAAUUUAACUUUGUGACAAAGGUUUUAAAGUGAUUUUUGAAGCAUUUCAUUGCAUUAUCAAAGAUAUUCAAAAUGAUAAAACCAUCUUCAUGGGCCAUAGAUGUGAUAAUUUUUAUGCUAUAAAUAUUUCAAAUAUGAUGGCCAUGGUAAAUGUUUUUCAAGCAUGCAUGAUCAAAGUUGGUUGUAGCAUAGGAGGUUGGGACAUGCUAACAUGGACCUCAUUUCCCAACUCAACAAAGAAGCACUUGUUAGAGGCCUUCCCAAAAGAAAUUUUCAAAAAGACAAAGUUUGUGAAGCUUGUCAAAUGAGAAAGCAAAUCAAAAACUCUUUUAAAAACAAAAAUUUCAUUUCAAUAACUAGGCCUGCAUAUGGAUUUAUUUGGUCCCUCUAGGACACCAAACCUUGGAGGAAAAUCUUAUGCAUUUGUUAUUGUGGAUGACUUCUCUAGAUACACUUGGGUCUUAUUUUUAAGUCAAAAGAAUGAAGUCUUUUUUGAGUUUUCAAAGUUUUGCAACAAGGUUCAAAAUGAAAAAGGUUUUACAAUUUCUUGUAUAAGAAGUGAUCAUGGAGGAGAGUUUGAAAAUAUUGAUUUUGAAGACUAUUGCAAUGAGCAUGGUAUUAACCACAAAUUUUUGGCUCCUAGAACUCCUCAACAAAAUGGGGUAGUUGAAAGGAAAAAUAGAACUCUUCAAGAAAUGGCUAGAACCAUGCUAAAUGAAAACAAUUUACCAAAAUACUUUUGGGCCGAAGCAAUUAACACUUCUUGUUAUGUUUUAAAUAGAAUUUUAUUGAGGCCUAUUCUUAAAAAAACUCCCUAUAAGCUUCGGAAAAACAAGAAACCCAACAUUAGCUAUUUCAAAGUCUUUGGGUGCAAAUGCUUUAUAUUAAAAACCAAAGACAAUCUUGAAAAUUUUGAUGCAAAAUCGGAUGUUGGAAUUUUUCUUGGUUACUCAACUUUAAGUAAAGCCUUUAGAGUUUUUAACAAAAGAACCAUGGUUGUUGAGGAGUCCAUCCAUGUUAUUUUUUAUGAAUCUGACAAUUCUCUCCAAGAAAGAGAGAGCUUUGAUGAUGAUUUAGGCUUGGAGACCUCCAUGGGAAAAUUACAAAUUGAAGAUAGAAGGCAACAAGAAGAAGUUGUAGAGGAUCCCAAGAAAGAAGAAUCACCUUUGGCACUACCUCCUCCUCAACAAGUGCAAAGUGAAUCAAGCUAAAACCUUCCUAAAGAUUAGAAGUUUGUCAUCAACCACCCACAAAAUCAAAUUAUAGGUAAUCCAUCUAGUGGGGUAAGAACUAGAUCAUCUCUUAGAAACAUUUGCAAUAAUCUUGCUUUUAUCUCUCAAAUUGAACCUAAAAAUAUAAAUGAUACUCUAGUUGACGAAAAUUGGAUGAUUGCUAUGCAAGAAGAGUUAAAUCAAUUUGAAAGAAGUGAAGUAUGGGAAUUAGUGCCAAGACCUCAAAAUCAAAGUGUUAUUGGAACUAGAUGGGUCUUUAGAAAUAAAAUGGAUGAAAAUGGCAUAAUUAUAAGGAAUAAAGUAAGAUUGGUAGCCCAAGGUUUUAAUCAAGAAGAAGGGAUAGAUUAUGAAGAAACCUUUGCUCUCGUAGCUAGAUUGGAAGCCAUUAGGAUGCUACUUGCCUUUGCACGUUUUAAAGACUUUCUUUUAUAUCAAAUGGAUGUGAAAAGUGCUUUCUUAAAUGGCUUUAUAAAUGAAGAGGUAUAUGUUGAACAACCACCCGGUUUUCAAAGUUUUAACUUUCCUAAUCAUGUUUUUAAACUUAAAAAUGCACUUUAUGGUUUGAAACAAGCACUUAGAGCAUGGUAUGAAAGAUUGAGUAAAUUUCUUUUGAAAAAGGGUUUUAAAAUGGGAAAAAUUGACACAACUCUUUUCAUAAAAAUAAAGAAAAUGACAUGCUCUUAGUGCAAAUAUAUGUUGAUGAUAUCAUUUUUGGAGCUACUAAUGUCUCUCUUUGUGAAGAAUUUUCUAAAUGCAUGCAUAGUGAGUUCGAAAUGAGCAUGAUGAGAAAACUUAACUUCUUCCUUGGACUUCAAAUCAAGCAACUAAAGGAAGGAACCUUCAUCAAUCAAGCAAAGUAUAUAAGAGAUCUCCUCAAAAGGUUCAAUAUGGAGGAAGCGAAAACAAUGAAGACUCCAAUGAGUUCAUCCAUCAAGCUUGACAAGGAUGAGAAAGGUAAGUCCGUUAACUCAACUAUGUAUAAAGGCAUGAUAGGUUUUUUGCUAUAUUUGACCGCUAGUAGACCUGACAUCAUGUAUAGUGUAUGCUCGUGCGCUAGAUUUCAAUCUUGUCCUAAAGAAUCUCACUUAAGUGCCGUAAAAUGAAUUCUUAGAUAUUUAAAAGAGACAAUGGACAUAGGCCUAUGGUAUCCUAAGAGUGAUAACUUUGAAUUAAUUGGAUUCUUAGAUGCCAACUUUGCCAAUUGUAAAGUUGAAAGGAAAAGCACUAGUGGCACUUGUCAUUUCCUAGGACACUCACUUGUUUCAUGGCAUAGUAAUAAGCAAAAUUCGGUAGCCUUGUCAAAGGCGGAAGCAGAAUACAUAGCAGCUGGUUUAUGUUGUGCACAAAUCCUUUGGAUGAAACAAACACUUAGUGAUUUCAAUUUGAUUUUUGAGCAUGUUCCUAUUAAACGUGAUAACAUUAGUGCCAUAAAUAUUUCAAAAAAUUUGAUGCAACACUCUAGGACUAAGCAUAUAGAGAUUAGACACCAUUUUCUUAGAAAUCAUUUACAAAAAGGUGACAUUACACUUGAAUUUGUAAGCACAAAAGAUCAACUUGCCGAUAUUUUUACAAAACCUCUAAGUGAAGAGCAAUUUUUUUAUAUUAGAAGACAACUAGGGGUGAUUUCUUUAUAAUCAAAUGAUUACUUGAUGAAUUCUUGAUUGAAUAUACCUUAUGAUUGCGUGAAUUUCACAUCAUAUGCAUCAUAUAGAAAUAAUCUUAGGAAAAAGGUCAAAUUUUGACCAAAAAUCAAAAUUCCCUUGGCAUUGGAUAUCAAAAAUUGGGGAUUUCAACUGAAAAGGGCAAGGGAAGGAUCACGAGACAAGCAAAAGCCAAAAAAUUAGAGCGUUGACCAUUGACCAUUGACCAUUGACCAAGCGGUUCGUCGGGGCUGGGAAUUUAAAGAGACCCCCGCGCUUUAUUUUUUUCACUAUUCCCCUCAAUUCCUUGAAAACUCUUCACAUACCUGCUUCCAGAGACCACUUUGGGUUGAAUCUUGGACCAUUUGAAGGGCUUGGAGUUGUUUUUGGGACGUUUUUAAGACUAGGGUUUCAAUCUGAAACCUAAGGUUUCCAUUUUUAGGAGCAAUUCCUCUCAGACCACGUGCAUCAGCCAGGCUCAACUCCUUCUCCUUGCGCUUAGGGCUUCCGGUUGGAUUUCAUUCUCUCUUGUUUGGUUUCAUUCUCUCUUCAAACUUCUUUUUCUUCAUUUUCCGUUCUUUGGAUGGCGCCUAGGAGAGAGACAACUACCUCUAGGGCUCAGGGCAAGCGCCCUGCUGAGCCAUCUCAACCUGAGCAGAUGGAGGCUCACCGAAAGGCGAGGUAUGACACGACCCUCUGUGGACCCGCAUUUUUCACGUGCGUCCCCACUCGAUCGGCGAGACUCGCUUUUUAUUUGUGAAAAAUUGAUCUUUAAAAAAAAAAAAGUUGGAGUCGCCACCUAUUUUAUUUUUAUUUUGAAGGGAAAAUAAAACAAGAAAGAAAAACCCUAAAAAGUGACUCCAUGGUUUUGGAAAAAGCAUGUCUUUGAGAAACCCGAGUCUAAGUCCGGGGAUCAGGUUACUUAUUGGGAAGGUACCUCUAGGAGGUAGCACCCCUCUAAGCCCUAAAAAGGUCUCUACUGACUAAGUUAAGGGAAGCGUGGCAAUUAAAUGGUUGAUCAUGGAUACCUAAGUAGGCUAGGUGAUUCCAAAAACAUAACAUAUCAAACAAGAUCAAAUCACAAUUAAGGAGAGUUAAAAAUGCGUACCUGGACGGCUUCCCAAACGCUAUCAUAAAACAUAAGAGAUUAGUUUGGAGAUACAUCACACAACAUUUGUUUUACUCAAGCAAAUCAGGCAUAUAUCAAGACAUUCAAGAAUCACGUCAAAUAUGGAUAUGGUCAUCAAUGACAUACAAGUCCAUAGAAUUCUCGAAAAAAGGAUGAAAAUGAGCGUACCUGGAUAGCAAGCUAGAGCGCCUUUAUGGGAAACAAGGUUAACCCAAUAACAAAUUCAAGCAUAUCUCCAAGAAGAAUCAAAAUCAAUUGAAUACCAAAAAAUCAUCUUUAAAAUCAAUAUUAGUGAAGAUAUUAGGAAUGUAGGACCCCCCACCAAAGUCCAUAUUACUUUUGCACGAAUUGAUUCAAUGAAUUCCAUUAUUUGGAAUCGUGAAGCUUAUUCAUGCUUGUCAAAAAUCGAGAAAAUCAUAAAAUAGUUGAAGAUGAUGAAAAUGCAUGCCGGAAGGGAAAAUGGCAGCAAAUAGUAUGUUAAAAUUUGGAUUUUAUGCCUAGAGACUUCUCAGGAAUUUUAAAUAAAACUAGAAUUAUUUUUUACGGGAAAAGAUUUUGAAAUCCAGAUUUAAAAUGUGUAAGAUAACAAAAAGAAUAAGGAGAAACAUUAGGAGUAUGGUGUGUGGCAAGGUGACCACUAUAUGAGUGAGGUCUGGAGGUGCACUUGAGACUAAAUGGUUGAAACAGAUUGCAUAGGGAGCAUUCUGUACACCACUAGUUGUCUAGAAAGAAACUGAAUGUGUUCGUUUCCGAGCCCAUGUUCACCGGAGUUUAGGGUGCCACCUCAUUUAAAAAAAAGGGCUUCAAUACAACUCUAGUUUCUCAAGAUCACAAUCUGAAUUAUCAACAGAAGCUUCUGGUGAAGACAUAAUGCUCAAUUUCAGAUUAAAUUUCCUGUUCUAUAACUCGUUUUCUCUGAAUUUUCCUUUAAUGUCUGUGCUUUCUGAUCAUAUAAGUUGCCCGUCUGGUUCCUUGUUUGAGACUCUGCCGAACCUGGAAUAAUGCUUCUAGGUCUAGCUGAGGGGACCUACACCCCUUUUCAUGGAACCUGAGGCAUGCGUUAAUUCGAAACUCUAUUACUUUGCCUUCCAUUGCUUUAAGUCUUUUAGCCAUCUCAGCCACAAAUCUGGAGAUUCAUUUAUCUUUCUUUAAUAUUCAAGCCAAAUGUCAAUCCAGUCCGCUUAAACCCCGAUUUGAAUGAUUUUGAACCCUCUUUUUGCGCUCUUGAUGUUUUUCAUUUCAACUACAAUGACAAACCACCCUUCGAAAAAAGAAGAAAUCUGGACCAAAUCCUAAACUUUUAAUUCACAACUUCUUGAGCCUGACUCUGAGUCGACACAAUUGAAUCACCUUGGAUAAGAGUGCUUCUAAAAAUCCUCCAGAAUGUAGGCACAAGUGCAGCGUUCGUUAAUAAUGUCCAUGGCAUGUCACAAAGGAAAGCUUCUUUUUUUAUAAUCAUCAACGCAAAUUGACUCUUAAUGGACCCCAUUGCCAGCGUCACAUCAAAGACUGGACAGAUAGGGAGAUUCACAAUUUCGAUAGCUAUCUUUGCAUUAUUUGGGCAGGGCAACCAUGUUAUGGAUAUAUAGCUCGAAGGUGACUUGCGUUUUGUUCUGUAUCAUCAGUAGCAGCCUCAAACCCGCCAUAGGUUUGAGUGGUAUUAAAAGACUCAACAUGAUCAGCUGUAGGUGAUCGAGCAGCCAAUUCAUCAUUGAGCAAAUCAAUAAAAGCUUGGAUAUCGUUGCCGAGUGGCCUAAAAUCAUUAGAUAAAUCAUUAAAGUCAUUAAGUAUAUUACUGAUCUCCAUGAAAACCCUCCUCCUUGCUUCUGUAGAGCGAACACAAGCUGCCACUAAAAUUGGUUAGCCCGGAUUGCUAAUUUAUGCAUCCAAUCACCAUCGAUUUCUCUUGUCCUUUUUGGAACUUCUGGAAUAUGGAUGAAACCUGUGAAGAAUGUGGUGGAAUUGCGGUCUGCAAGCACGAAGUUUCCAGUUACUUGAAAUGCUUCGAAAUCAUGGUUCCAGUUUACAUCUACAGGCAUUGGCUCAAGUAAGUUCGUAUCAGCUUGGGUGGCUUUCGAUUCCAAAAGCUCUAACAACAACAUGAUUCUCAAAUAUCCGAACAGCAAUGUCCAAAAUUGAAUCAAGAAAAUUCUUUAGCAGCAGUAUGUGUUGUCCCUGCUGGAGCCAUCACAGGAGCAACUAAGCUAACUGCCAAAAAGGUUCUAGCCAGUGAGAUCCCAUUCUGACGUUUCGGUUUUGGUGACUGAUAGCUUUCUAAUUGUCCCUGCAAAUAAUGUAAACCAAUAGUUCCAUUGAAUGGAUUGUCAUCCAGAGCAAGGAUCCGAAUACUUGUAAGGCCAUCAACGAAAUCAGCGAGGGUGGUGUCGACUUCGUUGUAAUCGAAGAAGGCGAGUUGCAAUUCAGACAAUCUGCGAGAAGAAGGCAAUUUUCCAUUGAAGUGGUUCAUCUGAAACCCCAAAUUGCAGAGCAUUGAAAGCUGGUUGAAGUUUUGAGGGAGAGGUCCCUUUAAUCCCAAUCCCUUAACUUGAAUCUGUGUAACUCUGUCACCACUAUAAAAUACACGAGGCCACAAAUUUGACUCCACCCGUUGGCUCCUUUCCUUCAUUCAUUCGCUUUAACAAGUCACAUUUAAUUCCAAAGAAUAUUAUAUAAUCUUCAAGUAUGUUCAAAUCAGAGGGCUCUAGUCCGUUAACCUUUACACUCUCUAGCAGGUUCUGUUCUUGUCUCUUCCUAUUAUACAGAAGUUCAAGCAAGUUUCAUAAAGCCUGAAUUUCUACACGUAGCCACUACUGGGGUCAGGUUUAUCCAAGUGUGCUGCUCCAACAGAAUUAUCGAUGUGUCAGUUUCUCUAAAAAUCACCUUGUGAAUCAAUCCACAAUACCGAGGCAUCCCAUCAUCAGAACUUCCUAAGCUUUCAGCAAGUAGGCAAGCAUUUAUGCUUGAGUCAACUCUACCGAUGACAACAAACCCAUCCAAAUCAAACUUCAUAGCUGUUUCUUCUUUUCCAUUAAUAUCAACUGGUAUCCUUUCUAAAAGAAUGCUUUUCUUAUGACGACAUGACAGUAAAACCCUUUUGCGAGAAUGGCUCAGAGUUUUGAUCAUCAUCUGAUUCUAUUGUAUUACUGGAAUGAUUGCUUUGGUAAAUGGAAUUCAACAGAAUCCACACAUUCAUGACUCUAAAAUUCAGCUUACUAGCAACCAGAUGGAACACACAUUUUCUGGUUCAGGCAUUCGUUUCUGGUCAGAUUCAUGGUAUCUUAGCGGUGCAACAGACGAUGCAGCAACCUCUUCUAGAGUGCCUUUUAUGAGCCUCAAGAGCAAAGGCCAAUGAUAGAUGAAGCGGUCCCUCUGCACUACUUGGGCUUCUGAUUCAGAAGUUAUCAUGAAGCCAACGAACAAGCAGAGUGAACGCAUUUGCAGUCAACCUUAAAAUUUCUAAUAUUGUCAGCAGGCCUGAUGGUAAAAAAACGAAAGUAGGGGAGCCUUAUUCAAGAGGAUCAUUGCGAACACUGUCACGUGUUAUUGGUGAGCUUGUUGGCAUCUUGUUUUGGGCAGAAUAAUGAGAUCCUUCAGUUAAUUAGAGAUCCAUAUCAACUAAACACCAGAAUCAUGGAUUUCCCAUGCUUUCUACUGGACAACGAUUGUCAGUUCUUUCUCUUGUUCACUUCUACUGGCAGUGGCUUGACUCUCCAACAAAACCCCUGAUGCACCCUGUAGCUCCUCAUUUAAUUCUGGAUUCUUAUCAGCAUCGCUUUCUUCUCCCUUUUGAGACUCUUGGAGUAUGAAAAAGAAAACUUGUGAAGAAUAAGGUGGAAUAUCCCAGCAAUGCAGUAUGGUAGGACCCAUUUGAGGGGGAACCCUGCAUUCAUCACUCUCACCUCCAGUAGCAUUAGAUGCUUGCUGGACCCAAUUCAGCCAGUCUCUGCAUAUUGACUCUCAAUAUAAACGUUUAGAAAUAACAAUGACUUCAUUUCUACUGCCUUGUUUAGACCUUCCUUGAUCAAUGUCUACCUUCAUUUCUCACAAAUUCUGGUUCUACUAUUAAAGUUCUGCCCCCAGUCCGUUUUGCAAAGCAUAAGCUAAUUUUAUAUUUGUAUAAUUCCAUCUUAACACACAAGUCCGUCGUAGCCUUUCCUGAGAAGUUAGAGAAGUUGCUUUUCUGAUAUAAAAAAGCCUUUCAGAACCAUGCUGAAGCUCUGAAUGUUGAUAGUUUUCCAUUGCAACUGAUAUGAGCUCCUCAUCGGUAGUGUCACAAGAAUGAUUCCAUGAGAAGUUUCUUGUUGCAUCACCUUUUUUAUGUAUUCCAACCCCAACUGUUGAGUUUCUUGAAAUUGAAACUACGGAACUUAGUUAUUUUGAAUUGUUUGCAUCUGUAGUGAUAAAUCACUGGAAGAGACAAUCAUAAUUUAGGCACUUGAUUUCCGUUUCGGUCGAACUAACAGCUUCGUAACUGUUAAUCUCAAGGUCAGAUUCAUGCUCUUGUUUCUCAAUUUCCUCUUCCCAUGAGAAUUUUUUUCAUAACAAUCGAAUGAAUUCUUAUAACUCCCAAAAGUUUCUAGCUUUUGCUGAUCAUGGAGGUGCCUCACAAUACUUGUCAUUAUACUCACUUUGGAAUUUUUCUGGUCCAUGUUCACUUUGAAUGAAUGUAUCCCUAAAGGGGGUAUUCAAUGACUGCCCAUAAUGAGUUACAAGUUCCCCAAAAUAGAAUAUAAUGAUCGUCGGCCUUACAGUACUGCUGUUUUAAAAUUUUCUGCUCGCUGAACAGUCAUAGUUCAAACCAUCAAUAUCAAAAGGCUUUCCCAGGCACUCAUCUUCAGAACCAUAAGGCCAGCAAGUCUGCAACCGUUUGAGUUGGGUAAAAAAGAAAGUCCUAAGCAGUGGAAGUGCACAGCAUGAUGCUGUCAAGUUUCAAUAACUUAAAUAUUGGCCAACUUAAGCCAGACCAUAUUCCUCAAAAAUCCAUUCUUCCUCUGCUCAUGUAAACUUGUAAUGCUGUCAGAAAUCCUGUCUUCAGAAUAGCAACCCUGACAAUUGAGUAUGGAAAGCAGAAUACCCAUGUGCUUCCAACUAAGCUUUUUACAACCAUCCUCAUAAACUGAGGCGUGCCAUUCUAAAGAAAAGGCAGAGUCUUUUAGAAAUCACAAUACUUCUGAAGCAGCUUGAAUUAGCAUAUUGCAGUAAUUGGAAGUCGGAUUGACUGAAACAGGGGCUCGAACGCAUCCAUCUGUAAAUCUUACAGACCGACCACCCUCAGAGAAAAGGUCUCCAAAAAAAAGGCUUCAGCUUCAUGACAAACAGCAUUCUCUGUUUCAGAGUUGCAACUGCCCCUGUUAUACUACUCCUGUGCACUUCAGCAUUUAUUCUUUAGUUAUACCGUCCCUUUAGAUAGCAUCUAUCCCACACCGUGAAGCAAGCAAGGUUCACUAUAAUAGGAUCUAGUAGCAGCAACAAACGGGUGAUCCUGGAGAUAUUUUAAACUCAACUUCAUCAACAUCUUCAGCGUGCACUUCUGUUGGAACACAAGCGAUAGUAGCAGUGAAAAAAAAAGUGUUGUACUGAUCCCGUUAGGAUUGCAGCCCAGAAUACCACGAACAGAGAGCCCCAAAAAUUGAAGCAACUCUGCAUCCAACUAAAUCACAUCUAGAACCCGGUUUAACGACUUUCUUGUCUUGAAGAGGAAAUACCCAAUCUGACUCAACAAUCUGUUAUCAUGUGCCAAACCCCACAAACAGCCCACAUUCUACGCAGCCUUUAUAAAGUCUCUACCUUUCAUGAAAUACUCAUGCCAUCAUUGUCUCCAUAGCCCAGAACACCAAAGUAAAGAAGAGGAAGAAGCGUAGAUAUAGAAGCACAAAAAAAGAAACCGAACAAAGAAAGAAAAAAAAAAAAAAAAAACGAAAACAGGGGAAUGGAAGGCAAUGGGUGGGAAAUCUGAAUAAGUCACAUUUCAUUAUUUUCAAAAGGGCUUUGAAGAAUCUGAACACAUUAGGACAAGCUUAGUUAAAAUUAUAUCAGGAUUCCACAAACAUUAAAAUUCAAACAUAAGUCUCUGUUUCAGCUAUUUAUAAAAAGAAUCAAAGAAAUCAAGAACACAAUCAUAAUAGAGCAAGUUUGAAGGAAAUUUCGAUUCAACAACGCAAAUAAAUGGCCCUCAAUGUCCACUCCAAUCAGCAAGAACAACUUCCCGAAAACAGCCAGAGAAUCUCAAGUGAAUGUAAACGGGAAUACCAAAAUAAUAAAAAAAAUAACAGGAAGCGUACCUGGCAGAACCUUGGCUGCAAUCUCCCUCUCUUUCUGCUCUUCUCUCCGCACUUUUUCUUCAAGAUCUCUCUUUUUCUCCUUUUUCUCCUUUCUUUCUUUUCUUUCCUUCUUCCUUUUCUUUCCUUCUCCCUCUCAAGCCCAAAAAUCCUAUCUCUCCCUCCGGAUCUCUCCAAAAAAAAAUCCCCAUGCGUGCUGCCAGUCCCACUUUUCAAAAAGAAAACAUCUUGCUGAAAAGGAAAAUCCUACUUCCUUUUCUCCUUUCUUUCCUUUCUUUCUUUUCUUUCCUUCUUCCUUUUCUUUCCUUCUUGUAGCCGAUCCCCACAUGGAAGAAGUAUAUGUGCUGUCCCUCUAAAAAUCAAAAUCUCCUCUUUUCAAAAUUCCGUUGAUUUUCCUUCCAAAUAAAUGGCGGUUCGUUUCCUCAUGCCCAAAAAAUAAAUAAAAUAAAAAAAUAAAAAUAAAAAAAAUAAAAAAUAAAAAAUUAAAAAAAUUAAAAACAAAAAUAAAAAAAAAUCAAUCACAUGCAAGCCAUACGAGCUAUGUAACCACCAAAGGAAUAUGAGUUAUGCAACCAUGCAAAAACACGAGCCAUGCAACCAUGCAAACCAUGCAAAAACAUCUAAAGGUGACCUAGGGUGUGUCCUAGUGCGCUAGGGCAAACGAAAUGGACUAAGUGUGCUUAAAAGCUAUCCUAAAAAAAAGAAAAGCCUACGACUAAGUUAGGGCUGCCAAGGGUCACAAUAAGGGAUCAAAUAAUCCCUCAACCAAAAUCUCCGAGGUGACUCAGAAAAAGGUUAGUGGUAUGAGUAGCCAUGGGCCACCAAGGAACUAUGGGGCACUGAAAACGAAUUUAAAGACAUGUGCUAAAGGGACAAAAUUGAGGGUCUACACCCUCUUCAGUUCUGUUGAAGAUUAUCAAAGAUACAAGCAAAAAUUCUCCCAGAGGAAACUAGGGAGAAAUAUCAAUUUCUCCCAACUUUAGUACUUCGGGUUUGAGGGACUCUUUAGUCGGAUGGGAUAACUGCCAGUUGUGAUGAUUUUCGAGCCGAUCUUCCUGACUCUGGUGCGGGCAUUUUAUUCAUAGGUGACUUAUGGACUUGGAGGACCAGUCAUGUCCACUAUUAGAGGUGUUGAGAUCAGACUGAGCCCGGAGAGCAUUUUCCGCAUUCUCGACAUUCCUUUAGUUGGACUCCGGGUGUAUGAGUCCAAGGUUUGGCCCACUGUGCCGGGAUUCGAGCCUAGAGAGGCUAUUCAGAGGCUGUGCGGACUUGUAGAUGCUGAGGGGAUGGACAAACCAUCGGCACAUAGCCUGACCGUGACCAGCCAAGUCCUUCAUCACAUGAUUUGCUCCUAUUGCCACAAGGCGGGUAUCGAGAUGAGAUUUCCUACCUGGAUGCUUUCAUAGUGGACACCAUUCUAAUGGGGAGAUGGAUUCAUGUAGGGUAUUUGAUGAUGAUGCAUAUGAUAUCCUACUAUGAGAGCACGACCCGAGUACUCCCCUACAGACGCUUCCUCACUCGAGUAUUCAAGGAUGUCGGGGUCGAUUUGAGUAGAGAGACGAACUUCGAGGCCCUUACUAGCUAUGAUACUUACGAUGAGCAGUCCUUGGAGCGGAUAAAGUUUGAGAAGGCCCUCGAUGGCUCCUGGAUUAGGAGAGUUGAGCGAGCUCCAGCAUAGGCCCGGGGACAAGGAUAGAUGCAUCCCGGAGUAGAGGAGGAGGCUGAGAUCAAAGAGAUGGAGGAUGGGUUAGACCCAAGGAUUGAAAUAUCGAUAAAUAUGGAUAUAUCGGUACUUGGAUUUUACGGAUAUAUCGGAAAUAUCGGAGAAAUAUCAAUGGAUAUUUUUCAUCAAAUAUCGGUGAGACAAAAAUUAUCCAAAAUUGAUGGGAAUGCUUAGAAAAAUCCAAAGAAUGAUAAAAUAAGCAAGAAUAUACAUGUUAAAGUUAUUUUAUGAGUGUAAUUGACAUAAAUAUGGUAUAAAAAAAAUAUAUAUCGGUAAACAGUUUACGAUACUUGGAUUUUAAGAAAAGAAAAUAUGAAAUUUGGAAUUGUACACUUAAAAAGUUAGAAUUGAGUUAAGAAAUAUUUGAUUUUAUUAAAUGAAAAAAAUUUACACAUAAACAUAAUACAUAUGACAUUGCAAUGGUCCUUAAUACCAAAAUGAAGAUCGAUGUGGUUCCAUCAUAUUGUUAUUGUUAGAUGAAGGGAGCCCAUCUUGUUGAAGACAAUAUUCAUACCAGGACAUGGAGUUUCGAUAGUAUUGAUUGUAUGUACUAACAUGCCAUGCAUAAAUUUCUUGAGUCCUACCGACAACCUGUCCAUGGAUGGGAAAUCCAGGGUUUUCCCAUGUGCUCGUUUGAAAUCCUUGUUGUUGCAGCUGAUGUAGAAGGUAGUAUGGAAUUUGUGUGGAAGAAUGAUAGUUAUACCUUUCAUACUCUUCAUCAGUGGAACUUGAAAGAUUUUGAGGAGGCUGACCAUAACUCAUUGCAUAAGGGGCAUAAAUGUUGGCUUCAUUUGAUGAAUCACUUAAUUGAGUCUCUACACUCAUCGACUCAAAACUGGCCGACAAUGAGUCCUCGUUGUAUGGCAUCAUCCUUCGUUGUCUUCCUCUAUAUGGCUUUCCAAUGGCUCCAACACCUGGACCGGCUCUUCUAGAGCCGUGGUCUUCAUCUUGAGUACAAUGUGUGAAAUCAUCUUCACUAAUAAAUGCCAAUGGUUGUCCACUUUGUUGAUGUUGUCUAACAUCCCCUUCAUCAUUUUCAGGGUCGCUACCAUCAUUGGUCCCCUCUCCUCUUGAAUCAUCAUAACCGGAAGCGGAAGUACCAGUAGCACUAGGUCUACUACUAUGUUCAACACUCGUGGGGUCAAAAGAAGGUCGAGAAGUGACUACCAGCUGAGAAAUUCCUUGUCGAAAUGAAUCUUUCGUGUCUUGGUUGAAACUAUCAAUAUGAACUUCUUCGGAUAACACUUGAUCAACAUCAACACCUGCUUCUCGGACAUGUGCGGCAAUUCGUGGGUCGAGAUUUCCAUCUUCAUCAUCUAAAUGAAGAGGUCUAACCCAUUGAAACAAUUGGUUAUCUUCUUCUUCACCAGCCUCAGUUGCAAUAUCAAGUAAAUCAAGGUAAUCUUUCUCUGAAACUUUGUCAUGUUCUGCUUCCAUGUCACGUAUCUUUAGUUUCAUGUUAUAAUAAUAGAAAACUAAUUGUUAGAGCAUCGGGUAAGCAAGCUGAUUUCUUUGUUUUGUAUGAAUUAUGGAAAACAUGCUCCAAUUUCUCUCACAAGCUGAAGAUGAUGCAGUUUGCGAUAAAACCUUGAUGACCAACCUUCUUAAUGUAGGAGUGUGAUUUCCAUACAUGAACCACCAUUCAACUACAACCAAAUAAAUGAUAUCAAUACUUAUAUUGGAAAGCUAUAAUAAUAUGCUAAUGAAAUGAAUUAUUAAUUCACAAAUAAUACUCACCGAGAACCAUUUCUAACCUCGAAGCAAUCACUGUUUGAUCACCGAAUCCUCUUUUUGCAUCUCGGAAUAGUAUAAUCUACAUAUUAAAUAAUUGAAAGUGAAAAAGUUGAGUAAAUGAAAUUAAAUUAUUUAAUUUAUAUUAUAACUCUAAUAAUUUACCUCAUUUCCAAAUUGACUAAAACCUUCUGAUGUAGGAUCUAAUUUCGCAAAGACUUCAUGGACAACUUGAAGUAGAUCAGGAUCAGUACCAACUCCAUGUUUAUAUUGAAAUCUUGGAUUAAGAAAGAAUGCUACAAUAGUAAAAUAGAAAUGUAAAAUUAGAAUGUUAUGAAAGAAACAUAUUAAAUACCAAUAAAUUUCAAAGAUGAAUAAUACUUACCUGCUGCAUGAAAAGGAUGUUUAAAAGUUCUAUCCCAACGAUAUGCAAUUAUUUCUAACACCCAUUCUUUAGCAUUAAGUCGAAUAAGGUUCUCUUUCAUAACUCGAAUCAAUUCGUACACAAAUGGCAUUGUAGGAACAACUUCUGAAUCGACAAUGCGAAGAACUGUGUAUAGCGCCUCAUAUAUUGACACUAGCUUUCCCACUCUUUCCUAGUAUGCAUGGUCAAACAUAAGUGAUUCAACUUCUUUGCCGAUUAAUGUGCAACUUAAGUUGUGUUGUGCCCAUUCAUCACUGAUAAAUAUUUUCUUCAAGUUUAUUUUCUUUUUCAAAAGACUGUCGAAGGCUAUAUAAUUGGUUGCAAAUCUUGUUGCUCCAGGACGAACUAUGUCUCCACCACACACCUUCCGCAUCUGGGUAAGCAACCAACCAUGGUUAUAAAUGAAGUUGGUUAUCUUUCGAGCCUUUGUAAUCACAUCUGCAACACUCGUCCUUUUACCGAUAUCUUCGAACAUUAAGUCGAUGCAAUGUGCUGCACAUGGAGUCCAAUAAAGAUUGUAUUUCUUCAUUAACAACUUCCCCGCCUUCAUGAAUGCCGACCCAUUAUCUGUAACUAUUUGGACCACAUUUUGUUUGCCAAAUUCCUUGAUCACAUCCUUCAACAAACCAUAUAUGUAUUUGUUGUCCUUUAUAUUAUUUGAUACAUCAACAUAUUUGAGGAAGAUUGUGCUACCUUUUGAAUAUACCAUGAAAUUAAUUAUGCUUAAUUUCGUGGGCCCAGUCCAUCCGUCAGACAUAAUCGUGCAUCCAUAAGUCUUCCACUUUUCUCUUUGAAUAUUGACAUAAGCUUCUAUGUCUUUGUACUCCAUAUCCAAAUACUCGUGUUUGAUUUCAUAAGGAGACGGUGGUUUUAUACCCAUACCUACCAUCCAUAUAUAAUUAAAGCAUAUAAGAACAUUUGUGGCAAUCAUACUAUAUAAAUAGUAAUGAUAUUGUUAAAAUGAAUACAACUUUUAAAAUUAUAGUAAUUACCUGCUUGUUGUGCACCAACAAUCAUGUUCUUGAAGUGGUGAGAGUCUGUUUUACUGGGCGGAACACUCUCAUAUAUGAAGAACUUACUGAUCAAACGUCCCAUGGUUUCCUUGAUGGCACCACCUUUGAAAAUAUUUUUCAUAUUUUUAUGUCUUGCUACUGAAGAUUUGUACAAUGAGGGUGCAUCAGGCAGUGAUGGAUCUAAAUAUCGAACACUUUGCGAUUUUCGCAUUUGCCUUGUUGUUGGAUUGGUUGGAUGUGAAGACUUGCCUAUUAUAAUUAUUAAAAUUAAACAUAUAUGCUAAUUUAAUAUUAUUGAUAAAGUUGAUAAGAAAUAGUAAUAAUUCAAAUUAAUAUUAUACCUGUUUUUAUUUUGUCUUUUAUAAAAUGUUCUUCUUAUUGUCGAUUCCAUUCAGCAGCUUUUGAUGCUCGAACCGCCUCUCUAUAAGCAUGUCGCUCACCAAGGUGCAUGUCAGCCAGAUACAUAUACACAUCAUCAUCUCCAUCAUCAUCAUCACCACCAAGGUUCUCCUCAUCGUCCUCAUCAGUUACAUGCUUAUGUCUUAUUCCCAUUGUGUCUCGCAGUUCAGAUCGAAUCUCUUCUAUAUCUGUAGCUUUCUUCGCUUUUGCCUUAUUUUUUUGCUCUAGAAGUCGUCUUAUUUAUUGUUUCACUUCUGGAGGCAUGUUAGGACACUUUUUUGUAUUUGAAUUAGGGUCUGUAUGUGAUAGGUGAAAUUUAAAACGAGUAAUCCCACCACUCUUUAUUGCCAACCCACAGUAAUUGCAUACUGUUCCAUUUUUGUCCCCUUCCAUAGGUGUACAAUAUUUCCAACAAGGAUCUCGACCCAUGAUACCGCUUUCACUAGCCAUUUUCUAAAAUUGAAUUAUGAAACUAAUAUCAAAUUUAAAAUUAUUAAAGAUAAAACAUGUAAGAAAUUUAAUAUUCAUGAAAUUGAUAAGAACUAAUAAAAAUUGAAAUUAAAAUUAAAUUAUGCAUAUAUGAAAUAGAUAAACAUUACAAUAAAAUUUCAAUAUGAAUUAAAUUUAAAUUAAAUUAAAUUAAAUUUGUAUAUUCAUGAAAUUGAUAAGAAUCAUUACUAAUAAAAAUUAAAAUUAAAAUUGAAUUAUGCAUAUAUGAAAUAGAUAAACAUUACAAUAAAAUUUCAAUAUGAAUUAAAUUAAAUUAAAUUUGCAUAUUCAUGAAAUUGAUAAGAAUCAUUACUAAUAAAAAUUAAAAUUAAAAUUGAAUUAUGCAUAUAUUAAAUAGAUAAACAUUACAAUAAAAUUUCAAUAUGAAUUAAAUUUAAAUUAAAUUAAAUUAAAUUAAAUUUGCAUAUUCAUGAAAUUGAUAAGAAUCAUUACUAAUAAAAAUUAAAAUUAAAAUUGAAUUAUGCAUAUAUGAAAUAGAUAGACAUUACAAUAAAAUUUUGAUAAGAAUUAAAUUAAAUUAAAUUUGCAUAUUCAUGAAAUUGAUAAGAAUCAUUACUAAUAAAAAUUAAAAUUGAAUUAUGCAUAUAUGAAAUAGAUAAACAUUACAAUUACAUUUCCAUAUGAAUUAGAUAAUAUCAAUUAAACUAUUGUAGACCCCCCUCUUUUGGUCUCGUUUCUUUUUUUUUCCUCUACAUAUAUUAUGUUUGUUUUAGCCAUUGCGGAAGCACCUGGAAGAGGUGUUAGUGCCUUGAACAAGUGGGGGGACCUGGCUGUUUGGAGAGAUGAGCUGCGUGGAACACGUGGUGGAGCAGUUGGCCACAGCCAUGGUGGUGGUUGGGGCUCCAGUUUGCUGAGCAGAGGAACAGUAUAGUAGCUGAUGGCUUGCAGGAAAAGCUUUGACGGAGAAGGAGGACAGAGGAUUUUUAAGAGGAUCCUUUUGAGAGUGCUGGCAGGGGGGGAUCUUGGAGGGAAAGGGAAGAGGAGAAGUAAGUUUUGAGGAGAAAGGGGCUUUCAGGUAUGGCCAUUUAUGAUUUUUCCCGAAUAUUCUGAUCUUUCAUAUCUUUCCCAUCUUACUCUCCAUGAUUCCAGUUUUGCUUGAUGAGUUGUUUUGUUUUGAUGAUUGUUGGUUUAACAUUAAAAAAGAUGGCUGUUUUUUUUGUGUUUUACCCGUGCAAACCUCUUCCAACUUAACCCUUUGAUCGUUAAGCUCAUGGAUGAAAGAAUGAAACGAAGUUAGCACAUUCAUCAAAAGGUUCCCUGCUAUGUUUCUCCAUUUGUUCCCUUUGCUUGAGUAUGUGAGUAUUGAUGCUAAUAGUAGCAAGGUCCCAGCCAACUUUGUACAAUAGAGCUCAGAUGUUGCUCUAGGGGUUCAUGAUCAUCCUGUCAAGUGCCUAGGAGCAAAUGAUGCCCUUGAGCUUACGUUUCUAAGUCGUGUUCUCCCUACCAAGCUGGAUACCCUCCUUGCUAAGGACGGGGGGACGAAACCUAUUAACAGCCGAAACCCAAUGAUAAGAUCCAAGUCACUGUCGAGUAUCUCAAUGAGAAGGAUGCCAUGGUUCUUUCUUCGUGUACAUGUUGUUCCCAUCUCCACCCAAGUUGACUAAACUGUCAUCAGUGAUGAGAUUGCUGCCUACACUAAAUAAUACAUCAUCCAGCCGGUUAUUCAUGAGAAACAUUAAGAUGAGAAGUCCACCUUCCAACACCCAUUAAGCCACUCUUCACACCCAUCUUCUCUCAUUAACAUCCUCAUACCCCUCCCACCACUUCGUGAUUCAUAUCCCCAUCAUCCCCAGCCGUCCAUGCUAUCAAUAAUAUCCCCACUUAUCUUCAUACCCAUUUGUUCCACUAUUCGGAAUCCCCAUGCAUGCGAAACUGGACGCGGAAGCCAUGAUAGCAGAGAUUGUGAUGAAGAACGUGGAAUGCGGUACCCUGUUGCAUGAAGUGAGCAUGGUGGAGCGGCGGUUUGAGGAGUCGACGAGGAAGAUAGAGCUGUAGAAGAGCUUGCUGGAGGUGUUGGAGUUGGAGAGGACGAUAUUGCUGAAUGAUAACGUGCGGCUGGGGCGCGAGAUGAGUGCGCUGAUUGAGGAGAACAAGGGGCUGUGGAGGUCCCGGCUCCUGCUCCGACGCUGGAGGCGCUGAGUCCUCCAGCACCGCCGGCCGAAGCUCCUAGGCCACAGCUAGAUGCGAUCCCAUCCAUCUCCAUCUCUGCCAGGUGAGAGUAGGGCAGAGAAGAUCACGUGCGUGAGGUAGAGGGUAGAAAUGGAUAAAGGGCAUAGAAAAUGGGCUACAGCAAUGCAUGGAAUUGUUUGAUAAAAGAAAAGAGAAAUGGGUUUGUUGACACGUGAAAGAACUAUGCACUUUAAAAAAACUCUCCCUGUUUGUUUUACAUAUUCUCAAACAAUGCUUAAAAAUCCCUUAAAAUUUUAAAGUUAAAAAUUUAUUCACUUAUUCAUGUUUUUCUAUUCACUUCAAAUUCUCGAAACUCAAUCCUAAAAUUUAAUUUCUUCAAAGUUCAAUCUCCAAAAUAACUUUUUUUUUAGGUUCUAAUUUUAACUUUAAUUCUCCAAAGAUCCAAAAUUUUAAAUUUAACUUUCCAAAAAUCCCACAAUUCCGAAUUUAAUUUUAGGUCUUGUAAAUUAGUAUUAUUAUCCCAUAUUUAUUUAUUUAAAGUCCAAUCCUUCAAAAAUCUCAUUAUUAUUAUUAUUAUUACUUCAACUUUCGAAAUCAAUUUAUUCUUAUUAUUAUUAUCAUUAAUCCAAACUUUCAAAAUCCUAUUAUUAUUAUUAUUAACCCAACUCUCAAAAUAUUAUUAUUAUUAUUAUUAUUAUUAUCAUUAAUUCAGACUUUCGAAAUCUUAUUAUCAUUAUUAUUAAUUCAACUUGCAAAACCUUAUUAUUAUUAUUAUCAUUUCAAAACCUUAUCAUUAUUAUUAUUAUUAUGAUUAUCAUUAUUAUUAAUUUAACUUUUAAAAUAUUAUUAUUACUGUUUUUAUUAAUUCAACUUUUAAAAUCUUAUUAUUAUUAUUAUUACUAAUUCAAUUUUCAAAAUCUUAUUAUUGUUAUUAUUAUUAUUAUUGUUAAUUCAACUUUCAAAAUCUUAUUAUUAUUAUUAUUAUUAUCAUUAUUAACCUAUUAUCAUUAUUAUUAUUAUUAUUACUAUUACUAUUAUUAUUAUUAUUAUCAUUAUUAUUAAUUCAAUUCCCCAAAUCUUAUUAUUAUUAUUAUUAUUAAUUCAACUGUCAAAAUCUAUAUUCCCGUAGUUUAAUUUCUCAAAGUUCAUUUCUUAUCAUUACUGUUAUUAUUAAUUCAAUUUUCAAAAUCUAUAUUCUCGCAGUUUAAUUUCUCAAAGUUCAUUUCUUAUCAUUACUAUUAUUAUUAAUUCAGCUUUCAAAAUCCAUAUUCUCGCAGAUCAAUUUCCUAAAGUUCAUCUCUCAUUUUCUUUGACGAAUUUCAAUUUAAUUACCGAAGCUCUAAUCUUUCAAAGUUAAUUCCAAAUACUUCAAUUUUCAAAUAAAGUCUAAUAAUCCAGUUUUCACUCGAAUGGUUUUAAUCCCAUUUCAGUCCCUAAAUAAUCUUCUGGUAUUCUUGAUUUUAUAUAAGCAAUAGUGAAUUCUUCAUAAUUCUAAAACACGGAAUUUGUGAGACUGGUUCAUGAAUAAUAAAUUGGGUUUUGGUGGGAGGCACUAUGUUUGAUCCCUAUUGAUUGUCAACUGUUGUGCUUAAUGUAUUUUUGCUUGAUCUUCAUUUUGCACCCUGAUAUGCAUGAGUUAUAAUUUGUAUUCAUUAAUUAUGCACUAAUCCUGUUUCUUGAUAGCAAAUUGCUGUUUGCUACCCAGGUACGCAUUCACUCAUUCUGAUCAUUCACUAUACGUAUUCUGAUUCUCAUAUAUGCAUGAUUAAUGUGAGUAUCCAUUGACUUUCUUAUUCGAUUGCCACGUCAGUUUCACUUUAUUAGUAGAGACCCGACUUUAGGGACUUUGAGGGGUGCUAUGGUCUCUACCGUACCUUCCCGAUAAGUAACCUGACCCUCGAACCCGAUCCGGUUUUUCACAGACCACCUUUUCCAAAACAAGGAGUCGCACUUAGGGUUUUUCUUUCUUAUUUUGUUUACCCUUUAAAAAUAAAACAAAAAUAAGUGGCGACUCCAAGUCAUUUUCAAAUAAUCAAUAAAAAUCAAGUUUUCAAAUAAAAAUCGAGUUCGUCAUCGAGUGGGAAACGCAUUGAGCCGAAAUGCGGGGUCCACAACUAUAUAUAACAAAUAAAAUUGAAUUAUGCAUAAUAAAAUAAAUUUUAUGAAAGGUAAGACAUACCUUAAUUAGCUUUGACUUGGAGUUAAUCCCUUUCACCAACAAAUUUUCAAAAUAAAAAAAUUUUGCUAGAUCAUAUAAGAAUUUUGAUGUAUGAAAUGGAAUGGAAUGUGGGUAUUUAUAGGAAUUUUUUGGUCAAACUACUCGUUGGAUGGUCAAAUAGCCGUUAUAAAUUAAUUUUAACCGUUGGAUCAAAAUUUGGUUCAAAUUUCACCAUUAGAUCUUCAUAUAACCGUUGGAAACACUCCAUAGCCCUUGGAUAAAGUGAAGAUUGAUUUUCCACCAUUGGAUCACAAAUCUGACCAUUGGAGGCCUUUAUAAACACACGGGUGAAAUUUGGGCCAUCAGAUCCUCAAAAAUUCAAAUUUGGCCGUCAGAUCAAAAUCCUUGAAGCUGUAAAAAAAUCACCGAUUAAUCGCGAUUUUCUCGGCAAAAAAUCGUUGAUAUAUCGGUAAAAUAGCUGAUUUUUUGGGCUCCUCCUCCGGCUUCUUCGUGCGUGCCUCUACUCGCGAUUUUUCGUCGAUUUAUCGGUGAAGCACCGAUAUUUGGCCGAUAUAUCGGCGAUUUUGCCGAUUUUUCCGUCGAUUGAUAAUCGGUGACGAUUAUUAUUUCGGUGCCGCCCAAUAUCCGAUAUUUCUCCGAAAUAUCGAUGAUAUAUCCCGAUUUUUCAAUCCCUAGUUAGACCCUUAGAGGGAUUUUAAGUAGAGAGGGCCCGAGCUUGACAUUUCUCCUCCACCUCAUUCAGAUGGUAUUCAUGUUGAGACCACUUUCUUAGAGCCUAUGAUGAUUGAGUCGUCUUACACUACAGGAGCAUCAUCUCAGCCAUCAUUCACCGAGCUUCCUCACACAGAGAUACCAUCUCAGGCACCUCACGCUUCUGAUCAUGCCCCUUGGAUGGAUGUAUCAGCUCAUAUCAGCUUCCUUGGGACUCCUAUGGAGGAGCUUGCUUUAGUCAAUGAUACUCGAUUCUACUCUAUGGAGGAUCACAUAGAUCAGUAUCAGACUGGCUUCACUUCUCGUUUUGAGCACUUCCAGCAGAGAUUUGAGCGUAUAGAGGAGCGUAUGGAUCAACAGCAGGCUACAGUUGAGCAUCUCCAGCAAAGUAUUGAGCGCAUUGAGAGUCGCCAGGCGAGUUAGCAUGAGGAGAUGAUGGCUUACCUCCGCUCCGUGUUUCCAUCUUCACCCCCUCAGCCUUGAGUUUAUCUAGAGUUCCCCCUCAAUUUCUUUUUUAUGUUGCUAAAGGGGGAAAAAUAUCUAGGAUCUAGGAAACCCUCAUGCAUAUCAUUGUCAUAUCUAUCUUGAUUAGCAUAUAUGUUAUGUUUUCGUGUACAUGUGAGGUUACCAUAUAUAUGAUAUGCUAUUUUCAUGAUCCAUUGUUUCCUAUUCAAUUUUUCAUGCUUUACAUUGUUUCCUAUUGAAAAUUGAUUGAUUGAUCCAUGAUUGGUUUGAGGGGGAGAUUUUUUUUCUCUCCUAGAUAACCAAGGUUGGUCAUCAUAAAAAAUGGGGAGAUUGUUAGCCUAAGGGCUCUCCUAAUCGGGUUUUGAUGAUAACAAACCAUGGUUAAAUGACUAAUUGGUUUAAUGGUUAAGAAUCUCAGGCAUAAACUCGAAAAUUCAUCAAAUGACCAAAUGGAUACAAGAUCGAGACAUUUGGAAGACUUGUGAUCAUAGGAAACUAAUGUAAGAUAAAUACAUGAGUGCACUUAGGAUUUUCAUACCGUUUCAUGCAAUUUAGAAAACUCGGUUUAUUUUUUAAAACUUCGAUUUCAUUAAAACCCGAGUUUUAACAAAUGUACCUUAGGCAAAAUGUUUUAAAAUUGGCAUAAUAAUUCACCUAAAAACCUUGCCUAAGUGUUAGAAAAAAAAUGAAUUCAAAAAGAUAGGUUUUUAGGGCCAAAAGGCUCAACCGGUUGGAGAACCAGUCGACCAAUUGCCCUUCUCCGGUCGAGGAAUGCACAAAAUUUUCUCUCUCACAGUAGCCUUCUCUUCCCAGUCGAGGUUAUUCUCUUCCCGAUUGAGAACUGGUCAAGGUCCGGUCGAUGACCGGUCGAGGCAACGGUAUCCUGUCAAGCAUUAAAUGCUCCAACGGCUAGUGAACCGGUUGACCCCUAGUUCGAUCGGUCGAGGUUACCUUUUGCUGUUUUUGGCUCCCGAGCUUAGAAACCUAUAAAUUGAGAGCUCCACUUCAUUUAUUGACGAGAGAACACUUGCAACUAAUUGUCUACCUACCUGUUCUUGAUCAAAAAGCUUUCAUUUCUUUCUUAGUGCAUUAAAUCUUCAAUUGCAUAUCCUUUAGUGCACUCUUGUGUGUCAUCCUAGCUUUGUCUUAUAUUUGAGCUAUCCUUAAGCUAGGUUGAGGGAUUCAUUCUUGUAAAAAUCGAGUGUUAAAGCCUUCAAGAGGUUUAAAUCUUGAAGAGAUUGUGUAAGAGCCCAUUGGAGCCGGAAUCCAAGUGUAAGAAGAUUGGAAGCUUGGUUGAAACUUUAAGUUAGUGGAACCCUCACUCAGUUAGGAGAUUGAGGAGAGUGGACGUAGGCAAGAAAGUGCCGAACCACUAUAAAAUCCGAGUUUGAAUUCUUUAACUCUAUUUCUUUAUUUUGCUUAUAUUUUGCUUGAACUCGUUGUGAUCGAAAAGAAUUUAAAAAAUCCAAUUCACCCCCUUCCCCUCCUUUUGGGUGUUUUUCUUAAUUAAGCAUAGCCUAUAUUUUCUCAUAAAUAAUCUCACAAAAUCCUAGUACAAACUUUAGCCUCAAAUUAUACAAGAUAAACUAGGAUUGAAUGGUGCACUAAUGAUAUGUAAGUUUUAAAACAAUGUGUACUAAAAAACACUCCCCUAAGGCUCAAUUAUAUUCAAGAAAGGUUUAAGAAGGUUAAACUCUUGAAACUAUAAAGAUUGAAGCGUUUUUAUAGAAGAGAAAAGCCAAACUACCUAUUGGGGGUUCGUCUGGUCGAGCUCUGGUUCGACCAGUUCACUAGCCAUUAGCAUUUAAUGUAUGAUAGGUGACCAUUGGGCCUUGACUGGUACUCAAUUGGAUGAAGUUCAACCUUGAUUGAUCGAAUAAGCAUUAUGGAAAAGAGAUAAGGUUUUUGCACCCUUCAACUGAGUAAGUUGAAUAAGUCGACUAAUUCCUCAUUCAAUUCAACCAAUUAAGUCAUUUUUUGCUAAAAAAACCAUCAUUUUCAACUUAAAACCUUUUAAACAAGUUUGGAAAGCAUUUGACAUAAGGUUUUAGUUGAAAACAUGAAAUCAUCCAAUUUUUAAAAGAUUUAAAACAAAAUAACUCUUGAAUGAUUUUAGUGUAUAAGUAAAGAAUGUAAUGCAUGAAAAACCCCAUGCACUAACAACCUUACAAAGAGAUCCUAUGAGGCUUAGGUCUUGAAAAAACACUUAUCUUUAAGGUUUUCUUCUUCUUAUUGAUUUUAUCUUUGUGAUUGCCACUUUGGAAAUCAUCUUGCCUAGUCACACUUAAAAUAUAAUCAUUAGUUCUAAACCUUGUUUUGUUAUCAUCAAAACUAAGAUUAACCAAACCUUGGUUUCACAGUAUGAAUAUUGUAUCUUUAGAUCUAUAGUUAAUAGUGGUUUUUAUAGUCAUAUGUUUCUAUUGUGAUAAAUUUAGAGAUGCCUAGGGAUAGAUGAAUGCACCCUAUGAGAUCUAGUGCAUAUGAAUGGAGUAAUCUGGGGUUCCUAACAUAGUUUAGGCUUGUGCUUCAUAGAGCGAUAACAAUUCUUCAAGCAUAGUUAUGCUUUAGAAAUUUGUUAUUGAUUGGUCCAAUUUUUAGACCAUCUUUAGCAACAAUCUUGUGGGCACCAUUGAUAUAAACUUGUUAUACAAAAUAUGAUCUAUCACAUUUUUGGCAAGAACUUUCCACUAGUUUUGUGCAUGGUAAUGAUCAUGCAUGCAAACUUAACUAAGUUAUACACUAGAUGCCAAACUACUACAAUUCUUAUACACCUUCCCAUUUUGUGCAACCGAACAAUUCAACAUCAUAACACCAAAGUUCUUGCUUAGAUUUCCUACAGUGCUAAAAUUUUGAAAUGAUUAAUUUUUUUAUUUUCCUUUCAAUACCAAGACCCACAUACAUCAUGUCAUGCCCUAAGACCCACUCUAAGGGCAUGACAAUCAUUUCACAUCUCAAGGUAGAAAGCUCAAAGUGUAAAUUGACCUUAACAUUCAUUUUGUAACUGGAAAAUUAUCAAUUACCAAAUUCAUAUUCAAAGUAGUAGAAUAAAAUUCUAUAAGUUUCAAAUCUCAACUUUAAAGCUAACACAUCAACUAAAGUGUUAUUGUCCAAACAACUUCAAACUUAACAAUUCAAGCAAUCAUUAAAUUCUAGCUUUCAAAAAAAUAAAGUUUUAACCAAAAGUCUUAAUAUUGCCAAAAUAUCAUCCUAACGAUCACUCCUAGCCCGAAUUAAGGUGCCUAAAAAAUUGUCAAUGAAAGGAAAUGAGAUCAACGCUCAAUAAGGAAUAUUAACAAAGUUUCAUGGAUCAAACAUUUUUAAUUAUAAUUCCAAAUAGGAGAUAUAAUAUAUAAUCAUUUUCAUAAAAACUUUUGAGUUUAAAUAUAAUAAUACAUUCAAAAAUUUUUAGCUAAACAUUUUCAUAUCUAUGUCAAAACAAUUUCAUAUCAAAUUCAAAUCAAAUAUAUACAAAAUAUUUUUAUUUUGGUUAUCAAAUAUCACAUGGUGUCAAGUUAGGUGGGACUUUACAAAUUGGUGUCUAGCCUCAAAUUUUUUCAUUUCAAGGUGGAUGAAACCAAACACUACUAGUAUUAUUAACAUCUAACCAAAUGCCUAAAGGGUGGAAUCUAAAGCAAUUACAUGCCCCGCCAAGAAAUAUAAGGUCAACAAUUAUAACUAGUUAACUAAGGACAAAAAUAAACUAGAGUCAAACACCUUAUUUCAUUAAUUCAAACUUACAAAACAAAAACAUCAUAUCUCCAUAAUUUUCAUUUUUUAUAAACAAAAGAAAUGUUCUAACAUAUUUUUUUCAUGAAAAAUAUAUAUUUGAUCCAUGCAUAAAAAUAAAAAUAAUUUUUUUUAUUAUUCAAAAUAACAUAUAAAAGUAAAUAUGUUCUUUUGGCCAAAACAUGUAUUAAUUUUUCUUACCUCAAAGAAACACUCAAAGACCUUGAAGCAAUUAAUCCUGAAGAAUUUCACCCCAAAAAACAUAUUUCAUACCUUACAAAAAAAAAACAAAAAAACAAAAUUACUAUUGAUUAUUUAUCUAAUAAUAGUUUCGUAUCUCAUAUCACCUAUAUUAUUUUUAACUUCCUAAUAAAUAACAAUUUAAUAAGUGAUUUUCCAAAUUUUAAAAAGUUAUGUUCUUUCCAAAAUUUAUUCAUAAUAUUCUAUUAUUAUUAAUUAAAUCUCUCAAAAAUAUGUUUUUUCUAUUUAUUGCAUUAAACUAUUAUUAUUAUUAUUCAAUUUCAAUUUGAUUAAUUGGUUUUUUCUUUUAAAUUUUUAAUUUAUAUAAGAUUCUUGUUUUGAAAAUCUUCCAUAUUUACUUAUUUGUUUAAAGUAAAUUUCUCCAAAACUUGUUCCUUUUUGUUAAACAAAUAUCUUUUCCUAUUAUUAUUAUUAUUAUUAUCCCUAAUAUUAUAUUCAAAUAACUAAACAAUAAUAAUUUAAAUUAGUGAGUUUCCAAAUUUUUAUAAAACUCAUAUUCAUUCUAAAUCUUAUCAUAUAUAUCUAUUUCUUUUAUAUAAUUAAAUUAAAUUAAAAAUUUUACUUAAAUAUAUAUAUAUAUAUAUAUAUAUAUAUAUAUAUAUAUAUAUAUUAUAUUAUAUUAUUACUUUCAACAUCCUUCUACCACCGAAACAAUUACCUCAAGUAAAAGUCAUCUAUCCUUAUUCUACUAACUACCCUCUCUCUUGCAAUAGCACACUUAGGGAUGGCAAUGGGGCGGGUUCAGGAUAGGUCACCCCCAUCCCAACUCCACCUUGUUUAUUCAAAAUAAUUAUCAUCCUCGUCCCAUUUAAAAAAUUAAAUGAGACGGGGCGAGUAUGAUAAAUUCUCAUACUCGCCUCGUCCUGCCCCGUUUAACUUUUUUUUGAAUUUAUUUAUUUAUUUAUUUUUAAAAUUACUUUUAAAAUUUUUAAUUACAUUAAAAUAAAUAUAUUUUAUAAAUAAUUAAAUAAUUAUAUUUUUUAUUACUUAUUUUAUUAAAAAUAUUUUAUUAUUAUCUAUAUAUUAAAAAUAGUAAAAUAAAAAUUAAAUUAAAUUAAUUUUAAAAAUUAAUUUUAUAUAUAAUUGGGGCGGGGUGGGACGGGGCAAUACCCAAACCUGCUUCGGGUUUUAAAAAAAAUUCUCAAACUUGUCCCAAACCCGUUUAUUAAAAUUGAACUCCGUCCCAUUAGGGACGAGGCGAGUACCUCGAAAAAACCUGCCUUAUUGUCAUUCCUAAGCACACUUUCAUUUUUUUUUUUUCAUUUUUAUUGCUUUUAUCUUUUUCCUCCCUAAGAUCAAUCAUAUUGUAAGCACCCCUUUUUUUUUUCUACCACAUCUUGUUGCAAUCAACCUUGUAAGUUUUUUUAAUUUAAAUUUUUUUUCCACUAUGGAGGCACGUACAACCAUAAAACCCCAUCUUUUUUUAUUUUAUUUUUACAACUCUCAAAUCUCUCAACCUCCAUACUAUUAGGUUUUAUUCAUUCAUUUAUUUAUUUAUUAUUCCAUAUCCAAAACUAUAAUUAAUUUUCUUUUAUAUUUUUUUAUUUUAGAUCUAUUAAUUUGAAUAUUCAAAAUUUCUAAUCUUUACUAAUAACUCUAAAGCAUUCAAAACUAAUUAAUAAAUAUAAAAUAUUAAUCUAAGGAUUAAAAUCUUAUAUAGAAAAUUGAUCUUCAAAUCUUAAACCCCCAAAUUUUCAACCUUACAUUGCGUUGUCUAAUAUCUCAAAUCUCCAUGUAAAAGGGCUUUUGAAUAGAGUAAAUAAGAAAAAUUUAAUUUAUACCUAAAAUUUUUAAAAUAGAGAAAAAUCUUUCUACCCUUAUUAAUUUAAUUUAAUUAAUUUUUUAAAAUUAUGUUUUUACCCUUUAAUUGGGUUUGGGCAUCACACAUCAUACUAAAAAGUUAUCAAUAACCGUCCUUUGAGGCAUAUUAGCAUAAAUUUGCAACUUUAGUUGUGUUCUAGGUGCAAUUCUAUUAUGUUUAAUUGAAAAAUAACACACAUAGCACAACCAAGCCUAAUUGAAAGCAUUUGGGCAAAUAAAUGGUAAAUUUCUAAAAGUUCACCAAAACAAAAAAAAAGAUCAUAGAGGGCAUAUUUUUCAAGUCAACCUAGUUUUGGGAUAGCCACUUUCAAGCCUAAUGAUGUUAAGAUGUCUUAUUGCAAUCCAAUCUAAGAAUGCAAUAAUAGCUCUUUAAUUCAUAAUUUUAAAUUCACAAAAGAUAUCACCAAAAAUUACCAUAGGUUACCAAAGCAUCAACAACAUACAGAAAGCUUAGAAAUGCUUGGAACCUAUCGGAUUUUCACUUUUUAGGAAUAAAAAAAAAAAUCAACUUUAAGGAUUUUAGGGUAAUACUUGCUUGAACCAUCUUUCAAUCCUUUUGUUGGUGGUGGGCCUUUUACCUAUAGGAACAGGAAUAAGAGGUGAAAAUGAGGGAGCCUUAUGAAAACAGAUCCCUAGGGCUUAAGAAGGGGUUUUCAAUUUUAGGGUUUGCCUUUUCACCAAGGAUGUGAAUGGGAAGAUCAAGUGAAGUUAAGAGAUUGGUGAAGCAAAGUGAGGGCAUGGUAGGGUUUGAAUAAGGGAAAUUCUACACUAUUAAUGAAGAUGAUAAUCUCGAGAAAGCAAAGCUAAGGUAAACUAGGGUUUUAAUAACAUUUUUCAAUCUACACUAGUGAAGACGAUAUCUUCGAAAACCAAAGCUAGGGUAAGCUAGGGCUUUAAUAAUGAAUUUCAAUCUACAAUGGUGAAGAUGAGAAUCUUCGAAAACCAAAUCUAUAAUGGUGAAGAUGAUUGAAAACUAAAUCUAUACUGGUGAAGACGAUUGUAAAGCAAAUCUACACUAGUGAAGAUGAUAAUCUUCGAAAACCAAAUCUAUAAUGGUGAAGAUGAUUGAAAACUAAAUCUAUACUGAUGAAGAUGAUUAGAAAGCAAAUAUUCACUGGUGAAGACAACGAAACCAAAGGUAGGUCUUCUAAACUAAACCCUUUUAGGGAUUUUCCAUUUUUUUUCCUUUGUUUUCAAGAAAGGUAAACUCUCUUGAAAACCAAAAAACUAAUGCAUUCUUAAAUCCAGAUCACCAUUUUCAACAUAGUAUUUGGAUUUCCACCUUGCAUUUUUUAUUUUUUAUUUUUUUUAAUAGUCAAGGGCAUUUUAGGGAUUAUUGAAGGAUAAUAUCAAUAAGCUCAAUUUCCUACAUUAGUUAGGUCUUAGGCUCAAAUGUGAAACUUAUAGGGAUGUUAGGCCAAUUAUCAAACUUACUUGCCUAAAGCAUAAUUUCCCCUUUUCAAAAUAGUUGUUAAACAUCAAUCCCAAACAUGUGUAACCCUUUGAAGUACUUGUAUGUCAACCUUGUUUCCUUUCCCUCAUGCAACAUGACUUAUUGAUGGUUGCAUUGAAUCAUUAUCAUUCACCAAAUCCAUGCAACUAUGGACUACCUUUCAAAUCCCUUGAACAUAAAUGGUAAUUCCAAAACAACUCAAGUAUAAUCUUUCCGGCCUUUCAAAUGAUUUAAUUAAUUGAUGUUUGAAUAUACUUCAUAUAUUUUUUUAGAGCAAUUUUUAGGCAUAUGACAUAAAUCUCUAAUUUUUUUUAUUUUUAUAAAAGGUUUUAUAUUUUAUAUUACAAUUUCCUCUCUUUUUUUUCAUCUAAAAAACAAAAUAUAAAACCUUAAUAAACGAGUUUUGUCACAAUCCCUUAAAAGGUAAUCUAUUUUUAAAAAUUACUUUAACCAUUUUAGAUAUAUUGAUUCAGUCUAAUUUAAUUUUAAUAUUUUUUAUAAAAUAUUUUUAUUUUAUAUGAUUAUAAAUUAAUUACCAUUGAUUGCAUAUUAUAGAAUAUAUAUUCUAAAAUAUAUCCUAUUGACAAUAAUAUCAUAAGAUAUUAUAUCCAUAUCCUAAUAUAUUAUAUACUUUUAUUUUGUGCAAUUAGCAACAGGGUGGAAGACGGCUUAGGCGGGAGACGGCUUAACGGAAAUGUCGUCUGCCAUGCGUGUCCCUUCCCUUAGUGAGUCUGAACAGCUCCAACAUUUCUGACACGCCCUUCUUCGGUUAGCUCUUAAGUAUUUUCGUUAACCCCAUCACAUUUCGCCAUGUGGAUCUAAGCCUCAUGGUCCUUUCGUUCGUACUAUGAAUAUAUUCCUUAUCUAGAGUCUGGAUCCUUUAUCUCUGCACGUGUCUAUGGCUCUUCACCCCAGCAAGUAUGGCAUUACAAGGGCAAUAUCGUCAUUAAAGACCCAAAAGGCAAACGAAUGGCAUUAUCUUCCUUUUGGGUCUAUUCUAUUUAUAUUUAUAUUGCAAGUUAUUCGUGAUGACUUCUCUCAUAACAGCUAAAAACCACUCCAACAGAGCACACUUCACUUCUUCGUUUUUGUCUUUCCUCUUUUUUUUCCAGAGAAGCUGAGAAAGCCCAGCUUGCCCUCAACUCCCCGAUGGGUUUGAUGAAUGUUCUCAAAUUCUCAGCUGCAUGCUUUGAUCUUCUUGGCUGGUAUGUUGUCCACGGAUUUUCUCGUCAUUGGAAAAUGAAGUGGAAUUCUAUGUUUGAGGACAAAACUGGGAUUUGCUUUGAUUUCUCCAUGUUGGUUUUAUCCCUUUCCUUUGAAUUGUCCACAUUCUUGUCAUUGGUUGUUAGUUAUUUGUUUGGAUUUCUACUUGCAGGCCUCUGUUUGCACUGGGUUAUCCUCUGUAAGUCUUGGUCUUACACCCCAAGAUAUGAUCAUUCAUUUACUCUUUUCUUGUUCUAUGAAUUCUUAGUUCUGUUACAUUUAUUGGGUUGGAUUAUUAGUUAUUAUAUUAAUAAUCAUCAACGUCAUCUCGGUUCUUCACAGAUGUGCUUCAAUUCGGGUAAUUGAGACUAACUCAAUCUCAGACGUUCGGAAGUUGGUGGCGUAUUGGGUUCUAUUUUCCUUGGUUUCACUCUUUGAUCAUACUUUUGCCAAGCUCCUUGAAUGGUAAUUUUGCUCAACUGCAUUCCACUAUAUGUGGCUCUAUUUCUUUCAUUUCUCUGCCCUUAAGGAAUUUGGAGUUGCUUUUUUCAGUUUUCUUCCCUGUGAAAAUAAUCGAGAUGUUUAAUGUUCCAGGCCUGCAUGCUCAAGGAAGUGGUGUCAGCUUUGGAAAUAAGAUGGAUCUACUAGUUUUUAUUUCUCAUCUUUAUAGGGAACUUUCCAUAAUCACAGUGAUGAAUAAUUGUCUUGUUUGAAAGCAUGGUUGCACUUAUUUCCAUGGAAUUUGUCUGCUGAGAAACAAAUGGAAAUAGAAAAUUCAGAAUCUGACAAGUUUGUGUAGGGCAACUGGAUCUAAUCUCUUAGUCGAAGCUUAAUUGGGGCAAAUGCUGAUCAUCUUUGGACCAUUGAAGGCUCUAAUCUGUGCACAAUUCUAAUGUUUUUGUUUUCUUCAUUUCUUUUUCAACUGUUCAUAAUAGAUGUCAAAAGAUAAAACCGAACUUAUGUAGUCCAUCCAAGUGGAUGCAUAUAAAUUUAACAGAAACUGAAAUUCGAAGAAAUUUAUUUAUUUUUUUAAAUAUUUUAUUUUCUUAUAUAAUGCAUGUCAGGAUACCAUUCUGGCCUUACAUAAAGCUGAUGGUCAUCUGCUGGAUGGUGAUACCGCAUUUUGAUGGUUCAUAUUAUGUCUAUCAACACCUAGUUCAUCCAUGCUUGUCCAUUGAUCCACAAGUUGUCAUGAAUUGGCUUUUCAAUGAAUCAAAAAAGAAGUUUCAUAGCAGAGAAAACUUUCUUGUUUCAGCAGACCAAUAUAUUAAGGAGAAUGGACCUGAAGCUUUGAAGAAACUACUUGCUAGGAAGGUAUGCCAUUAUAAGUAGGAUUAUCAACAAGUCAAACAGAGUUUUAUUUGAGAUGUUCAAGUAAAAAAUGACUAUAGCAGGUCAUCUAGAAUUAUGUGGUCUAAAUUCAUGUAUAUAUCUAUAUAUAAUUGUGUUCUCUUUUUUUCACAUAUGCAUGUGCAUUUAGAUUUACAUAAUUAUAUAUGCAUAAUCAGAUUCAACUGUGAUAGCCCGGGAUUUAAUUCAGUAAUCAACUCUUCUGGGAACAUGUUGGUUAUGGUUUCUCUCUCACUGUCCUCUUAUUUAUACAUGACUUUGGCUUCAGUUGAGGAGCACAAAGCCUAAUGUUGAAGUGAAAGAGAUCAAAGCACCUGCAGCACCGGAGAAAAAAGGGGAAGCGGUAUGCACUCUAAUGUGGCUAUUUUAUUUCUAUGGAGGCAGAUCCCCAGAAAAAUGUUGCUCAUGUAAAUUAGUGAUGCAUUUAAAAGAAAAACCACUUUAUGUAUGUUUCUGUGAAAAAGAGAACAAGUUUAUGGAUUAAGUGAUAUUUUUUAUGGUGAAAUAAUCAAUAAUUUUCAAAAUAAUAAUAUAUUCGUGCAUGUUUUUGCAAUUCAUGAAUUCCUUUUACGAUUGAUUCUUCUCACCUCAGUGGAAGUGUGAAGAGCCUAAUGUUGCAGAAAAGGAGAUCCAAGUAGUCAAAGUAACAGACAUAAAAAAUGGGGGGAUGGAGCAAAGAGGGUAAGUUUUCCUUUUUAUUUAUAAGGAAGGCUGUCUUCACACAAGGAUUAUUGUUAUUAUUUUUAAGACAUGAAUGUUGAAUGCAUUUGGAAUUGUCGUUGAAUCAUGUGAAGUGUGAAGGUGCAAAUGGUGCUAAGAAGGAGAUCAAAGUGAUGGAAGUAACACAGAUAACAUUUGGUGAUACAGAACAGUGGGUAAGGUUUCUUGUCAUACUUAAACGGCACCUCAUAUUUCACUAGGAUUAAUUUUGGCCUACAAACAUAUUUGGCUACAAGUUGAAGACAGAUUUCCAGAUACUGGUAGAAGUUGAGACAUAAGUAAUGAAUGAGUUUAGAAACAUGCACAACUCUUGUGUGAAACACAAUGAGAGUGGAAAAUAGCUAAGUUGAAAAAUGGCCAAAUACUAUUUUGUAGUUCCCCCCACCACUUAAGUAAUUUUUGUCAUCCUUUGUGAAUGGACAAUGCAGUCCCUUCAGUAAUUCCGCUAUAUUCAUGACUUGGUGAAGCAUAUAACCAUUAGUGUCUUGUCCUAAGUUGACCUUUAAUGAUGAUCCAUUGAGAGGGAUCUGACUUUUGUCAACCCUCUUAGAGGUUAAACAUACGGGGCUUAACCCACUUUUCAAUCUCAUUGGAUAUAUGGCACGUGGUAUCCUCUUCAUCUUGAAAGAGUGAAGUGGUCAUACUCUUUCCUCCGAGUCCAUCGUGGCCAUGCACUUCUGGCUCAUUGGGCUGAGUGAAAGGAUUCCCUUCUGCUUCAAAUCAUAGAGAGAUAUGCCAUGGUCAGCCUCUUUAAUUUGAAGGAUUGAAGUACUCAAAUCCAUUUCUUUGCAUCCAUCUUAGUCCUGCUUCCAUGUCUCAUGGUUAACCAGGAAGAUCAAGCUUCCAUCCAUGAGAUCAGCAUCUGCAGGGUUAUGACUCCACCCUUCCUUGGCAUAGGAAAGCGAUCAUUAAGCCACAUGUCGGAUGACAGAAGUCGUCAUUCAGGUUAUCUUGAGAACUAGGGAAGUUGGAAUUCUAAUUAUUGCAUAUGGUUCUUGAUGUUUAGCCAAUAUACUAUAGGAUUUUAAGCAUCAUGCCCAUGUGCAUUGUGGUUUUUUAUCAGCUAUAUGGUUUACCAAACUGAGGGAUUGAUUAUAGUCAUAAGUACCCUUUUCCCAUUAAUUUCUUGCAUGUGCUUUGCUGAGAUUAUGUUUUUGACAGUGCUAAUCAGGGCAAACCAACAAACAGCUUUAUGUUAACUUUUACAAACUGCCACAUUUUCAGGUUGAACGAUCAGACAUAAAUCUUGGUGAAACUAGAAGUAAUACAACCUGUGCUGUGGAGAUAAAAGAAAGGGCAGCAGCACUGGUGGCUGCAGAAAUUGAGGCAUGUAGAGACAAUAGAACCCCCGAGAUACCUCUGCAUAAGAAAGUCCAGAAAGAGUGGGCUUGUGCUGUAUGCCAGUUCACAACCCAAAGUGAAGUGACCUUCAAUUCCCACCUUCAAGGGAAGAGACAUCAGGCCACUUCUGAGCAGUUGAGAGCCAAAAACCAGGCAACCAAAACCAAUUGUUCCCCAUCUGCUUCAAAGGCCAAGAAAUCUGAUCAGUCCACCAAAGAGGAGCAACCAAAGUGUCCUUCCAACAAUCUGAAUUCCAAAAACAAUGGAAUCUCAGCUGCUUCAACAGUGAAGAAACCUGACGAGACCAAAGAUGAUGAGCAACAAAAGUGUGCAUCCAGCAAUGGACCAAACCAGAAGAAUAACAAAAAGCAAGAGGAGAAGGUGCUAGUUCUUGAGACCAAUGAGCAAGGCCAUCAGAAUAAUUUUGAUCCACGAUCCCACAUUUAUUUUGGGUCUCACAAGUUUCAAAUUUGCAGAAAAAUGAAAGAUGUUUGAGAGAAAAUUAAAUCAUAUUGCACUACUGUUAGGAAAAAUAUGGCUGAAUCCAAUUGCUUUUCUUCUCCAAGUCUAUUAAAAAUAUAAUUUUUUCUCCAUUCCUGACAAAAUUUAAAUUUUUUCCUUAAAAAAAAAAAAAUUAAGUUUGAUCACCUAACACAUCUUUCUAAACUCAAUCUCAACUUGAAAAAUCAAACCUUAAUGGAUGGACUAUAGAAAUAGUGAGAAAACACUUCUGGGGUUUUUUUUUUCUUCCAACAUCAAAUUUUUCUAUAUAUGGGAUUUCACAUGCAAAAGCAGGAGUAGAUUUGCUUGUGUUUGAUGUAUGUAUUAGAAAAAUUUGUCCCUUCUGGGAUGUUUAAUACUUUUCUAUUCUUUUAUAUGCAUGUUUAGCUAGAAGAUAUAGAAUCGAUACCAUUCCUUAAAAGUGAUAGCCACAACUGUGAUAAUUAAACACCAAAGAAUGUGAAGAUCUAUAUAUUCUUUUUUUUUUCCUCUCUCUUUCAAUAAUGAAGCUAAGAUGUGUUGUAAGCAUCAAAUGCAUUGUCUCUGCUUGAAUAUAUACAAAGCCAAGGACCACAAGAUGGAUAGAUAUGGGGACGCACAAAACUUCUCAAACAUGAUUAUAUUAAUCAAGAAUUCAACUAAGCUUAAAUUCAAGAUGUUGAUUUCUAGCAUCUCUGGUGCUAUAGGAUGACUAUUGAUCCUGUACUGUUAUGUGCCCUACUGAUAUAUUCUUCGGGUUGUUAUGUAUAAAUAAAAUUUUUGGGAAAGUUUGCUUGGUGGUUACACUAUCACUAUUUAGGCCAGUAAAAAUUGGAAGCCUUUGUAAAAAACUGAUGGUCCAAGAGCUAUUCUACUUCAUCAUCCAUGUAAUAUGACGAUACAAAUUUGACUAAAUGCAGCUAUAGAAGGCUUAGGACCAUAAACCAAGCCUAGUCGAUGUCACUCACCUAAAUUUAUGCAUAAAGCUUUUGGAUGGCUCAGAGUUAUAUUUAAUUACUGUUAUGUUCGCAACUAUAUUUUCAUUGGAUUUAUAGUCCAGCUUGAGAACUAGUCCUCCAUUGCACAUAAUGUCCACACAAGGCCACAGUGCCCGCUCAAAGGCCAUAGCGCUACUCAAGGAUAUAGUGCUUACUCAAGGCCAUAGAGCCCACCUAAGGCUAACGACCCAAAAGGAGAAAAAGGUUGGUUCCACGUACUCUAAUAUUUACUAGAAAAGGUUCUUCCUAUUAAAGAACAAAAAAUUGCAUUCCCUUGUGACCAAUCCAAACAGUAGACCACUGACUUGUAUAAGGCAUUAUUCACCAUGCAAGCACUUUUUCAGCAACCUACCAUCUGGCAUGAACCAUUUUGGAUUGAUUCACAAAGCAAUGGUGUUAUAUUAAGCAUAUUCAAUAUAGAACCAAAUUGUGCCUCCUUAGAUUAACUAAAAUAUUUCCAUUGCAAGAUGUGCAGAUAGGCAUAUGAUCAUGAAGUAAUUUCCUGAUGAUAAUACCCCACAAAAUAUUUCUUUUUCUCACUGAUCUCUCCUAGAUUUUCAGUUCACCCAUCCAUGGCGCCUGACUAAAAAUGGGGGCAUUUUGGAUACCCCGAGCAGUAAGUUAGCCUGGUAGGCAUCCCGUUGCAAGCAAAGUCAACCCGAGCGGUCCAUUUGACCAAAGCUUAUCCAGGCAGUAAGCGUCCAUAUACAGCUAACUGUUAUGCACCAUCAACAGGUUGAGGUUACAAGAUUAAAGAGUCAUAAUGGCCAAAUGGAAGUUACACGACUCGGCCUAUAUAAUAACAGUAUGACAAAAAAUGCAGGUAUGAAGAACUAUCACUGAAAAAAUUUAUUCCUAAAAAUCCUUUAAGCUCCUUUAAGCUAACUUGGGCAUUGGAGAGGUCUCUCCGAAGCACACUCGAGCUUACCUUUUUGUAAGACAUCGAGAACAAGAGGCAUUGAAGUGAUUGUCCGGAGGGUUGAACUUGGUCGGGAACCAACAAUACACACUAUUCAAAAAUAGGGAUCAUAUUAAAUUAUUAAUGCAACCAUAGGAAGCAAUUGAGGACAAGGGUGUUAUUUGAUUAAAAGGGUAAUUGAAAACCUAAAUUUUGAAAUUUAACCCUCCAUUCUAUUUGGCCUUAUGUGAACAAAAAUGCCUUCAUUAUUUUCUUGUAAAAAUAACUCACCCAUUUAAACCUUACAUGAAAAUACUUAAAAUGGUAAAUGAUAUGUUAAAAAUUGAUUAUUUUUCAAAUAAAACAUAAGAAGGGUCAAAUUCAUGAAAGGAUUAUUUCAUCCCUUUUAAUCAAUUAAUUCGAUUUAUUUCUUUUUAUUUUUUUUCUCUCCAUGUUAAUUUUCACAUCACCCAACAACACCACUCUUAAUUCACACAAGUUUGAAGUUUUUGAAUGAGAUAUAUUCGUAAUUAUAUUGUAAUUGUGUUAUAAUAACCAUUUCGUACUUGGAUUUGUUCUUUCAGUCCAUUUAACCUUUUUGUUUAUUCAUGUCAAAACAAUGUACUUAUAAUCGAAUCCAUUUAUGACAUGUUGAUCUUAUAUAAAUUUAUUAAUUUUAUAUAUUUAAAAAUUAUAAAAAUUAAAUAUACUUUUUCAAUUAUGAAUAUCAUAUUACUAAAAUAUUAAAUAACAAAUUAACUUGAAAUGCUAUAUAUUUCAUUAAUUAUUUUAUAAUUAAAACAUUAAAUGAAAUAAUAAACAAGUAUAAAAUAGAAAAUUCUAUCUUAGUUAGAAAUUAUAAACUGUUAUUGAGACAUAUAAGUAUUAAAAUUCUACCCAUUUCACUACCAAACAACUUAUGUUUUUAGUCAUAAUUUAACCUUAUGAUGAACACUUAAAUAAAAUUUGUCAUCUUUUUCUAUUGAUUUAUAUUUAUUUAUUUAAAAAUUUUGUCUGGCAUAAACUAUCAUCUCACAAAAUCAUCAUUGAUGAGUAGGCUAUGCCCCAGUGUAAGCAUCUCCAAAUCAAACAUCAAUGAGAGGAGUACAACCAAUCAUACAUCAUCUUAUCAAAAUGAAUCUCCGCUUUUCAAAGUCAUCGUGGUAACGUGAAGAGAGUAUUUGACCUCCUCUAAAGAAAAAACAUGUCUUGAUGUGAAAAAGAUCAAGCAAAGUGGUAUGCCUCAACAAAAAUGUGCUCAAACAUGAUCAUGCCCCGAUGUAAGUUAGUAUCUCUAAGAUCAAUCGCCAAUGAAAAGGUUAUUCCCCAGUAUAGGGCAAACUCUGAAAUGACUAAACUCCGUUGCAAGCUCUCAUAAGUGUCUGUGUCAUGAUCCAAUCAUCGCAAAAAUUUGUCAACAAUGAUGAGAAGGCUAUGCUCCUAUAAUCACAUCAAAGAAAUCACUCGGUCAUAUUACUCCAAUGUGAAAGAAAUCUAAUCACCUCCAAGGAACAGCUAUGCCUCAAAACCAUCAUCGACUGAGAGGGGGAUGCCCCUGAUCCAAUCACCACCCUAACUAACGUACCCAUCAUGAGGAACACUUGUUUGAGCUCCAUAAUGGGGAUCAACCAUUAGAUGAACAAGAUUCGAAUAUUACUUGCUCCCCAUUUCAACCAAUGAAUGAUGUACCUGGAAACCUUGUAGACAACCAUAGUUUUCAGCCUUCUUCCUCGCGAUCAUCUAGAACAGAGUCGGUAAGCUUCACUCAUUUCUUAUAAUGGACCUUGACCCACAACGUCGAACUACCUGUAUGCAAAAUUAUCCGUCCAGAAAACCCAUCCAUACAAUUCAGGUUCAAAACCCACAAGAACCACCCUAUGAAUAAACUAAUUAUAGCUGGCUUCGUUGCAAUAGGCAUUAACUUUCUUAUGCUGACAGUCCUAGCAUCAUUUACCAAAGGAUCAACAACUUUUCCAUGUCAGAGAACAUUAUCAAUCACAAUGACACCCCUGGUCCUCACUAGUUGCGAUAGCAAUUUAAAGUAUUCUUGAUUCAAAGGGUAAACAAAACAAAAAAGAAAACCCUAAGUGUGACUCCUUAUUUGAAAAAUGUGGUUUAUGAAAAACCGGAUCGAGCUUAGGGGUCAGGUUACUUAUCGGGAAGGUACAAAAAAAACCGUAGCACCCCUCUAAGUCCCUAAAAUGGGUCUCUAUUGAUAAAAUGAAGCAAUCAUGGCAAUUGGUAAGGAAAUCAUUGAGUAUCAACAUGAUCACACAUUGAGAGUUAAAGCAUGCAUGAGGAAUGGUCAAAGUGAGAAAGGAUGCGUACCUUAGCAACGAGUCCCAAUGCGCUAUCAAGAAAUUGGGUUAGUGCACAAUCAAUAAAUAUAAAAUAUAACACACAUGCAUCACUAAAUAGGGUAAUAAAUCCCCGAUGACAAACCUUGCACUUCACUCAGGUUUAUUUCUACUUCUCUGAUGUUGGGCCCCACCAAAGCUCAUUUUAUUUUGCAUGAAUCAACUCCAAUAACUCCAUUAUUCGGAAUUACGAAAUUUAAUUCUUGCUUAUUUUAAAGCAUUUUAAAAAUAGAGGAGAUAUGAGAAUUGCUCGCCAGAAAAGAAGAUGGCGGCAAAAUUUUAAUGAAAAACGAGUUUUUGGAACCUAAGAAAAAUGUUAAGGAUGGAAAAUUUUGGAGGUUUGAAAUUAAUUAAAAAUUAGAAUUGAGGAAUUUAUUUACAAAAUGGGGUUUAGGAAAAUUAUUUUCAAAAAAAAAAAAUGAUGAAAUGAGAGAUGGCACGUGACACAAGGGUGGCCAUGCUGAAGGCGUUCUCUUCUGGCCCAAGCUGGAAAUGCACUCCAAUUAUCCUUCUUUUCUGGUAUAACACCUUCAUCAAAAUAAAUAGCUUUUGCACCAUACUCUGAUAGACAAGGACCAAUAACAAUGCCUAUAUUUGCCUUAAGUAGACAAAGUAAGUCACCCAUUGAACCUCCAAUAUAAAUUGUCAAGUGCUCUGUGUCAUUACUGCAUCCCUCCUUCAAGAUGUCCUUAGAAACCUAAAGCUUUUCCACGACAUACUCCAUCUUCUUAAUGAUUUCACCCGUGGAAAUGGAUUCUUCACAAGCCAACUCAUUUGAAUAUACUCUCAAAACACCCAUAUCACCUGAUGAAAAUGCUGAUCUAACGAAAUCGCCACACCAACAGUAUGAAAGUCCAUGAACAUCUGCUUUCAGAUUAUUAUUUUUAAGAAUCUUUUGGAAGAAACCUGUGCAACCAUCUUGAAGAAUUAGACCUUGACCAACCUGUUUUAUAUCAUCUGAAUUUAAACCCUUCAAUACUCCAGACUGAGUCACUCUUGAAUCUGCCUUUUCCUCAAAAUCAGAAAGUUGCUCAAGUGCUUUACAUAAGCCUUCAUAAUUGAAUUUUUCCACUGUUUCACUGGGGACGAUGCUUCCCAUGCAUUUUUCAAGCUCUUCAGUAUGCUGGGUAGAUAGAACACCCCAUGUGUGUGUCCAGAUCACCAUGAGUGACCAUUUGAACCUUGACGAAUGAGAGAGUACAUAACAUUUAAGCACACAGGACAUAUAUUAACAUUCUCCAUUAGCUUCUCUUUGCCUUUGUCCACCUCUUGACCUCCCAUGCAGCCAACUGUGAAGACCACGUCCAGGUGCAGUCACGUGGUGACACAUCUCAUGGUCUUCCUCAUCCAAUAAAUCACAUGCUCUGUUAAAUCUGCUACCCGAAUGGAUACCUCCUAUCCAUCAACCUGAAUAUACUCCGAGCUUUCUUCAUAAAACCCAAGAAACUCCAGAAGGCAUCAUGGUUCUCCUCCAUCAUUGAAAUGAUUAGGGAUAGUAAAUCACUCAUCCCUUAGCAAUAUCCCAUUUUUAAACCAUAGGGUGCGUAGGCUUCUAGAAUAGUAGCAAAGUGAGCAACACGGAAAAUCUUGCGUGGAUCCAAGUUCCAUGAUGGUGAUCGUAGCCUCACCUUUGAAAUCACAAGACCCAGAACCCAUUCGUUCUUCCUGGUAAUAACUAUCAGAUGCAUAGGAGGCAGGGUUCUUCAGAUUGUUGAUUUGGUAAAAGCCUCUUCUGGUUGAACCCCUGAAUGAUUCACUUUUCUCAGUCCGCAAACCUAGUUCAGAACAGCCCGCAAGAUCAGAACCUUAACCUAGGCGUGGAGAUCCAGUGUUGUAUAACGCCUCAAUUGUCGGAAGCAGCCAUGGCCCAAACAAUGAUAUAAUGGUCAGCAAGUUGUCCCCAAGGACCAUGACAGUGAUGAGCAUUUCCGGGCAGCGCGUCACCACGUUCCACGUCGCGACGGUAAUGGCUAUGGACUGAGUGUCAUGGUCAGGGAGCUUGAUGAAGCAGGUGAAAAUCUGGUGUUUUAGAUUCUGAGGCAAUGACUGCUUGAUCGGUCGGAUUCUAGUACCGGCGUUACAUUGGGGAGGCAAUCUUAAAGUUCCAACGGAGGUAGUAGUGGACUAAUAUUCCUCAAUAACCAAACUUGAGUUUCUCACUUUCCGCUUCUCAAGGCAUUCACCUGAAACGCUUCAGGCGCCCAAACCCUUUCUGCUCAUCAGUAUAAUCACGCGCAUGAAAGUCUUAACUGCCUUCUAAACUUCACAACUUCAUCUUGCAUCUGGGUCAUCGUCGGCACGAACUUAUCACCUGAUUCAGUUAAUAUCCCCAUAUAACAAGUUCCAAUGAAGUCGCAACUUUGCAUCUUCUUUUCUGCGAUUACUUUGAUUCUCAAAGCCGAUUACUUGUUGCAGUCCAUAGGAGAUUCAAUAAUCAAACAUCAUGCACAAGCAAAAAGGCAACAAAAUACAUCGGCAUGUGGCCCAUACACCCUCCAAAAUCUUCACUCAUUUAGUAAGUUUUAGAUUCAAAAGAGUUAGCCUUCUGGUGAGCAACCCGAUACCCAUAACGAAUGAUGUAUCUGAAACACCUUUCCCACGUGGCCCUUGAAGGAUUCACUAGAAGGUGACCAUGCAUAGUAGGUCUUCACUCGCAGGAGAAUGAGAAGGAAAUAAACCUAAAGGGGGGUUGACAGCGUAGUCUAGAAGGUGAUGAGCUGAGCGGGUGGGGGUAUUAGGGUGGUCAAGUUCAGUGGGUAUGAAGGGUGGAAAGAUGGCAUGAUAGAGGAAUAAGCAGCUGAUAGUGGGUGCGAUGAUAUAAGGUAGGUUGACUAUGGAGAGUAUGGCAUUAAAGGAUGAAGACUUAGAGAGAGAGAGGUGGGUUUAAGGGUAUGGUGAGAUGGAGGGUUGAGGGUGAUAGGCUUGGAUAGUUGCAUGAGGAGGAUGAAAGGUGGGUAUGGAAAAUGUGCAUGGGUAGGAAAUGGGUAUAACAAUGGGUGUGAAUAUUGAGAGGUAGUGAAAUGAAGGCAGCCUUGCUCGUAUGGAUCAGUGUCGGAUUGAGUUAAGAAUGGUGAGAGAAAGGGAUUCGAUGAAUAUUGAAUGAUGGAAAAUGGUGAUUGGUUAGAUAGGGAUUUGUGGUCGAAUGGAAAUAGGAGACAUGAACAUAGAGAUGAGUGUGAUGGAUGAUAGUGGGCAUGAAGGGUAUUGGAUUUGUUCAUGGGUAUAGUGGUUAAAAGAGUGGUGAGAAGAAAAAAAAAUGGCCAUGUAAAUAGCAAUUAUACAUGUGGGCCCGUGAUUGCAAACGGGACUGCAUUGUUGCAUCUCAUGCUGAACCCUCACCUCCUUCUAGGAUCAUUUUCUGCAUCAAAGCUAGAUAAACUUAGAUGGUAUUUCCUGCCAAUUUUGGAUGCCCCCCACUUUGGAAAUAUUUCCUUUUCACCCAUCAGAAUAUGCUUAUCAGGUGUACUUGACUCAGGUUCAUUCCCAUAUUGCCUCUCUGAUUUAUGAUCUUCAAAGGUUUUGCAUGAAGGAAGCCUUUCACUGCAUUCCCCUUCAUCCACCAGACCUUCAGAGCAUCGUUUCCAACAAAAGCAACCUUGACUCUUCUAGUCCCAUCAGAAAAAAGUCUGAAUAUCCUCAGUUUAUGUCAUCCCUUGAUGCCCAACUCAGAAAUGAUCCAAAAAACAGUCAUCUCCCAUAUUUGGCUUCCCAGAAACACCUCGACUCAGAUGGCCAGUCCAAAUGUGAUACCCAACAUUCUAAAAAUGCUAAAAACAGAGGAGAUGAUGAAGAAAAACAGAGCAUGUAUAAAAGAAAAAAAAAAGGACUGUUAAAUCUCACUCCAUUCCAUAAAUGCUAAUGGGGUGGAUAUGGUGGAAUCAAAAGGAAGCAAGAGCGUGAUCUUCAAAAUCAAAAGCAAUGAUGGAUCCAUAUUCAAAACGUUCCAGAAUAGAGAAAGACACAAAUAAGGAGCAGGGUUUUUUUUUGUUACUGGCAGGAAGAUAUUUUUUCUAGAGAGUAACUAGAGAGAAAAAUAGGAAGAAAAGGGAAGAGCAUAGAAGACAUCUACAUAGGAGAGUAUUCAUUGUUGUGAGGAGUAGUAGAGAGCUUAGGAGGAGUUACAAAGAGAGUGAGUUUGGUUAGAGGAGGAAGUUUUGUUGGUUUUUCAGAAAGGAUUCUAGCUUGAGUGAGAGCCAUUCUAGAGAGGGUUAGAGAGGAGAAAGGUGUGUUUUGAGCAGCAAAGACACGAAGCAAAAUAGAGCAGCCAGGAAAGAGAAGCAGAAAAUCAAAAUUACUAAAAAAUUAGUGAAAGCUGUGAAAUUUCAUAUUGUUACUAAUUAUUAUAAUUUUUUUUUGUAUUUUCAAUAUUUCAACCAAUAUUUUAUAUAAUUAAAUUUAAAUUAUAAGAAUUAUAUUAUUAAUACACAUAACUAUCUUAAUGUUUUAACAAUGUAUACUUAUUUAAAUUUAUUUCAAUUUUUUUAUUUUUUUAUAAAUAUCUAAUUAGACUUAUAAUUCAUUGAAAUUAUUCAUUUUUUUUUUACUUCAUAAACCAAUUAUAUUACUUUUUGUAUUUUCAAUAUUCAUUUGGAAAAAAUAAUUUCAAUUUAAAAUAAAAUAAAUUAAUUAACUCUCAAUUUAUAAAUUGUGUCAUUGAAUUAUUUUUUAUUUAUAAUAUUUAGUUUAUUUUAAAUUUAAUUUUUUUUCUUCACCUUUUGGUUUAUCACUUUAUAUUAAAAAAUAAAAUAAAAUUGAAUUUCUUUUAAUUUAUAUUUUCACAAAUUAUUCAAUAUUUUUUUAAUUUUUAUAAAAUAAAUCCUCAGAUUAUAUAAUUGGAUGUUGUAAAGAGUUAAAAUUUUUGUGUUGCAUUGAAUUAUUUUUUCUAACAAAAGUAUAUUUGGGUACCGUAGACAUUAUAUCCAUAUCUUAACGUAUUAUAUACUUUUAUUUUGUGCAAUUAGCAAUUGAGCGGAAGACGCGGAGCCGGCUAACGGAAAUACCGCGUGUCACGCGUGUCCCUUCCCGUACCAAGUCUCAACUGCUUCAAGAUUUCCGACGCGCCCUUCUUCGCUUAACUCUUAAGUCUUUUCUUCCACUCUUCCUUAAACCCAUCACAUUUCGCCGCGUGGACCUAAGUCUCAAUGUCCUUGUGUUCAUACGAUGUAUGUUCCCCCAAUUCCUCAUCUACACUGAAACUCCAUACUCGCCUACUCAAUCACUUCUCUACUCUAGAGUCUGGAUGCUUAUCUCUGCGCGUGUCGAUGGCUCUUCACCCCAGCGAGUAUGGCAUUACAAGGGCAAUAUCGUCAUUAAAGACACAACAGAGUGUCUAUUUUAUUUAAGCUGUACGUAAUCGUGAUUGACUUCUUAGUAUCCUUUUGCUCCUAGUCUUCUCCCGCGUCUCUUAUAAAAACUAAAGAAAACCACUCCAAGAGAGCACACUACAAGAAUCUUCUUCCUUUUUUUCUUUCCUCUUUCUCUUUACAGAUAAACUGAGAAAGCCCAGCUCAUCCCUCAAUUCCCAGAUGGGUUUCAUGAAUGUUCUCAAGUUCUCAGCUGCAUGCUUUGAUCUUCUUGGCUGGUAUGUUGUCCACGCGUUUUCUUGCCAUUGGAAAUUUUUGGGAAAUGAAGUGGAAUUCUCUGUUUGAGGACAAACAUGGGAUUUUCUUUGAUUUCUCCCUGUUGGUUUUAUCUAUAUUCUUUGAAUUACCCACAUUCUUGUCAUUGAUUGUUAGUCAUUUGUUUGGAUUUCUACUUGCAGGCCUCUAUGUGCACUGGGUUAUCCUCUGUAAGUCUUGGUCUUACACCUCAAGAUAUGAUGAUUCAUUUACUCUUUUCUUGUUCUACGAAUGGUUCAGUUACAUUUAUUGUGUUGGGAAACUGAAAAGGAAAAGGAUUAUUAGUUAUUAUCGUAAUAAUCAUCAACAUCAUCUCGGUUCUUCACAGAUGUGCUUCAAUUCGGGCAAUUGAGACUAACUCAAUCUCAGACUUUCGGAAGUUGGUGGCGUAUUGGGUUCUAUUUUCCUUGAUUUCACUCUUUGAUCAUGCUUUUUCCAAGCUCCUUGAAUGGUAAUUUUGCUCAACUGCAUUCCACUAUAUGUGACUCUGUUUGUUUCAUUUCUUUGCCCUUAAGGAAUUUGGAGUUGCUUUUUUCAGUUUUCUUUCCUAUGAAAAUAAUCGAGAGGUCUCCAUGUAUUUUAUAUUCCUUCAUUUCUCUGCUUUGACAAAGGCCCACAUUCUGAUCAGCAGAAAGGUUAUAACAUUUGAAAAAGAAGUGCUUUAUUUUUGUUUUUUGUUAGUACAAUAAUUUUCGUUUGGAUAAAUGGUCUGAAGGGUGUUUGUGUUUGGCUGAGUUCAUGGAAUUUUCUAGCUAAUUUGGGAUUUAUUCUCAAUUUCAAGAUCAUUGUGGAUAUGUCAGAAAUUAAUGAAAUAUAAACGGUGGAAUGUGAUUUUCUUGUUUAAGAAAAGUUUUUCUUUGAAAAUACGGGUGCACCUGACCUACCUUAUUGUGCUACUUGGAACACAAAACAUUAGUACAGGUAAUUUAUUAACUAAAUUGUACACUUUUUGAUAGUUCAAGGAGGUGGUUUUCUUCUUUUAGGGUGUCAGCUUUGGAAAUAGGAUGGAUCUAAAAGUUUUUAUGUCUCAUCUUUAUAGGGAACUUGAAAGCAUGGAUGCACUUAUUUCCAUGGAAUUUGGCUUCCUUGAAAUCAAAUUAAGCUUUAUGCAUCAUUUGGAUGCUGAGAAACAAAUGGAAAUAGAAAAUUCAGAAUCUGACAAGUUUUUGUAGGGCAACUGGAUCUAAUCUCUUAGUCGAAGCCUAAUUGGGGCAAAUGCUGAUCAUCUUUGGACCCCAUUGAAAGCUCUAAUCUGUGCACAAUUCUAAUGUUUUUGUUUUCUUCAUUUCUUUUUCAACUUUUCACAAUAGAUGUCAAAGGUUAAAACCAAAUUUACGCAGUCCAUCCAAGUGGAUGCAUAUAAAUUUAACAGAAACUGAAAUUCGAAGAAAUUUAUUUUCCCUUUUGUAAAUGGUGUUUAAAUAUUUUAUUUUCUUAUAUAAUGCAUGUCAGGGUACCAUUCUGGCCUUACAUAAAGCUGAUGGUCAUCUGCUGGCUGGUGAUACAGCAGUUUGAUGGUUCAUAUUAUGUCUAUCAACACCUAGUUCAGCCAUGCUUGUCCAUGGAUCCACAAGCUGUCAUGAACUGGCUCUUCAAUGAAUCAAAAAAGAAGUUUCAUAGCAGAGAAAACUUUCUUGUUUCAGCAGACCGAUAUAUUAAGGAGAAUGGACCUGAAGCUUUGGAGAAACUACUUUCUAGGAAGGUAUGCCAUUAUAAGUAGGAUUAUCAACAAGUCAAACAGAGUUUUAUUUGAGAUGUUCAGGUAAAAAAUGACUAUAGUAGGUCAUCUAGAAUCAUUUGGUCUAAAUUCAUGUAUAUAUCUAUAUAUAAUUGUGUUCUCUUUUUUUCACAUAUGCAUGUGCAUUUAGAUUUACAUAAUUAUAUAUGCAUAAUCAGAUUCAACUGUGAUAGCCCGGAAUUAUUUCAGUAAUCAACUCUUCUGGGAACAUGUUGGUUAUGGUUUCUCUCUCACUGUCCUCUUCUUUAUACAUGACUUUGGCUUCAGUUGAGGAGCGCAAAGCCUAAUGUUGAAGUGAAAAAGAUCAAAGCACCUGCAGCACCGGAGAAAAAAGGGGAACAGGUAAGUUCUCUAAUGUGACUAUUUAAUUUCUAUGAGGCAGAUCCCCAGAGAAAUGUUGCUCAUGUAAAUUACUGAUGCAUUUGAUUCAAUGGCAUGGUUUUAAAAGAAAAACCACUUUAUGUAUGUUUCUGUGAAUAAGAGAACAAGUUUAUGGAUUAAAUGAUAUUUUUUAUGGUGGAUUAAUCAAUAAUUUUCAAAAUAAUAAUAUAUUCGUGCAUGUUUUUGCAAUUCAUGAAUUCCUUUUAUGAUUGAUUCUUCUUGCCUUUUUUCUCACCUCAGUGGAAGUGUGAAGAGCCUAAUGUUGCUCAAAAGGAGAUCCAAGUUGUCAAAGUAACAGAGAUAAAAAAUGGGGGGGAUGGAGCAAAGAGGGUAAGUUUUGCUUUUUAUUUAUAAAGUAGGCUGUCUUCACACAAGGAUUAUUAUCUUUAAGACAUGAAUGUUGAAUGCUUUUGGAAUUGUCCAUGAAUCAUGUGUAGUGUGAAUGGCCUAAUGCUGCUAAGAAGGAGGUCAAAGUGACAGAAGUAACACACAGAACAUUCGGUGGUACAGCACAGUGGGUAAGGUUUCAUGUCAUAUUUAAAUGGCUCCUCAUAUUUCACUAGGAUUAAUUUUGCCCCUACAAACAUAUUUGGCUACAAGUUAAGACAGAGUUCCAGAUGCUGAUAAAGUUGAGACAUAAGUAAUGAAUGAGUUUAGAAACAUGCACAACUCUUGUGUGAAACACAAUGAGAGUGGAAAAUAGCUAAGUUGAAAAAUGGCCAAAUACUAUUUUGUAGUUCCCCCUACCACUUAAGUAAUUUUUGUCAUCCUUUGUGAAUGGAAAAUCCAGUCCCUUCAGUAAUUCCGUUAUAUUCAUGACUUGGUGAAGCAUAUAACCAUUAGUGUCUUGCCUUAAGUCGACCUUUAAUGAUGAUCCAUUGAGAUGGGUCUGACUUUUGUCAACCCUCUUAUUCCCUUGAUCAUAGAGGUUAAACUUAGGGGGCUUAACCCACUUUUGAACCUUAUUGGAUAUAUGGCACAUGGUAUCCUCUUCAUCUUGAAAGAGUGAAGUGGUCAUACUCUUUCCUCUGAGUCCAUUGUGGCCAUGCACUUCUGGCCCAUUGGGCUGAGUGAAAGGAUUCCCUUCUGCUUCAAAUCAUAGAGAGAUAUGCCAUGGUCAGCCUCUUUAAUUCAAGGGAUCGAAGUACUCAAAUCCAUUUCUCUGCAUCCAUCUUAAUUCUGCAUUCAUGUCUCAUGGUUAACCAAGAAGAUCCAGCUUCCAUCCAUGAGAUCAGCAUCUGCAGGUUUAUGACACCACCCUUCCUUGGCAUAGGAAAGGGAUCAUUAAGCCAUGUGUUGGAUGACAGAAGUCAUCAUUCAGGUUAUCUUGAGAACUAAGGAAGUUGGAAUUCUAAUUAUUGCAUAUGGUUCUUGAUGUUUAGCCAAUAUACCGUAGGAUUUUAAGGAUCAUGCUCAUGUGCAUUGUGGUUGUUUAUCAGCUAUAUGGUUUACCAAAAUGAGGGACUGAUUAUGGUCAUAAGUACCUUUUUCCUAUUAAUUUCUUGCAUGUGCUCUGCUGAGAUUAUGUUUUUGACAGUCCAAAUCAGGGCAAACCAACAAACAGCUUUAUGUUAACUUUUACAAACUGCCACAUUUUCAGGUUAAACGAACAGAGAUAAAUCUUGGUGAAACUAGAAGUAAUACAACUUGUGCUGUGGAGAUAAAAGAAAGGGCAGCGGCACUGGUGGCUGCAGAAAUUGAGGCAUGUAGAGACGAUAGAACCCCCAAGAUACCUCUUCAUGAGAAAGUCCAGAAAGAGUGGGCUUGUGCUGUAUGCCAGGUCACAACCCAAAGUGAAGCGACCUUCAAUUCCCACCUUCAAGGGAAGAGACAUCAGGCCACUUCUGAGCAGCUGAGAGCCAAAAACCAGGCAACCAAAACCAAUUGUUCCCCAUCUGCUUCAAUGGCCAAGAAAUCUGAUCAGUCCACCAAAGAGGAGCAACCGAAGUGUACUUCCAACAAUCUGAAUUCCAAAAACAAUGGAAUCUCAGCUGCUUCAACAGUGAAGAAACCUGAUGACACCAAAGAUGAUGAGCGACAAAAGUCUGCAUCUAGCAAUGAACCGAACCAGAAGAAUAACAAAAAGCAAGAGGUACAGACCAAUGAGCAAGGCCAUCAGAAGAACUUAAAGCAAACUGGCGAUGGAAUGAAAGAGUUGAGAUUAUGCUGCAAUAUCUGUAAUGUAAGCUGCACAAGUGAGCUUGACAUGGCCUCUCAUCUCAAUGGAUGGAGGCACUUUAAUAUGAUAAAGGAGGCGUCUGAAUUAUGGUGCAGUAACUGCAAUGUAAGGUGCAACAGUGAGGCUGUCAUGGCCUCUCACCGAAAUGGGAGGAGGCACUUGAAGCAGCUGAAGGAACGGUCGGGAUUAUAGUGCAGUAUCUGUAGCGUGAGAUUGUGUUAGGAAGAGGUGGAAUGGGUUCCAAUCAGGAAUUAAGACUCGGUUCCAAGACAUGGAAAGUGUCUUUAGAUUAUGUUAUCUCCAUUUUUUUUAUUGUGAGAGGGGAGUAUAAGGAAUGAAAAUAAAUAUAUAUAUAUUUUUUAAUAGAGAUGAAUUUGAUAAUUUUAAUUAUUGUGUUUUGAUGUAUUUAGGAAUGUAAAAUUAAAAUAAUUAUUUAUUUUCAUUUUAGUAUUUGACAAUAAUAAAAUUAUGAAUUAAAAAAUAAUGUGAUAAUAAUACAUUUAUAUUUAAUUUAAAAUAUUUUUUAUUUUAUUUUAGAAGAAUAUGGGUUAAAUUCUUUUUUUAAAUAAUAAGCUUAAGAAAAAUAAUUUUUACUCAAUAAAUAAAAUUAAUCAUAAAAAGUCAUAACAACCUAAUAAAAAUAUAGGGGUAAAAUAAUAAUUUUAAAAUAUUAUUUAAGUUAUCCAAACAAAUUUGACUCUUCAUUCUCUCUCUUGAACCAAAUACGGUCUUUUAAGCGUUUGUCAACUUAUUUUUUUUUGCAAAAUAUCAAUAUUUUACUAAUAUUUUUAUCGAUUAUUUGCCAAUAUUUAUCGCCACGUCACCAAUUCUUUGAGUUUGACUUUCAAAAUUUUGAAAUGAUAUUUGAAGUCCAGUUCAGCCCAAAUCACUACACCCAUGAUUUUUCCCUUUUCUUUUUCUCCUUAAUUUUCACAUCACCCAACAACACUACUCUUAAUUCACACAAAUUUGAAGGUUUGGAACGAGACUUCUUCCUAAUUAUAUUGUAAUUAUGUUAUAAUAACCAUGUCGUAUUUGGAUUUAUUUAUUCAGUCCAUCUAAAUCUUUUGUUUAUUCAUGUAAAAAGAAUAUAGUUAUAAUCGAAUCCAUUUGUGACAUAUUCAUCUUUUAUAAAUUUAUUAAUUUUAUAUAUUUAAAAACUAUAAAAAUUAAAUAUAUUUUUUCAAUUAUGAAUAUCAUAUUACUAAAAUAUUAAAUAACUAAUUAACUUGAAAUGUUUUAUAUUUCAUUCAUUAUUUUAUAAUUACAACAUUAAGUGAAAUAAUAAAUAGGUUAAAAUAUAUAUUUUAUUUUAGUUAAAAAUUAUAAAUUGUUAUUGAGACGUAUAACUAUUAAAAUUCUACCCAUUUGACCAUCAAACAAACAACUUAAGUUUUUAGUCAUAAUUUAAGCUUCUGAUAAACUCUAUUUCCAUAAAUUAGAAACCGAAAUCAAUUUCUUCUUAGACUCAAAAACAUAAAGACAAUCUUUUAAUUCUAGAAGACAUCUAUCAUUUAAGAUAAGGGUAACAUAUCCCAUUGCCUAAACAACAACUCUUGCUUCAAAAGCCAAUGUCAAGUACAUAUCCCUAUCAUUCAACCUUUCCCUUAGCUAAAACCCCUAUAAAGAAUUAUAAACAUAAUCAAUGGCUCCAAAAUUUAUCCACCAAGAGUUAGUGGAAUCCAACACUAAACAUAAUUCAACUAUAAGAGAAUGAUGCAUAGUUGACUAUCUCUUCAAGAACUAAGGACAUUCCUUCUUCUUCUAAUGGCAUUUUUUACCACAAAGGAAACACUUGUCAUGACCCUUACUCUUCUUCUUCUUCCCCUUAGCCUUAAACUUCCCCUUCUGCUUGAUGAACUCUAUAGUGUUCUUCUUAUUUUGGCUAGAAAAACCUAAAGAACCCUUAACUGCCAUAUAAAUACCUCUCUGGUCCUUGAGAAUUCCCUCAGUCAUUUUGUGUUCUCUCAUUAGUUCAAUUGUAGUUUAAGAAAAAUAAUGUUUUUUAUUUUAUUUUAUGUGAUUGAACUUGGAAUGAAUUUCCAAGUUGCAUACAUACUUGGGUUGAGAUCAAGUCAUAACGUAGUUUAAGAAAAAGAUUUUUUAUUUUUUAUGUGAUUGAACUUGGAAUGAAUCUCUAAGCUACCUACGUAUCCAAGAUGGGAUCAAGUUCUAACAUAGUCACAAUGCAGUUCAAGAUUUUUUUUUUUCUUUUUUUGUGCUCUAACUUUUGUCAAGACUAAAGAUCUUAAUCUUGCAAGCAUGUCCUAACUUUUGUCUAGGUCACCUUUCCAAGUUUUCAACUUAGCAAACAUUUUUUUUUUUUGUUCUCUAACGUUUGCCAAGACAAAAGAUUUUAAUCUUGCAAGCAUGUCAUAACUUUUACCUAAGUCAGAUUUUUAGGUUUUCAAUGUGGUGGAUUUUUUUGUUUUUUAUUUUUUAUUUUUUAUUUUUUGUGUCGUAGGCAAUUUAGCUCAUACGGCCCAGAAGCGAUGUGUAGUUUGUUGGGAUUCAACCCUUAAAAGCAAAACAUGAUGUAACAAAGUUAGACUUAACUAUCCCCUUGCUAUCAUUUUGGUGUAUUAACAUUGAUUUAAACAUUCAACUCAUAUUUUACAUUGUACAUGACUUAGGUGCAUUAGGAGUUGCUCAUAAGAUACAUGGAUUCCUUGUAAGUAGAUGAGUUAUCCAUAGUCAGUUCAUGGAUUUGGGCAAUCUAGUAGAGACUGUAAUGCACCACCUCUUAAUUGAAGAGAUGACUUGUCUUGACAGUUGGGAUAGGUUUCCUAUGGUGAGUGCACUAGUAUAUAUGAUGCACAUUGGAUAGGACCUACGGUAAAUCAUGAGCAAAGCUAUCAAUUGUCAUGAUUCACCAAGUUACGAUACUGCAUGGACUCUCAAUCUUGAGAGGACAUUGAACCUGUGCCAAAAUCAACAAAAAGCUUUCACCUAUAGAUGAGACCUUAAAGUGAUCAUAUAUCCCUAUGGAUUGAGUCACUAUUGAUGAAGGUUGGUGGUAAUAGGUAUUCUCAAUAGAGGCACCAUGAUAUCUCAUGAGAUUGAGACGGUGUGUCCCCUUGGGUGAUACAAAGGACAUGUGAUCAUAAAAUCUGUGACCAUAGUAAUUCUUUUAUUGAAAUUUGACAUAUACCCCUUCGAGCUAGAGUAUGUCAGUUGAUUACAUAAUAAGUGGCAUCUAUAACUUAAGGAUUUGAGAGGUAAUCUUGAUAGGUGAUAGCACUACCUUGUUAGAUUAUGGACACCAGUUCAUGGGGAAUCUACAUGCAGUGGAUGAUAUGUCACGAACGCGAGCUUCAUAUCGUUGUUAUUAACAUAGGAUACUGGAGUGCAAUUGAUUCUCUUUAGUAGAAUGUUGAAUCAACUUCAAAAUGGAUUAUGAGGGAGCCAAUACUCCUAUGGGUCUUAAUGGUCCCCACUCUGAGCUCAUAUACCAUGAUGACACAGUUUAUGAGGGUUUGAUUGGCUUUAUGUUCAUUUUUGUGCAUAAGGGCAUUUUGGUAAUUACACAAGGUUACAUAGGGGAUAGUCAAUAAGGUCUUUAGAUUGGGCCAAUUGAUUAAUUAGAUGACCUUAUGUGGUUAAUUAAUCAAUUAUGAUAUGUUUAGGCUAGAUUAAAUGACCCAAGCCUUGAUGAAUUUAAGUCACUUAAGCCUAGCAGAUAACCUUAUAAAUACCCUCUUAUGGGUUAGGGUUUCCUAAUGACUUUCAGUUAAUCAUCUUCCAUCCCUAGAAAGAGAAAGAGAGCCAAAUCUUUCUCCCUUCCAUUGCCCACACUUUGGUAUGCCAAGAUCAUGGUUCAAGUCACUGGGAGGAAGAUCUUGGGUGUACAAGACCUUCGGACUCUUUAAGUUUCUUCUUCGUUGGAUGAAUUUUUAUUUGGGACACAUCUAGAUCAUAAGUAUGUGUUAGAAAAUUUGGCUAAUUCAACUUAAGGUAAUCACUCUAGAGGAGGGGUGAAUAGGGUGAUGAUCUUUUUUUACAAAUUUAAAUUAUGUGAAUGCAAGAGACAAUUAUACUAUGCAAAUAUAUAGUAAAACCAUAUAAAAAUAAUUGCAUAUAAAGUACAAGGGUAGAAAAUAGAGAAUAUAAACACAAGAUUUUUAUAGUGGUUUGGUGCAACUCGGCCUACAUCCAUUCUCCUCUAGCUUCAAUCCCAAGUUUGAGGUUCCACUAAUUCAAGGCUUCCAACCUAACCCUUCAAGCAAUACAAUUGGAUUAUGGUUCCAAUCAAACCUUUUGGACUUUUGGCUCUAAGCACCUUUUACAAUCUUUGAUUCGUGCCUAACUGGUGUUUGCCCUGUUGAUUGGUGUUCAAUCAACUGAUGUGCUUUGAUUUCAGUCCUCAGACGAGAGUAAUCAACAAAAUUUAUAAACCUAUUUCACCAUAUACUAGGGUAGCAUUAGCUAGCAUAGCAUAGUGGCUCUAGGAUCGUCCACAGGGAUGGGUUUUCAAAUUACAAUUGAUAUUAGUUCAAAAACUGAAUUGGUGUUUUUUCUUUUCAAGGUUAGCUUUAAAAGAAAACAUAAGUAUGUGUGAAAAGGUUGGUUUUAAGUGAAACCAAAAAUAAAGUAACUGAAAUUACUUACAAAGAAAAGUGCUUCUUGGAGUUUUAGAUCACUAGGCUCAAGUUCCUUAUACAAAAAGAGAGAUUCCGAUCACUUGGAUCUUUUCCUAGCAUUGGGGAUUUAACAUAUAGUUAUUUCCCGAACCGGUGCGGUACAGAUGCUUCCCCUUAAUGGUUUCAAACACUAAAUCUCUAUCACUGAAUCAUCUUGUAAUGGUUCAUACCUCUCACCUGGUAUUGGUCAUUUAAGGUGAUCAUUAACCUUGGAUUACCCGUCAAAAGCUCGCAAAAGAUAACUAAUGAAUGUCUCCUAGGAGUCCAAAAGCUUACCAAGUGUUGGCUAUUCUAGAUAAUCCUACCUUUAAACCAUCUCCCAAAAGCUCGCAAGAGAUAAACUAGUGGAUCUCAAUGGACGGAGUCCACUUGCCUUACCAAGUGUUGGCCCAAGUGAUUUUAAGGGAUUUUAAGUUAACUAAAAAGAUAAAAACCAUUAACGGGUCACACUUUCUCUUCAUUAAAACCUGAAACAAUGAAACUUCCACUUUUGUAUACGAAACCUUACCUAGCUUCCUUCACUCCAAGAAACAAAAAGCCUAGCCACUCAUCCUCUAGGAAAACAUCCUCAGAGUUUGAUUUGGUAGAAAUAAAAAUAAAAGAGAAAACCAAAUGUGAAGGUAAGGCCGAGCAGAGCUCUGUGUAUUACUUUAUGAAAAACUAUACAAAAUUUGUCUCUAAGAGAAACUCCCCCGAGAUCUCUUUUAAAAGAAAAUUACAAUAGAUAUCAUAUAAAGAGGCUAUUCACCCCUCUUGCUAACUUCCCAACCAUGAAAACUUGUCAAUGGUGGGUUACAAGGAGAAAAUAGGGAUUUACACACAAAUAUUUGAAGAUAAACAUCAAACUGAGUCGGUGCGCAAAUAUCUCAGAUUACAAGUGGAUUUCGCAAGUUCAAACGCAACUUGCAAAAAUUUUGCAAGUUGAAAUUAUGGUUUCGCAAGUUGCGAAAUUGUCCUGCAACUAAUCAGCUCUCUGUCCUACAACAAUUCCUUUCCUCUUCCUAUUUCGCAAGUUGUGAGAAUUUCGCAAGUUGGAUUCCACAACUUGCAAAAUUGUUGGAUGGUUGAUUUCUUUUGUGAUUUUCUUCCUUGCAUCCUCAUUUGGCUUUGGCAAAGGGUUAUGAAGCUCCAAAGCUUAGUUUCUUCAUGAAUUUGAGCUUCAACUUGCUUUGCCAUGAACUAUACAAAGAUCUCCCUCAUUCUUGGAUUGCUUUGGUGAUAAAAAAGCUAUGAAAAACACCAAAACUUAACACAAUUUGAUUAGAAACGAUUGUAAGGGUCUUUAACAUGCCAAUUGAGUUAAAAGGUAAUAGCUACUACUCAAAAGUGUUUAAAAGAGUUAAUUACAAGCUAUAAAAUGACCCUUUUUGAAGUUCAACCCCUUAAGUGAUACCCCUUAAGUGAUACCCCUUAAUUCAAGAGAUGUCUUACUCUUAAACAACCCCUUAAGUGAUACCCCAUACUUGAGAUUCCCUAAGUGAUGCCUCACACUUAGAUUUUUCAUCUCAAAGAUUUACAAAUGAAGAUAGGAAAUAAUCUCACAAAAUCUUAAUACAAAACAUUAGGCUCAAAUGAUACAAGAUAAACUAUGAUUGAAUGGUGCACUAAUAAUAUGCAAGUUUUAAAACAAUGAGUACUAAAAAACACUCUCCUAAGGUUCAAAUAUAUUCAAGAAAGAUUUAAGAAGGUUAAACUCUUGAAACAAUAAAGAUUGAAACCUUUUUAUGGAGGAGAAAUGCCAAACUAGUUGUUGGGGGUUUGUCCAGUCGAGUUCUGGUUUGACCGGUUCACUAACCGUUAGCAUUUAAUGCAUGAUAGGUGAUCAUUGGGCCUUGACCAUCCCUCGACCAGUACUCAACCGGAUAAAGUUCAACCUUAAUCAAUCGAAUAAGCAUUCUAGAAUAGAGAGAAGGUUUUUGCACCUUUCAAUCAGUUGAGUUGAACAAAUAGACGGAUUCCUUAUCCAGUUCAACCGGUUGAGCCAUUUUUGGCUCAACAAUCAUCAUUUUCAACUUAAAACCUUUUAAACAAGUUUAGAAAGCAUUUGACACAAGGAUUUAGUUGAAAACAUUAAAUCAUCCUAUUUUUAAAAGAUUUAAAACAAAAUACCUCUUGAAUGAUUUUGGUGUAUAAGUAAAUAAUGUAAUGCAUGAAAAACCCAGUGCGCCAACAACCUUACAAAGAGAUCUUAUGAGGCUUAGGUAUUGAAAAACACUUCUCUUUAAGGCAGACAACAUCGUGUGAAUACCAAAGGGGAACUCUACGUUCCUAGGGAAAGAUGCCUCGUCAGUACGUCUUGAGGUUGUUCACUAACUUCGGGGUUACCGGCUUUGAGAGGAGCCCUUUGAUGACAUUUGGGCAUGCAACUCUUCAUUUUCUUCCUUGAUUCGCCUUGUUUGGUGGAUCAAAGAUUGCAUAUGCCAGUCAUUUUUGCACUAGGUUCUCUCCAUGCUUUCACGCCAGCCAAAGUAGCUUUCGUUACCCAUAGUUGAGGAUCGGCUUCUAAAGGGUACUAACAUCCUUAGUCAUUCCCACAGAUGACACCAAUGUUGGUUCUGAGUCGGCUGAAGUCAAAUUCAUCCAACUUAACGGAAGUUUGACAACCUUCCUCCAUUUUUUGUGCCUCUUAGAGAAUCCACCUAGCAGUAAUGAGAUUGGGCGAACUCCUUUCUUGCACAAAAGAAUGUUCAGAUGAGUACUUCGGGUACGCCCUUCGAAGCUUAAGUGAGGCAAAAAUAGCUCAAACUACUUAAUGAGAGAGAGUGGAUAGGUGAAUAUGUGCCUACCUUGUUCGUGCUUUUUGAGGGGUUUAUAUAAUGUUGAUGAGAAUGCCACUAUAGUGCUUACUAGACACUUUAACUUUCUUCUAUAAUGAUGAUUGUCUUGCAGGCGGUUGGGCAAUCAUCAAAAUUUUGGGUGGCUGAUAGGUGCCAUCAACUAACGUGCCAUGAUCUUAGACCAUGCAGUAACCUGUUCCCUCAGUCUGUUGAUGGCCUAAGGUUAUGUGCAACAAUUAAUUGACAUGGACUUGAGGGCUAGAAGAGGUCCCAUCGGCCGUUCACAUGUCAAGUGUGAAUGAUCACUCAUGCUAGUGGGUCUUGAAGAUUUGACUAGACAACCUUACCUAUUUGGGAGGUCCAACCUCCCAUUGCCGUUGUUUUGGCCUUAUAGGAGAAAAGGGCUUUCUCAUGUAUGGUGCUAGAGGGACUAGUCGUGAUCCAGAUGAGUUGCAUACCCAUGCUAGAUGGUCGAAGUGUCCGGGUUGGAAAUGGAGGGAAGCCUCCCACAAAUAUGAGGGAGCCUUAUGAAAACGGAUCCUUAGGGCUUAAGAAGGGGUUUUCAAUUUUAAGGUUUGCCUUUUCACCCAAGGAUGUGAAUGGGAAGAUGAGGCGAAGUUAAAAGAUUGGUGAAGCAAAGUGAGGGCAAGGUAGGGUUUGAAUAAAGGAAAGUAUACACUAUUAAUGAAGAUGAUAAUCUCUAGAAAGAAAAACUAAGGUAAACUAGGGCUUUAAUAAUAAUUUUCAAUCUACACUAGUGAAGAGGAUAUCUUCGAAAACCAAAGUUAGGGCUUCAAUAACGAAUUUCAAUCUACAAUGGUGAAGACAAUAAUCUUCGAAAACCAAAUCUAUAAUGAUGAAGAUGAUUGAAAACUAAAUCUAUACUAGUGAAGACGAUUGGAAAGCAAAUCUACACUGGUGAAGACAAUGAAACCAAAUGUAGGUCUUCUAAACUAAACGCUUUUAAGGAUUUUCCUUUUUUUUUUCCUUUGUUUUCAAGAAAGGCAAACUCUUUAGAAAACUAAAAAAACUAAUGCAUUCUUAGAUCCAGAUCACUAUUUCCAACAUGGUAUUUGGAUUGCCAGCUUGCAUUUUUUAUUUUUUUAUUUUUUUAAUAGUCAUUGGCAUUUUAGGGAUUAUUGAAGGAUAAUAUCAUUCAGCUCAAUUUCCCAAAUUAGUUAGGUCUUACACUCAAAUGUGAAACUUAUAUGGAUGUUAGGCCAAUUAUCAAACUCAUCUGCCCUAAAACAUAAUUUCCCUUUUUUAAAAUAGUUGUUAAACAUCUAUCCCAAACACGUUUAACCCUUUGAAUUGCUUGUAUGUUAACCUUGUUUCCUUUUCUUCAUGCAACAUGGCUUAUUGAUGGUUGCAUUGAAUCAUUAUCAUUCACCAAUUCCAUGCAACUAUGGACUACAUUUCAAAUCCCUCGAACAUAAAUGGUAAUUCCAAAACAACUCAAGUAUAAUCUUUUCAACCCUUUCAAAUGAUUUAAUUAAUUGAUUUUUGAAUAUAUUCAUAUAUUUUUUUGAGCAAUUUUUAGGCAUAUAACAUAAAUCUCUUUUUUAUAUAUAUAUAAAAGGUUUUAUAUUUUAUAUUACAAUUUCCUUUUGUUUUUUCAUCUAAAAAACAAAACAUAAAACCUUAAUAAACGAGUUUUGUCACAAUCCCUUAACAAGUAAUCUAUUUUUUAAAUUACUUUAACAUUUUUAGAUAUAUUGAUUCAAUCUAAUUUACUUUUAAUAUUUUUUAUAAAAUAUUUUUACUUUAUAUGACUAUAAAUUAAUUACUAUUGAUUGCAUAUUAUAGAAUAUAUAUUCUAAAAUAUAUCUUAUUGACAAUAUAAUCAUAAGAUGUUAUAUCCAUAUCCUAACAUAUUAUAUACUUUUAUUUUGUGCAAUUAGCAACAUGGUGGGAAGUGGCAAGCAGCUUAACGGAAAUGUCAUGUGCCAAUGUGCCAUGCGUGUCCCUUCCCUUAGUGAGUCUGAACUGCUCCAACAUUUCCGACAUGUUAUUUUUUACUUAGCUCUUAAGUAUUUUCGUCUCGUUUUCGUUAACCCCAUCACAUUUCGCCACAUGGAUCUAAGCCUCAUGGUCCUUUCGUUCGUACAAUGAAUGUUCCCCCAAUUCCUUAUCUACACUAAAACUCCAUACUCGCCAUCUACUCAACCACUUCUCUACUCUAGAGUUUGGGUCCUUUAUCUCUGCACGUGUCUAUGGCUUUUCACCCCAACAAGUAUGGCAUUACAAGGGCAAUAUCGUCAUUAAAGACCCAAAAGGGAAACCAAUGGCAUUAUCUUCCUUUUGGUCUAUUCUAUUUAUAUUGUAAGUUAUUCGUGAUGACUUCUCCCAUAAAAGCUAAAAACCACUCCAAUAGAGCACACUUCACUUCUUCAUUUUUUUUUUUCCAGAUAAGCUCAGAAAGCCCAGCUCAUCCCUCAACUCCCCGAUGGGUUUGAUGAAUGUUCUUAAAUUCUCAACUGCAUGCUUUGAUCUUCUUAUCUGGUAUAUUGUCCACGCAUUUUCUUGUCAUUGGAAAAUUUUGGAAAAUGAAAUGGAAUUCUAUGUUUGAUGACAAAACUGGGAUUUGCUUUGAUUUCUCCAUGUUGGUUUUAUCCCUUUUGUUUGAAUUGUCCACAUUCUUGUCAUUGGUUGUUAGUUAUUUGUUUGGAUUUCUACUUGUAGGCCUCUGUUUGCACUGGGUUAUCCUCUAUAAAUCUUGGUCUUACACACCAAGAUAUGAUGAUUCAUUUACUCUUUUCUUGUUCUAUGAAUUCUUAGUUCUGUUACAUUUAUUGGGUUGGAAAACUGAAAAAGGAAAGGAUUAUUCGUUAUUAUCAUAAUAAUCAUCAACGUCAUCUCAAUUAUUCACAGAUGUGCAUCAAUUCAGGUAAUUGAGACUAACUCGAUCUCAGACAUUCAGAAGUUGGUGGCAUAUUGGGUUCUAUUUUCCUUGAUUUCACUUUUUGAUCGUACUUUUUCCAAGCUCCUUGAAUGGUAAUUUUGUUCAACUUCAUUCCAUCAUAUGUGGCUCUAUUUGUUUCAUUUCUUUGCCCUUCAGGAAUUUGGAGUUGCCUUUUUUAGUUUUCUUCCCUGUGAAAAUAAUCGAGAUGUUUAAUGUUCCAAGCCUCCAUGUAUUUUAUUUUCCUUCAUUUCUCUGCUUUGAUAAAUCCCCAUGAUUUGAUCAGCAAAAAGGCUAUAACAUUUGACAAAGAAAUGCUUUAUUUUGGUUUUUUAAGUACAACAAUUUUCAUUUGGAGAAAUGGUCUAAAGGGUAUCGGUGUUUGGAUGAAUCAUGGAAUUUUCUCGCUAAUUUGGGAUUUAUUCUCAAUUUCAAUAUCAUUGUGGAUAUUUCAAAAAUUAAUGAAAUAUAUAUGAUGGAAUGUGAUUUUCUUGUUUAAGAAAAGUUUUUCUUUAAAAAUUUAGGUAACCCUGACCUACCUUAUUGUGCUACUCGAAACACAAAACAAAAGUACAAGUAAUUUAGUAACUAAAUUGCACACUUUUUGAUAGUUCAAGGAAGUGGUGUUAGCUUUGGAAAUAAGAUGGAUCUACUAGUUUUUAUUUCUCAUCUUUAUAGGGAACUUUCCAUAAUAUAGCUUAUAAAUACCAUAAUCACAGUGAUGAAUAAUUGUCUUGUUUGAAAGCAUGGUUGCACUUAUUUGCAUGGAAUUUGUCUGCGUUGAAAUUAAAUUAAGCUUUAUGCAUCAUUUGGAUGCUGAGAAACAAAUGAAAAUAGAAAAUUCAAAAUUUGACAAGUUUGUGUAGGGAAAUUGGAUCUAAUCUCUUAAUCGAAGCUUAAUUAGGGCAAAUGUUGAUCCUCUUUGGACCUAUUGAAAGCUCUAAUCUGUGCACAAUUCUAAUGUUUUUGUUUCCUUAAUUUCUUUUUCAACUUUUCAACAAAGCAUCAAUUUGCUAUAAUAAAUGAGAACCAACUUGACGAUGAGAAAAAUGACUGGUGAUGAUGUCAUAGAGAAUCGCAGAUGAGAACAACCAAAAAUACUAGGAUUGGUACCACUGAUGGUAAUGAAGAAAACACAAAAAUGGUGCAAAUGGUGAACAGGAAACUCAAAAUGGAAUGGGAAAAGAAACCUAAACAAUAGUCUCCUAUAUAAAGCACACAACAUGUACAUCGAGGCAUCUGAAAGGACACGCUGCCUGAGAAGUCACUCUAAUUGAUGUGACUCCUCAUGACGUGGGUGGUGGACAUAUGUCCCAUGGUGCCAAAAAUUUCAAACACUCAAGCAACCGAAUACUUUCACUUAGUCAUUUAAAGCCUAGCUAGACUCAAUUGCAAGAAUUAAGGGCAUUGUGGGAUGCUCACCACCGUCUAUCAUGGUCCUCAAACACUGUCUGGUGUGAGACAUAUUGGCACAAGAGCCAUGUAGCUUCUCUAUCCACCCCAAGAUACUCCUAGGGUAGCAAACGAACACAAUCCGACCAAACACUAUGCAUUCCUACCCUACAAGCAUUAAUUUCAAUGAGCAAUAAGUGUAUUAACACAUUAAUGAAUGCAACCGUUAUAACGCUAAAACGCCAUACUUUAAGGUUCAUCAAGACACAACAACCAUUAUGGGCCGACAAUUAUUGGCGUUAAAUAUGGUAAUGCGCAAUCAAAGGCUCAAUUAAGGCCCUUUAGAAGACGUUACUAUUGGGCAAAGAUAAAUAACCAUUUUUUACCACAAGAAAGUCUGAUGCCAUUUUUUUCACAAAAACUUUUGCUUAAGUCUUCCAUCUCUAACCUAAGCUUUGAAGGGGUGUACUUGGAAAACCUAUCCGAACAUUCCUUUAUGUAGGUGCAAUCAUCGUUUAUGUCACGCGAAGGCUAGUCAAAGACCUUUAUUGGUCGUGCACCAAUAAAUCUAUUUAGUAUAUCUCAUUUAUCCGUUCAAGUGAGAUGAAGGAGUGACCUAAAGAUAGAUUGGAAACAUCAUAGUUUCUUAUAUUGGUAAGGCAGCAACAACCUCGGCUAGUGCAUCAACCUGCUCGUUUUCCUCUAGGGGUACGCGUUUGAUAAACCAUUCAUUCAAUUUUUCUGUUCAAGUGUACCAAAGAGAGGUAAUGAGCCAUGCAUUCAUCUCAAGCUUCAUAUUUUAGUUAGAUUUGUUCACCCACUAGUUGUGAAUUGCUUUUGAUUUCUACUUUCAUGGUUGUGAGAGCUAAGGCUAGAUCGUCUCAUAAGAAUUGCUUCAUAUUUUGCCUCAAUAUUAGAUACUGGAAAGUUGAGACAGACGACUUGUUCAAUUUGCUCUCCUGUAAGGAAUUGUUGUGUUAGUCCUAUCCUAGCUUCUGAUGUUCUAGAGGCUUCGUCUACAUGGAGAACACGCCAUUGUUCUUCAUUGUUAGACCUUGUCCAUUUUUGGGGUGGUUCGACUAUGAAAUCAAUGAGAACUUGCUAUUUGAGAUACUAAUGAGGUUUGUACCGUAUGUAAUAUUCACUCAAUUUGAUUGCCCAAUUCACCAUUCGACUAGAUAGAUUUAGCUUGUGCAACGUGACCCACAACGGUUGAUUUGUCAAGACCGUUAUUUGGUGCGCCUGAAAAUAUGGACAAAGCUUCUUGGCAGCGAUCCGUAAGUUCAGAGCCAUUUGUUCCACUUAAGAAUAUCGUGUUUUUGUGUCAAUCAUAGCUUUUCUCACAUAGUAAAUAAGUCUUUGUUCAUUACUCUAAUUGUGUGGAAACAAUAUGACAUUGACAGCAAAGUUUGACACAACCAGGUACAUGUAUAACUCUUCUCUAGCUUCAAGACUACUUAAGAUUGGUGGCUUCGUAAGAUACUGUUUGAUGUCUUUAAAGGCAUGCUCACACUCAUCCAUCUAACUAGACAUCUUUGCUCCCUAGAGUUUGCUCAAGAAAGGUCUGAGCUUAUUUAUGAAGCGUGUUAUGAACCAACCUAAGGUGAUUAGACACCCAGUUAGACGUUGCACUUCCUUCUUGCUAGUAGGAGCAGGGAUUUCUAACACUACUUUCACUUGAGCCAGAUCGACUUCAAUACCCCCUUUGAGUCACCAUGAACACAAGAAACUUCCACUCACUUACUCUAAAUGCAUAUUUUAUUGGAUUAAGCUUCAUGUCAUACCUGCACAUUAAACUGAAUGCUUCUUCCAAAUGGAGGAGCUUCUUGGAACGAGUUAUUCUCUUAAUGACAAUGUCAUCGAUAUAGACUUCCAACGUUCGACCUAUCAAGGGCUUAAAAAUAUGGGUCAUCAACUGUUGGUACGUAGCUCCAAUGUUCAUUAACCCAAGCGACAUGAUCUUGUAAAAGUACAACUCCUUAUGUGUAAUAAAUGUCAUCUUCUCUUUGUCAUGUGGAAACAUUGGUAUCUGGUGGUAUCCAAAAGAAGCAUCAAGAAAAGACAACAUUCCAUGCCUGGUUGUGGCAUCGACUAUCUAAUCUAUCUAGAGCAAUGGGAAGCUAUCUUUCAAGCAGACUUCAUUCAUAUCCACGUAGUCUGCGCACACCUGCCAUUUUUCUCCUUUCUUGGUACCACUACCACAUUUGUUAACUAGUCCAAGUAGGUCACCUCCUUGAUAAAUCUUCCUUUUAAUAGCUUCUCAACUUCUAUCUAGAUAAUUUUUUGAUGAUCCAACUAGAAACGUCAGACUUUAUAUUGUAUGGGUCGUGCUGUAGGAAGAAGGUUCAACUUAUGAGAGCUCACCGCUAGGUCUAUUCCAAGCAUUUCCGAAUGAAUCCACACGAGGAUAUCCUUGUUUUUACAAAGCAUUUCACCAACAUUACCACAUUCAUCCCUAGUUAGCAAAAAAUUAGCGUAAGUCAUCUGCUUAUUAUUUUUCGACAAAGAUAGCUAUUGUAAUAGGCUGAUUGCCAAUGAGUCUCUAUCCUCUAGUUUUCCUUCGACCUAAUUCUAUAAUUGUUAUUAGCUCUCUCUUGAUGAUUUGAGUUCAUCUUUAGUUGGGCCUGAACUCCAUCGCCACUUAGUAACACUACUAGGUGGCUAAUUGGAUUCCAUGUGGAUCCACUUACCCAAAUUCUGUCAGGUAGCUCACCAUCUUAUGAUAGGUGGAUGGAAUAACUUUCAUCUUAUGUAGGUACGACAACCUUAUGAUGGUGUUGUACGACGGUAAAUCCUCUACUAUAGAAAAUCAUACGUUGAGAGUAGGCGGGUUGGCUUGGACAAGAAGUACCACGUCGCAUAGUGAUAUUGUGGCAACCCUAUUAAACCCAAACAAAAGUCGAACUAGAUUUUCUAAGGCAGAUGACGAACAUCCCAUUUUCCUGUAGGUUGACAUAUGCAAUAAAUUGGAAUGAUCAUUUUAGGAAGGAUCACUUGAUUAAUGUUAAUUGAAGGGAAAGUGAUUGGGUCAUUGACUGGUCGGGCACUUUCGACAGUAAAUGUGCACUGAACUGCACUUACUCUUUCCCUCCCUGUAGUCGCACAGAGCAUUCGUCUCCUUUGUUGUUUGGAGUGAUAUUUGUCAUCUACUAUUUCCCCAUGGAUAUAGUUAAUCACUACUCGAUGUGUUGUGGGAGAGUCAGGAACUCACUCUGACACUUCACGUGUCAUUUCUUUAUGUCCACCAGUUGCUCAGACAUACAACUUGAGAUGUCCGGUAAUGAUUAGUUUCUCCACCAAGUAGUGCAAAUUUUUGCACUCUUCUGUGGUGUGCCCAUGCUCCUUAUGAUAGAAUCAUCGCAAUCCUCGAUCAUGCUUGGACGAAUCAGUUUUGAUGGGCUCUAGCCACUUGAACUCGAGCAGCUCUCAAAUCAAGAGGAGAAUUCUAUCAUAAAAAAUGGUCAACGGGGUGAGCCUAGGCGAUUAUCAUUGUUGUUGUCUUUCUUGUCCUUGAUUAGUCUAUCUAGACUGGCUUGAGGGCUUUAAGCUCUUAGCCUUCUUUUUUAAUUGCUCGGUUUAUAACCAGGAUUUGUUGAGAGGUUACCUAAACAUCCUCCUCAAGCAUGACAUGUUUGCCCACUCGUCUAAAUAGGUCAUUCAUUGUAGUGGGCAACUUUUUGGCCAUGGACUUGAAGAAUUGAGUGCUUGGACUGAUGAUCCAUUUGAAGAUCUGCAGGAUAGCAUCCAUGUUGUAAGAUUCCAUCUAGAACACCGCUUGUCUGAAUCACUUCAUGAAGUCCCUUAGCGAUUCAUUCUCCUACAUCUGAAUGUUCUAUAAGGUGCUUAUAUUCUGCUUUUGGCGAGCAAAACAUAAAUAAUGGCCCACAAAGGCCUCUAAAACAUCUGUCAUCUGUUGUUGGAAGUGCAUCAGGUGAACAAAAGAGUCACCAUCCCAUAGUAAAUAGUAAAUUUGGGCACCGGAAACCCCUGGGCAGCUCAUAACUAAUGAUAUGUGGGUCAAACGACAUGAAGAGCAUGUCAUCCAAUCAUCUACUUAUGGAGUCAAGAGGGGCUUUUGUCAAUGGGUUAUUUGUCGAUUGUAGUUCUAGUAUUGAACAUUAAGGCAGACGGCUUGGUGAUGCCUCAUCGUUUGAUUGGCCUAAUUGUGCUUUCAAGGCCUCCAAUAUGCAUGGCGAUGCUAGUGUUCUUCUCUCCUGAUACCCAAGAUAGGCUUUCAGGGCAUCUGAGAGACGUAAGCCCCAUUCUUAACCCAUUUUCCAUUUUUCUCCAAUAGAGCUUGCAACCUCUUUCGCUUGAGUUCGAUCGACUACUGAAUGCACUAGUUCAAGUAAUGUUAGCGAACUGCUAGUAGACAAUCCCUCAUCCACUGUUUGUAGAGACGACUUAGUGUAUCAUUGAAGAACUUUCAUUGUUUGGCUUCAAACUACUCUUGAAGUCGUCUAUUGGUUGGAGGUACGAUGACUUUUUUAUCAGCACCCCAUAGCCACUUGUGCUCGUAGCUCUUGGUUCUCUUGCUGUAGUUGUUCUGCCUGUUGGACAGGGACUACAUAGGUUAUUCAUAUUCUUCUUGCUUUUUUUCUAUCUUUCCUUGCCAAGCUUGGAAUCGCUCGUCAACAUUUGCAGAAUGAGUUGCAGGAGGCGUGUUAACCAUCGUGUUUUUUAGGCAUUUGUGGUUGAUUCCCAUAGACAAUGCCAAUGUUGGUGCACGACCAGUAAAAAAAGGUGUUUGGCUAGUCUCCAUGUAACAUAGAUGACGAUUGCACCUGCACAAAGGAAUGUCUGAAUGGGUUUUUCAGGUACACCUUUCCAAAGCUUAGGUCAGAAAUGGAAGACUUAAGCAAGAGUUUUUGUGGAAAAAUUGGUAGCAUACUUUUCUUGUGGUUAAGAAUAACUAUUUAUCUUUGUCCAACUAUAAUAUCUUCUCAGAUGCCUUAAUUGAGCCUUUGAUUGUGCAUUAUCAUCUUUAAUGUCAAUGAUAGCCAACCCAUAAUGGUUGUUGUGUCUUGAUGAACCUUAAAGGUUGGCGUUUUAACCUCAUAAUGAUUGCAUCCAUCAAUGCGUUAAUGCACUAAUUGCCUAUUGCAAUUAAUGCUUGUUGGGCAAGAAUGCAUAGUGCCCGAUUAGAUUGUGUUUGUUUGGUACCCUAAGAGUACCCUGGGGUGGACAAAAAAGCCACAUGGCUCUUGUUCUAACAUGUCUCGACUAGACAGUGUUUGAGGAUCAUGUUAGAUGGUGAUGAGCAUCCCACAGUGAAGACGUAUGAUGAAAGCAAAGGUAGGGCUUCUAAACCAAACGCUUUUAGGGAUUUUUUUUUUUUUUUCAACAAAGUUGACCUCUUCAAGGAAAAAAAAAAAGGUUAAAAAAACUAUUGCUUUUUUGGAUCCAAAUCACCAUUUCCAAUGUGAUAUUUGGAUUUCCACCAUGUAUUUUUUUUUUUUUUAACAGUCAAGGACAUUUUAUGGAUUAUUGAAAGAUAAUAUCUUUCAACUUAAUUUCCUACAUUAAUUAAGUCUUAGGCUCAAAUGUGAAACUUAAGUGGUUGUUAGGCCAUCAAACCCAUCUGCCCUAAAGUAUAAUUUCCCAUUUUCAAAAUAUAUAGUUGUUAAACAUCUAUCCCAAACUAUUGUAACCCUUUGAAGUGCUUGGUAUGUUAACCUUGUUUCCUUUUCCUUAUGCAACAUGGCUAAUUGAUUGUUGCAUUGAAUCAUUAUCAUUCACCAAAUCCAUUCAACUAUGGACUUACCUUUCAAAUCCCUCUAACAAAAAUGGUAAUUCCAAAACAACUCAAGUCUAAUGUUCUCAACUCUUUCAAAUGAUUUAAUUAAUUGGUGUUUGAAUAUACCUCUUAUAUUUUUUUAGAGCAAUUUUUAGGCACAUAACAUAAAUUUCUAAUUUUUUUUUAGAAAAGGUUUUAUAUUUUAUAUUUUAUAUUACAACUUCCCCUUUUUUUUCCAUCUAAAAAACAAAACAUAAAACCUUAAUAACCGAGUUUUGUCACAAACCCUUAACAAAUAAUCUAUUUUCCAAAAAUUACUUUAACAUCUUUAAACAUAUUGAUUUAGUAUACUUUACUUUUAAUAUUUUUUGAAAAAUAUUUUUAUUUUAUAUGAUUAUUAAUUAAUUAAGAUUGAUUGGGUAUGGUAGAAUAUAUAUUCCAAAAUACAUCGUAUUGAGAACAAUAUCACAAGAUAUUAUAUCCAUAUCUUAACAUAUUAUAUACUUUUAUUUUGUGCAAUUAGCAAUUGGACGGAAGGUAGGGAGCCGGCUUAAUGGAAAUGUCGCAUCUCACGUGUGUCCCUUCCCUUACCAAGUCUCAACAAAGGAUGAAAAUAUCGGUAAUCACGGAUAUAUCGGUACUUCGAUUUUACGGAUAUAUUAGAUAUAUCAGAGAUAUAUUGACGGAUAUUUUGGAAAAAAAUAUCGAUAAGCCUAAAAUUGAUCAAAAUUUAUAAAAAUAUAAAAAAAACUUCAUAAAAAUGUAAUUAAAAGAAGGUCGUAUAAGUUACUCAUGUUGAUCAUGUGAUAUAUCACGAGAUAUAAUCGAUUUUUGGGAAUUUCUCACGAAAAUAUCGCGACAUUUCUUCCUUGUCUCGACUGCUCCAAGAUUUCCUAUACGCCCUUCUUCGCUUAGCUCUUAAGUCUUUUCUUCUCCUCUUCCUCAAACCCAUCACAUUUCGCCGCGUGGAGCUAAGUCUCAAGGUCCUUUUGUUCGUACGAUGUAUGUUCCCCCAAUUCCUCAUCUACCUUGAAACUCCAUACUCGCCAUCUACUCAACCACUUCUCUACUCUAGAGUCUGGAUGCUUUAUCUCCGCGAGUGUCGAUGGCUCUUCACCCCAGCGAGUAUGGAAUUACAAGGGCAAUAUCGUCAUUAAAGACACAACAGGCAAACCAAUGGCAUUGUCUUCCUUUUGGUCUAUUUUAUUUAUGCUGUAAGUAUUCGUGCUUGACUUCUCCCGCGUCUCUUAUAAAAACUAAAGAAAACCACUCCAACAGAGCACACUUCAAGAAUCUUCUUUUUUUUUUUCUUUCCUCUUUCUCUUUACAUAUAUACUGAGAAAGCCCAGCUCAUCCCUCAAUUCCCAGAUGGGUUUUAUGAAUGUUCUCAAGUUCUCAGCUGCAUGCUUUGAUAUUCUUGCCUGGUAUGUUGUCCACGCAUUUUCUCGCCAUUGGAAAUUUUUGGAAAAUGAAGUGGAAUUCUCUGUUUGAGGACAAACAUGGGAUUUUCUUUGAUUUCUCCCUGUUGGUUUUAUCUAUAUUCUUUGGAUUACCCACAUUCUUGUCAUUGAUUGUUAGUCAUUUGUUUGGAUUUCUACUUGCAGGCCUCUAUUUGCACUGGGUUAUCCUCUGUAAGUCUUGGUCUUACACCUCAAGAUAUGAUGAUUCAUUUACUCUUUUCUUGUUCUACGAAUAGUUCAGUUACAUUUAUUGUGUUGGGAAACUGAAAAGGGAAAGGAUUAUUCUUUAUUAUCGUAAUAAUCAUCAACAUCAUCUCGGUUCUUCACAGAUGUUCUUCAAUUCGGGCAAUUGAGACUAACUCAAUCUCAGACUUUCGGAAGUUGGUGGCGUAUUGGGUUCUAUUUUCCUUGAUUUCACUCUUUGAUCAUGCUUUUUCCAAGCUCCUUGAAUGGUAAUUUUGCUCAACUGCGUUCCACUAUAUGUGACUCUGUUUGUUUCAUUUCUUUGCCCUUAAGGAAUUUGGAGUUGCUUUUUUCAGUUUUCUUUCCUAUGAAAAUAAUCGAGAUGUUUAAUGUUCCAGGCCUCCAUGUAUUUUAUAUUCCUUCAUUUCUCUGCUUUGACAAAUGCUCACAAUCUGAUCAGCAGAAAGGUUAUAACAUUUGAAAAAGAAGUGGUUUAUUUUUGUUUUUUUUAAGUACAAUAAUUUUCGUUUGGAUAAAUGGUCUGAAGGGUGUUUGUGUUUGGCUGAGUUCAUGGAAUUUUCAAGCUAAUUUGGGAUUUAUUCUCAAUUUCAAGAUCAUUGUGGAUAUGUCAGAAAUUAAUGAAAUAUAAAUGGUGGAAUGUGAUUUUCUUGUUUAAGAAAAGUUUUUCUUUGAAAAUGCGGGUGCACCAGACCUACCUUAUUGNNNNNNNNNNNNNNNNNNNNNNNNNNNNNNNNNNNNNNNNNNNNNNNNNNNAUCAGAUUCAACUGUGAUAGCCCGGAAUUUAAUUCAGUAUUCGACUCUUCUGGGAACAUGUUGGUUAUGGUUUCUCUCUCACUGUCCUCUUCUUUACACAUGACUUUUCAGUUGAGGAGCACAAAGCCUAAUGUUGAAGUGAAAGAGAUCAAAGCACCUGCAGCACCGGAGAAAAAAGGGGAACAGGUAAGUACUCUAAUGUGGCUAUUUAAUUUCUAUGGAGGCAGAUCCCCAGAGAAAUGCUGUUCAUGUAAAUUACUGAUGCAUUUGAUUCAAUGGCCACGGUUUUAAAAGAAAAACCACUUUAUGUAUGUUUCUGUGAAUGAGAGAACAAGUUUAUGGAUUAAAUGAUAUUUUUUAUGGUGAAAUAAUCAAUAAUUUUCAAAAUAAUAAUACAUUCCUGCAUGUUUUUGCAAUUCAUGAAUUCCUUUUAUGAUUGAUUCUUCUCACCUUUUUUCUCACCUCAGUGGAAGUGUGAAGAGCCUAAUGUUGCUCAAAAAGAGAUCCAAGUAGUCAAAGUAACAGAGAUAAAAAAUGGGGGGGAUGGAGCAAAGAGGGUAAGUUUUGCUUUUUAUUUAUAAAGUAGGCUGUCUUCACACAAGGAUUAUUAUUAUUAUUAUUGUUAUUAUUUUAAGACAUGAAUGUUGAAUGAUUUUGGAAUUGUCCUUGAAUCAUGUGAAGUGUGAAUGGUCUAAUGCUGCUAAGGAGGAGGUCAAAGUGACAGAAGUAACACAGAGAACAUUUGGUGGUACAGCACAGUGGGUAAGGUUUCAUGUCAUAUUUAAAUGGCUCCUCAUAUUUCACUAGGAUUAAUUUUGCCCCUACAAACUAUUUGGCUACAAGUUAAGACAGAGUUCCAGAUGCUGAUAAAGCUGAGACAUAAGUAAUGAACGAAUUUAGACACAUGCACAACUCUUGUGUGAAACACAAUGAGAGUGGAAAAUAGCUAAGUUGAAAAAUGGCCAAAUACUAUUUUGUAGUUCCCCCUACCACUUAAGUAAUUUUUGUCAUCCUUUGUGAAUGGAAAAUGCAGUCCCUUCAGUAAUUCCAUUAUAUUCAUGACUUGGUGAAGCAUAUAACCAUUAGUGUCUUACCCUAAGUCGACCUUUAAUGAUGAUCCAUUGAGAUGGGUCUGACUUUUGUCAACCCUCUUAUUCCCUUGAUCAUAGAGGUGAAACUUAGGGGGCUUAACCCACUUUUCAAUCUUAUUGGAUAUAUGGCACGUGGUAUCCUCUUCAUCUUGAAAGAGUGAAGUGGUCAUACUCUUUCCUCUGAGUCCAUUGUGGCCAUGCACUUCAGGCUCAUUGGGCUGAGUGAAAGGAUUCCCUUCUGCUUCAAAUCAUAGAGAGAUAUGCCAUGGUCAGCCUCUUUAAUUCAAGGGAUUGAAGUACUCAAAUCCAUUUCUCUGUAUCCAUCUUAGUUCUGCAUUCAUGUCUCAUGGUUAACCAAGAAGAUCCAGCCUCCAUCCAUGAGAUCAGCAUCUGCAGGUUUAUGACACCACCCUUCCUUUGCAUAGGAAAGGGAUCAUUAAGCCAUGUGUCGGAUGACAGAAGUCAUCAUUCAGGUUAUCUUGAGAACUAAGGAAGUUGGAAUUCUAAUUAUUGCAUAUGGUUCUUGAUGUUUAGCCAAUAUACUAUAGGAUUUUAAGCAUCAUGCUCACGUGCAUUGUGGUUGCUUAUCAGCUAUAUGGUUUGCCAAAAUGAGGGACUGAUUAUGGUCAUAAGUACCUUUUUCCCAUUAAUUUCUUGCAUGUGCUCUGCUGAGAUUAUGUUUUUGACAGUCCAAAUCAGGGCAAACCAACAAACAGCUUUAUGUUAACUUUUACAAACUGCCAUAUUUUCAGGUUAAACAAACAGAGAUAAAUCUUGGUGAAACUAGAAGUAAUACAACCUGUGCUGUGGAGAUAAAAGAAAGGGCAGCAGCACUGGUGGCUGCAGAAAUUGAGGCAUGUAGAGACGAUAGAACCCCCAAGAUACCUCUUCAUGAGAAAGUCCAGAAAGAGUGGGCUUGUGCUGUGUGCCAGUUCACAACCCAAACUGAAGCGACCUUCAAUUCCCACCUUCAAGGGAAGAGACAUCAGGCCAUUUCUGAGCAGCUGAGAGCCAAAAAUCAGGCAACCAAAACCAAUUGUUCCCCAUCUGCUUCAAUGGCCAAGAAAUCUGAUCAGUCCACCAAAGAGGAGCAACCGAAGUGUACUUCCAAUCUGAAUUCCAAAAACAAUGGAAUCUCAGCUGCUUCAACAGUGAAGAAACUUGAUGAGACCAAAGAUGAUGAGCAACAAAAGUCUGCAUCUAGCAAUGGACCGAACCAGAAGAAUAACAAAAAGCAAGAGGUACAGACCAAUGAGCAAGGCCGUCAGAAGAACUUAAGGCAAACUGGUGAUGGAAUGAAAGAGUUGAGAUCAUGGUGCAAUAUCUGUAAUGUAAGCUGCACAAGGGAGCUUGACCUGGCCUCGCAUCUCAAUGGAAGGAGGCACUUUGAUAGGAUAAAGCAGCUGUCUGAAUUAUGGUGCAGUAACUGCAAUGUAAGGUGCAACAGUGAGGUUGAUAUGGCCUCUCACCGAAAUGGGAGGAGGCACUUGGAGCAGCUGAAGGAACGGUUAGGAUUAUGGUGCAGUAUCUGUAGUGUGAGUUGCAACAGCAAGGUGGACAUGGAUUCUCACCUAAAUGGGAAGAUUCACUUGGAUCAGAUCAAGGACCAGUUAAGAUUAUGGUGUGGGGCAUGUAAUACAACCUGCAAGAGUGAGCGCAACAUGGCCUUUCAUCUGAAUGGGAGGAAGCACUUAGAGAAGAAGGGGAAUACCUGAUUUGCAUGUUUCUUCAGAUUAUUGAUACUUACAAAUGGUUUUAGUUAGAAGCAUACAGGCCAGUGGGUGGUGGUCACAGAUGCCUCUAUUUUGUUGUAUGAAGUAAAAACAGUAUUUCCAUGUCCAGAAAUCAACCACUUGUUUAGUGCAUGCAUGGCUGGUUCAAAAUUAAACCUAAUUGUGAAUGACUAGGAGCAGGGAGGGAAAAAUUGAAGGGAAGAAUGUAAGAUUAUGGCUUCAUUUUUAUUUUUUCCUCUUCUGAAAAUUGUAAGAUUGUGUUAGGAGGAGCUGGAAUGGGUUCAAAUCAGGAAUUAAGACCCAGUUCCAAGACAUGGAAAGUGUCUUUAGAUUAUGUUAAGUUAUUUCCAUUUUUUUUUCUUUUCUAUUUUUUUUCUUUAUUUAUUGUAAGAGGGAGCAUAAAUGAAUUUUUAUUUUUUAUUUUUUUUUUCAGAAUAAAGAUGAAUUUGAUAAUUUCAAUUAUUGCGUUUGGAUGUAUUUCGGAACGUAAGAUUGAAAUAAUUAUUUGUUUUCAUUUUAGUGUUUGAUAAUAAUGAAAGUAUGAAUUAAAAAAUAAAUUGAUAAUAAUACUCUUACAUUUAAUUUAAAACAAUUUUUUAUUUUUAUUUUUAUUUUAGAAGAAUAUGGGUUAAUUUUAUUUAUUUAUUUUUUAAAUAAUAAGCUUAAGAAAAAUAAUUUUUACUCAAUAAAUAAAAUUAAUCAUACAAAGUCAUAAAAACCAAACCAAAAUAUAAGGGUAAAAUAGUAAUUUUAAAAUAUUCAUUUAAGUUAUCCAAAUGCAUUCCUACUCUUCAUUCUCUUGUACGAAAUACGGUCUUUAAGCGUUUGUCAAACUUAUUUCUUUUUUGGCAAUAUAUCAAUAUUUUAGUAAUAUUUUUAUCGAUUAGUUGCUGAUAUUUAUCGCCACGUCACCAAUUCUUUGAGUUUGACUUUCAAAAUUUUGAAAUGAUCAUUGAAGUCCAGUUCAGCCCAAAUCACUACACCCAUGAAAGGGAACGGCUGGGCCACCACACUAAUAUGGCCCAUACAUGGGACCUCGUAAAAGAAUACCCAUCUUCAAAAAUAGGGACCAUAUUAAAUUAUUAAUGUAGCUAUAGGAAGCAUUUGAGGACAAGGGUCAUGAUUUUUCCCUUUUCUUUUUCUCCUUAAUUUUCACAUCACCCAACAACACCACUCUUAAUUCACACAAAUUUGAAGGUUUGGAAUGAGACUUAUUCGUAUUUAUAUUGUAAUUAUGCUAUAAUAAUCGUGUCGUAUUUGGAUUUAUUUAUUAAAUCCAUCUAAAUCUUUUGUUUAUUCGUGUCAAAACAAUAUAUUUAUAAUCGAAUCCAUUUAUGACAUAUUCAUCUUUUAUAAAUUUAUUAAUUUUAUAUAUUUUAAAAUUAUAAAAAUUAAAUAUAUUUUUUCAAUUAUGAAAUCAUAUUACUAAAAUAUUAAAUAAUUCAUUAACUUGAAAUGUUUUACAUUUCAUUAAUUAUUUUAUAAUUACAACAUUAAGUGAAAUAAUAAAUAGGUAUAAAAUAUAUAUUUUAUUUUAGUUAAAAAUUAUAAAUUGUUAUUGAGACAUAUAACUAUUAAAAUUCUACCCAUUUGACUAUCAAACAAACAACUUAAGUUUUUAGUCAUGAUUUAAGCUUAUGAUAAACUCUAUUUACAAAAAUUAGAAACCAAAAUCAAAUUCUUCCUAGACUCAAAAACAUAAAGACAAUCUUUUAACUUUAGAAGACAACUAUCAUCUAAGAUAAGGGUAACUCAUCCCAUUGCAUGUACAACAAUUCUUGCUUCAAAAGCUAAUGUUAGGUACAUAUCCCUAUCAUUCAACCUUUCCCUUAGCUAAAACCCCUAUAAAGAAUUAUAAACAUGAUCAAUGGCUCCAAAAUUUAUCCACCAAGAGUUAGUGGAAUCUAACACUAAAAAUGAUUCAACUAAAAGAGAAUGAUGCAUACCUAACUGUCUCUUCAAGAACUAAGGGCAUUCCUUCUUCUAGUGGCUUUUUUUACCACAAAGGAAACACUUAUCAUGACCCUUACUCUUCUUCUUUUUCCCUUGCCCUUGAACUUUCCCUUCUGCUUGGUGAAUUCUACAAUGUUCUUCUUAUUUUGGUUAGAAGAACCUAAAGAACACUUAACUGCCAUAUAAAUACCUCUCUGGUCCUUGAGAAUUCCCUCAAUUGUUUUGUGUUCUCUCAUCAGUUCGGUUAUAGUUUAAGAAAAAAAAUGUUUUUUUUAUGUGACUAAACUUGGAAUGAAUGUCCAAGUUGCAUACAUACUCGGGCUAAGAUCAAGUCAUAACGUAGUUUAAGAAAAAAGAUUUUUUUUUUUUUUUUUUUUUUUUUUUUUUUGUGAUUGAACUUGGAAUGGAUUUCUAAGCUACUUACGUAUCCAGGAUGGGAUCAAGUUCUAACAUAGUCACAAUGCAGUUCAAGAAUUUUUUUUUUCUUUUUUUGUGCUCUAACUUUUGCCAAGACUAAAGAUCUUAAUUUUGCGAGCAUGUUCUAACUUUUGCCUAGGUCGCCUUUCCAAGUUUUCAAUUUAGCAAACAAGGUUUUUUUUUUCUUUUUUUUCUUUUUCUUUUUUUAGUUCUCUAACUUUUGCCAAGACUAAAGAUUUUAAUCUUGGAAGCAUGUCUUAACUUUUACCUUAAGUCGAAUUUUUAGGUUUUCAAUGUGGUGGAUUUUUUUUUUUUUUUUUUUUUUUUGUGUCGUAGGUAAUUUAAGCUCAUAUGGAUUGGAAGCAAUGUGUAGUUUGUUGGGAUUAAGCCCUUAAAAGCAAGACAUGAUGUAAUAAAGUUAAACUUAACUAUUUCCUUACUAUCUUUUUGGUGUAUCAACAUUGAUUUAAACAUUCAACCCAUAUCUCUUACAUUGUACAUGAUUUAGGAGCAUUAAGAGUUGCACAAAAGAUACAAGUUAUGGGUUCCUUGUAAGUAGAUGAGUUAUCCAUAGUCAUUUCAUGGAUUUGGGCAAUCUAGUAGUGACUAUAGUGCACCACCUCCUAAUUUAAGGGAUGACUUGUCUUGGCAGUUGGGAUGAGUUUCCUAUGGUGAGCGUACUAGUGUAAAUGAUGCACAUUGGACAGGACCUAUGGUGAAUCAUGACGCAAGGCUAUCAAUUGUCAUGAUUCACCAAGUUACUAUACUACAUGGACUCUCAACCUUGAGAGGACAUUGAACCCAUGUCAAAAUCAAUAGAAAGUUUUGACCUAUGGGCGAGACCCUAAAGUAGUCAUAUAUUCCUAUGGAUUAGGUCAUUGUUGAUGUAGGCUGGUUAUAAUAGGCAUUCUCAAUAGAGGCACCAUGAUAUGUCAUGGGAUUGAGAUGGUGUGUCCCUUUGGGUGAUCCAAAGAACAUGUGAUCAUGAAAUUUGUGGCCACAGUAAUUCCUUUAGUGAAAUUUGACAUAUGCUCCUUGGAGUUAGAGUAUGUCAAUUGAUCACAUAAUAAGUGAGAUCUAUAACUCAAGGAUUUGAGAGAUAAUAUUGAUAGGUGAUAACACUAACUUGUUAGAUUUAGACACCAGUUUCAUGAGGAAUAUGCAUGUAGUGGAUAGUAGGUCAUGAAUGCGAGCUUUGUCUCGUUGUUAUUUACAUAAGGUACCGGAGUGUAGUUGAUUCUCUUUAGUAGAGUGUUGAAUCAACUUCAAAAUUGGAUUAUGAGGUAGUCAGUACUCCUAUGGGUCUCAAUGGUCCCCACUCUGAGCUAAUAUACCAUGAUGACACAAUUUAUGAGGGUUGGAUUGACUUUAGGUUCAUUCUUAUGCAUAAGGGCAUUUUGAUAAUUACACAAGGUUGCAUAGGGGAUAAUAAAUAAGGUCUCUAGAUUGGACUAAUUGAUUAAUUAGAUGGCCUUAUGUGGUUAAUUAAUCAAUUAAGACAUGUUAGGGCUAGAUUAAGUGACCCAAGCCUUGAUGGGUUCAAGUCACUUAAGCCUAAUGGGUAACCGUAUAAAUACCUCCUUAUGGGUUAGGGUUUUCUAAUGACUUUUAGUUAGUCAUCUUCCACUUUUAGAAAAAUAGAGAGAGCCAAAGCUUCCUCCUUUCCACUGCCCACACUUUGGUAUGCCAAGAUCGGGAAUCGAGUCAUCGAACAAAAGAUCUUAGGUGUACGAGACCUUUGAACUCUUUAGGCUUCUUCUUCGUUGGAUGGAUUUUGAUCUGGGAACAUCUAGAUCACAUGUAUGUGUUAUAAUAUUUGGUUAAUUCAACCUAAGGUAAUCACCCUAGAGAAGGGGUGAAUAGGGUGAUGAUUUUUUUUUGCAAAUUUAAAUUAUGUGAAUGCAAGAGACAAUUAUAUGCAAAAUAUAUGGCAAAACCAUAUAAAAACAAUUGCAUAUAAAGUAAAAGGUUAAGGAAGAGAGAAUAUAAACACAAGAUUUUUAUAGCGGUUCAGUGCAACCCGACCUCCAUCCAUUCUCUUCUAGCUUCAAUACUAAACUUGAGGUUCCACUAAUUCAAGGCUUCCAAUCCAAGCCUUCAAGUAAUACAAUUGGAUUAUGGUUCCAAUCAAACCUCUUGAAAUUUUAGUUCUAAACACAUUUUACAAUCUUCAAGAGAUACCUCACUCUUGAACAACUCCUUAAGUGAUACCUCACACUUGAGAAUCCCUAAGUGAUACCUCACACUUAGAUUUUUCAUCUCAAAGAUUUAUCCGCUCUGCACCCACCUCCCGAGUAUAUGCUUCAACAGGAAUCACACAAGGGUAGAUUGAUACAAUAGAAACCUCUGGUAAAAUGCCCGCUCGUAACCCAGCAGAUAAAGUACAUUACAUAGUCCGUUUUAGGGAUUGGCUACUUACCCAUUCAGUGACUUUGGCACUGGACGUUCCCAAAAUGGGUACUAUCGGGUCGGGUGAAUUCAAUAAUAGACGCCUGUUGGCAUUCCAGCCUUCCUUCUCCUUUCAGGGCCUAUCCGAAAGAGAAUCCAGUACUUCUUGGUCAAAUGAAGAUAGGAAAUUAUUAGCCUAAGGACUCUCCUAAUCGGGUUUUGAUGAUAACAAACCAUGAUUAAAUGACUAAUUGGUUUAAUGGUUAAGAAUCUCAAGCAUAAACUCGAAAAUUCAUCAAAUGACCAAAUGGAUACAAGAUCGAGACAUUUGGAAGACUUGUGAUCAUAGGAAACUAAUGUAAGAUGAAUGCAUGAGUGCACUUAGGAUUUUCAUACCGUUUCAUACAAUUUAGAAAACUCAGUUUAUUCUUUAAAACUUCAAUUUCAUUAAAACCCGAGUUUUAACAAUUGUACCUCAGGCAAAAUGUUUUAAAAUUGGCAUAAUAAUUCACCUAAAAACCUUGCCUAAGUGUUAGGAAAGAAAGGAAUUGAAAAAGAUAGGUUUUCGGGGCCAAAAGGCUCAACCGGUCGAGGCUAUGGCCAACCAACUCAACCGGUUAGGGAAUCGGUCGACUGGUUACCCUUGUCCAGUUGAGGUCCGAUCGAAGGAUGCACAAAAUUUUCUCUCUCUCCCAGUAGCCUUCUCUUCCCGGUUGAGGUUAUUCUCUUCCCUGUCGAGGUCCGGUAUAGGCAACGGUAACCUGUCAAGCAUUAAAUGCUCCAACGGCUAGCGAACCGGUCAACCCCUAGCUCGACCGGUCAAGGUUACCUUUUGUUGUUUUUGACUCCCGAGCUUAGAAACCUAUAAAUUGAGAGCUCCACUUCAUUUAUUGACGAGAUAACACUUGCAAUCAAUUGUCUACCUAUUUGUUCUUGAUCAGAAAGCUCUCAUUUCUUUCUUAGUACAUUAAAUCAUCACUUGCAUAUCCUUUAGUGCACUCUUGUGUGUCAUCCUAGAUUUGUCUUGUAUUUGAGCUAUCUUUAAGCUAGGUUGAGGGAUUCAUUCUUGUAAAAACCGAGUGUUAAAGCCUUCAAGAAGUUUAAAUCUUGAAGAGAUUGUGUAAGAGUCCAUUGGAGCCAAAAUCCAAGUGUAAGAAGAUUGGAAGUUUGGUUGAAGUUUCAAGUUAGUGGAACCUUCACUCGGUUAGGAGAUUGAGGAGACUGAACGUAGGCAAAGAAGUGUCGAACUACUAUAAAACCCGAGUUUGAAUUCUCUAACUCUAGCUCUUUAUUUUGCUUAUAUUGUGCUUGAACUCGUUGUGAUUUAAAAGAAUUUAAAAAACCCCUAUUUGGGUGUUUUUCUUAAUUAAGCAUAGCCUUUAUUUUCUCAUAAAUAAUCUUACAAAAUCUUAGUACAAACUUUAGCCUUAAAUGAUACAAAAUAAACUAGGAUUGAAUGGUGCACUAAUGAUAUGUAAGUUUUAAAACAAUGUGUACAAAAAACACUCCCCUAAAGCUCAAAUAUAUUCGAGAAAGGUUUAAGAAGGUUAAACUCUUGAAACAAUAAAUAUUGAAACCUUUUUAUAGAAGAGAAAAACCAAACUACCUGUUGGGGAUUCGUUCGAUCAAGCUCUGGUUCGACCAGUUCACUAGCCUUUAGCAUUUAAUGUAUGAUAGGUGACCAUUGGACCUUGACUACCCCUUGAUUGGUACUCGACCGGAUGAAGUUCAACCUUGAUUGAUCGAAUAAGCAUUCUGGAAGAGAGAUAAGGUUUUUGCACCUUUCAACCGAGUAAGCUGAAUAGGUCGACUAAUUUCUCAUUCGAUUCAACCGAUUGAGUCAUUUUUUGCUCAACAACUAUUAUUUUCAACUUAAAACCUUUUAAACAAGUUUGGAAAGCAUUUGACAUAAGGUUUUAGUUGAAAACAUGAAAUCAUCCAAUUUUUAAAAGAUUUAAAACAAAAUAACUCUUGAAUGAUUUUGGUGUAUAAGUAAAGAAUGUAAUGCAUGAAAAACCCAAUGCACCAACAACCUUACAAAGAGAUCCUAUGAGUCUUAGGUCUUGAAAAACACUUAUCUUUAAGGUCUUCUUCUUCUUAUUGAUUUUAUCUUUGUGAUUGCCACUUUGGAAAUCAUCUUGCCUAGUCACACUUAAAAUAUAAUCAUUAGUUCUAAAUCUUGUUUUGUUAUCAUCAAAACUAAGAUUAACCAAACCUUGGUUUCACAAUAUGAAUAUUGUAUCUCUAGAUCUAUAGUUAAUAGUGGUUUUUAUAGUCAUUUGUUUCCAUUGCGAUAAAUUUAGAGAAGCUUAGGGAUAGAUGAAUGCACCCUAUGAGAUCUAGGGCAUAGGAAUGGAGUAAUCCGGGGUUCCUAACAUAGUUUAGGCUUGUGCUUCAUGGAGUGAUAACAAUUCUUCAAGCAUAGUUAUGCUUUAGAAAUUUGUUAUUGAUUGGUCCAAUUUUUAGACCAUCUUCAGCAACAAUCUUGUGUGCACCAUUGAUAUAAUCUUGUUAUACAAAAUAUGAUCUAUCACAUUUUUGGCAAGAACUUUCCACUGGUUUUGUGCAUGGUAAUGAUCAUGCAUGCAAACUUAACUAAGUUAUACACUAGAUGCCAAACUACUACAAUUCUUAUACACCUUCCCGUUUUGUGCAACUGAACAAUUCAACAUCAUAACACCAAAGUUCUUGCUUAGAUUUCCUACAGUGCUAAAAUUUUGAAAUGAUUAAUUUGUUUAUUUUUCUUUCAAUCCCAAGACCCACAUACAUCAUGUCAUGCCCUAAGACCCACUCUAAGGGCAUGACAAUCAUUUCACAUCUCAAGGUCGAAAGCUCAAAGUGUAAAUUGACCUUAACAUUCAUUUUGUAACUGGAAAAUUAUCAAUUACCAAAUUCAUAUUUAUAGUAGUAGAAUAAAAUUCUACAAGUUUCAAAUCUCAACUUUAAAGUUAACACAUCAACUAAAGUGUUAUUGUCCAAACAACUUCAAACUUAACAAUUCAAGCAAUCAUUAAAUUCUAACUUUCAAAAAAUAUUUUUUAAAAAUAAAGAUUUAACGAAAAGUCUUAGUAUUGCCAAAAUCUCAUCCUAACCUUCACUCCUAGCCUGAAUUAAGGUGCCUAAAAAAUUGUCAAUGAAAGGAAAUGAGAUCAACGCUCAAUAAGGAAUAUUAAUAAGGUUUCAUGGAUCAAACAUUUUUAAUUAUAAUUCCAAAUAGGAGAUAUAAUAUAUAAUCAUUUUCAUAAGAAAUUUUGAGUUUAAAUAUAAUAAUAUAUUGAAAACUUUUCAGCUAAACAUUUUCAUAUCUAUGUCAAAACAAUUUCAUAUCAAAUUCAAAUCAAAUAUAUACAAAAUAUUUUUACUUUGGUUAUCAAAUGUCACAUGGUGUCAAGUUAGGUGGGACUUUACAAAUUGGUGUCUAACCUCAAAUUUUUUCCUUUCAAGGUGGACGAAACCAAACACUACUAGUAUUAUUAACAUCUAACCAAAUCCCUAAAGGGUGAGAUCUAAAGCAAUUACAUUCUCCGCCAAGAAAUAUAAGGUCAACAAUUAUAACUCGUUGACUAGGGACAAAAAUAAACUAGAGUCAAACACCUUAUUUCAUUAAUUCAAACUUGCAAAACAAAAACAUCAUAUCUCCAUAAUUUUCAUUUUUUAUAAACAAAAGAAAUGUUCUAACAUAGUUUUUUCAUGAAAAAUAUAUAUUUGAUCCAUGCAUAAAAAUAAAAAUAAUUUUUUUAUUAUUCAAAAUAACAUAUAAAAAUAAAUAUGUUCUUUUGGCCAAAACAUGUAUUAAUUUUUCUUACCUCAAAGAAACACUCAAAGACCUUGAAGCAAUUAAUCCUAAAGAAUUUCACCCCAAAAAACAUAUUUCACACCUUACUAAAAAAAAAAAAACAAAACAAAAAAAUUACUAUUGAUUAUUUAUCUAAUAAUAGUUUUGUAUUUUAUAUCACCUAUAUUAUUUUUAACUUCCUAAUAAAUAACAAUUUAAUAAGCGAUUUUCCAAAUUUUUAAAAGUUAUGUUCUUUCCAAAAUUUAUUCAUAAUAUUCUAUUAUUAUUAUUAUUAAUUAAAUCUCUCAAAAAUAUGUUUUUUCUAUUUAUUGCAUUAAACUAUUAUUAUUAUUAUUCAAUUUCAAUUUGAUUAAUUGGUUUUUUCUUUUAAAUUCCUAAUUUAUAUAAGAUUCUUGUUUUGAAAAUCUUCCAUAUUUACUUAUUUGUUUAAAGUAAAUUUCUCCAAAACUUGUUCCUUUUGGUUAAACAAGUAUCUUUUCCUAUUAUUAUUAUUAUUAUUAUUAUCCCUAAUAUUAUAUUCAAAUAACUAAACAAUAAUAAUUUAAAUUAGUGAGUUUCCAAAUUUUUAUAAAACUCAUAUUCAUUCUAAAUCUUAUCAUAUAUAUCAAUUUCUUUUAUAUACUUAAAUUAAAUUAAAAAAUUUACUUAAAAAAUAUAUAUAUUAUAUUAUUACUUUCAACAUCCUUCUACCACCCAAACAAUUACUUCAAGUAAAAGUCAUAUAUCCUUAUUCUACUAACUAUCCUCUCUCUUGCAAUAGCACACUUAGGGAUGGCAAUGGGGUGGGUUCGGGAUGGAUCGCCCCUAUCCCAACUCCUCCCCAUUUAUUCAAAAUAAUUUUCAUCCUCGUCCCAUUUAAAAAAUUAAAUGAGGCAGGGCGAGUAUGAUAAAUUCUCAUAUUCGCCUCGCCCCGCCCCGUUUAACUCUUUUUUGAAUUUUUUUUUAAAAUUACUUUAAAAAUUUUUAAUUACAUUAAAAUAAAUAUAUUUUAUAAAUAAUUAAAUUAUUAUAUUUUUUAUAACUUAUUUUAUUAAAAAUAUUUUAUUAUUAUCUAUAUAUUAAAAAUAGUAAAAUAAAAAUUAAAUUAAAUUAAUUUUAUAUAUAAUUGGGGUGGGACGGGAUGAGGCAAUACCCAAACCUGCUCCGGGUUUUAAAAAAAAUUCUCAAACCUAUCCCAAACCCGUUUAUUAAAAUUAAAUCUCGUCUCAUUAGGGACGAGGCGAGUACCUGAAAAAACCUGCCUCAUUGCCAUCCCUAGGCAAACUUUCAUUUUUUUUUUUUUUUUUAUCUUUUUCCUCCUUAAGAUCAAUCCUAUUGUAAGCACCCUUUUUUUUUCUACCACAUCUUGUUGCAAGCAACCUUGUAAGUUUUUUUAAUUUAAAUUUUUUUUCCACUAUGGAGGCACGUACAACCAUAAAACCUCCUCUUUUUUUUAUUUUAUUUUUACAACUCUCAAAUCUCUCAACCUCCAUACUAUUAGGUUUUAUUCAUUUAUUUAUUAUUAUUAUUAUUAUUAUUAUUAUUCCAUAUCCAAAACUAUAAUUAAUUUUCUUUUAUAUUUUUUUAUUUUAGAUCUAUUAAUUUGAAUAUUCGAAAUUUUCUAAUCUUACUAAUAACUCUAAACGUUCAAAACUAAUUAAUGAAUAUAAAAUAUUAAUCUAAGGAUUAAAAUCUUAUAUAGAAAAUUGAUCUUUAAAUCCUAAACUCCCAAAUUUUCAACCUUACGUUGCCCUAUGUUGUCCAAUCUCUUAGAUCUCCAUGUAAAAGGGUUUUUUUUUUUAAUAGAGUAAAUAAGAAAAAUUUAAUUUAUACCUAAAAUUUUAAAAUGGAGAAAAAUCUUUCUACCCUUAUUAAUUUAAUUAAUUUUUUUAAAUUAUGUUUUUACCCUUGAAUUGGGUCUGGGCAUCACACAUCAUACUAAAAAGUUAUCAAUAACCAUCCUUUGAGGCACAUUAGCAUAAAUUUGCGACUUUAGUUGUGUUCUAGGUGCAAUUCUAUUAUGUUUAAUUGAAAAAUAACACCCAUAGCACAACCAAGCCUAAUUGACAGCAUUUGGGCAAAUAAAUGGUAAAUUUCUAAAAGUUCACCAAAAAAAAAAAAAAACAAAAAAGAUCAUAAAGGGCAUAUUUUUCAAGUCAACCUAGUUUUGGGAUAUUGCAAUCCAAUCUAAGAAUGCAAUAAUAGCUCUUUAAUUCAUAAUUUUAAAUUCACAAAAGAUAUCACCUAAAAUUACUAUAGGUUACCAAAACAUCAACAACAUAUAGAAAGCUUAGAAAUGCUUGGAACCUAUCGAAUUUUCACUUUUUAGGAAUAAAAAAAAAAUGAACUUUAAGGAUUUUAGGGUAAUACUUGCUUGAACCAUCUUUCAAUCCUUUUGUUGGCGGUGGGCCUUUUACCUAUAAGAACAGGAAUGAGAGGUGAAAAGGAGGGAGCCUUAUGAAAACGGAUCCCUAGGGCUUAAGAAGGGGUUUUCAAUUUUAGGGUUUGUCUGUUCACCAAGGAUGUGAAUGGGAAGAUGAGGUGAAGUUAAGAGAUUGGUGAAGCAAAGUGAGGGCAUGGUAGGGUUUGAAUAAGGGAAAGUCUACACUAUUAAUGAAGAUGAUAAUCUUUAGAAAGCAAAGCUAAGGUAAACUAGGGCUUUAACAACAAUUUUCGAUCUACACUAGUGAAGACGAUAUCUUCGAAAACCAAAGCUAAGGCAAGCUAGGGCUUUAAUAACGAAUUUCAAUCUACAAUGGUGAAGAUGAUAAUCUUCGAAAACCAAAUCUAUAAUGGUGAAGAUGAUUAAAAACUAAAUCUAUAUUGGUAAAGACGAUUGGAAAGCAAAUCUACACUAGUGAAGUCAACGAAACCAAAGGUAGGUAAAAAUAAUAAUAAUAAUAAUGCAUUCUUAGAUCCAAAUCACCAUUUCCAACAUGGUAUUUGGAUUUCCACCUUGUAUUUUUUGUUUUUAAUUUUUUCAAUAAUCAAGGACAUUUUAGGGAUUAUUAAGUGACAAUAUUCUUCAACUCAAUUUCCCACAUUAGUUAGGUGUAAGGCUCAAAUGUGAAACUCAUAUAGAUGUUAGGCCAAUCAUCAAACUCAUUUGCCUUGAAGCAUAAUUUCCCCUUUUUAAAAUAGUUGUUAAACAUCUAUCCCCAACACUUGUAACCCUUUGAAGUGCUUGUAUGUUAACCUUGUUUCCUUUUUCUCAUGAAACAUGGCUUAUUGAUUGUUGCAUUGAGUCAUUAUCAUUCACCAAAUCCAUGCAACUAUGAACUACCUUUCAAAUCCCUCGAACAUAAAUGGUAAUUCCAAAACAACUCAAGUAUAAUCUUUCCAAGCCCUUCAAAUGAUUUAAUUAAUUGAUGUUUGAAUAUACUUCAUAUAUUUUUUUAGAGCAAUUUUUUAGGCAUAUAACAUAAAUCUCUAAUUUCAUUUUAUUUUUUUUAUAAAAGGUUUUAUAUUUUAUAUUACAAUUUCCUCUCUUUUUUUUCAUCUAAAAAAAAAAACAUAAAACCUUCGUAAACGAGUUUUGUCACAAUCCCUUAACAGGUAAUCUAUUUUUAAAAAUUACUUUAACAUUUUUAGAUAUAUUGAUUCAGUCUAAUUUAAUUUUAAUAUUUUUUAUAAAAUAUUUUUAUUUUAUAUGAUUAUAAAUUAAUUACUAUUGAUUGCAUAUUAUAGAAUAUAUAUUCUAAAAUAUAUCCUAUUCACAAUAAUAUCAUAAGAUAUUAUAUCCAUAUCCUAACAUAUUAUAUACUUUUAUUUUGUGCAAUUAGCAACAGGGUGGAAGACGGCUUAGGCGGGAGACGGCUUAACGGAAAUGCCGUCUGCCAUGCGUGUCCCUUCCCUUAGUGAGUCUGAACAGCUCCAACAUUUCCGACACGCCCUUCUUCGCUUAGCUCUUAAGUAUUUUCGUCCCGUUUUCAUUAACCCCAUCACAUUUCGCCAUGUGGAUCUAAGCCUCAUGGUCCUUUCGUUCGUACGAUGAAUAUUCCCCCAAUUCCUUAUCUACACUAAACCUCCAUACUCGCCAUCUACUCAACCACUUCUCUACUCUAGAGUCUGGAUCCUUUAUCUCUGCACGUGUCUAUGGCUCUUCACCCCAGCAAGUAUGGCAUUACAAGGGCAAUAUCGUCAUUAAAGACCCAAAAGGCAAACGAAUGGCAUUAUCUCCCUUUUGGGUCUAUUCUAUUUAUAUUGUAAGUUUUUCGUGAUGACUUCUCUCAUAACAGCUAAAAACCACUCCAACAGAGCACACUUCACUUCUUCGUUUUUGUCUUUCCUCUUUUUUUUUUUUAGAGAAGCUGAGAAAGCCCAGCUCGCCCUCAACUCCCCGAUGGGUUUGAUGAAUGUUCUCAAAUUCUCAGCUGCAUGCUUUGAUCUUCUUGGUUGGUAUGUUGUCUACGCAUUUUCUCGUCAUUGGAAAAUUUUGGAAAAUGAAGUGGAAUUCUAUGUUUGAGGAGAAACUGGGAUUUGCUUUGAUUUCUCCAUGUUGGUUUUAUCCCUUUUGUUUGAAUUGUCCAGAUUCUUGUCAUUGAUUGUUAGUUAUUUGUUUGGAUUUCUACUUGCAGGCCUCUGUUUGCACUGGGUUAUCCUCUGUAAGUCUUGGUCUUACACCCCAAGAUAUGAUGGUUCAUUUACUCUUUUCUUGUUCUAUGAAUUCUUAGUUCAGUUACAUUUAUUGGGUUGGGAAACUGAAAAGGGAAAGGAUUAUUAGUUAUUAUCAUAAUAAUCAUCAAUAUCAUCUCGGUUCUUCACAGAUGUGCUUCAAUUCGGGCAAUUGAGACUAACUCAAUCUCAGACGUUCGGAAGUUGGUGGCGUAUUGGGUUCUAUUUUCCUUGAUUUCACUCUUUGAUCAUACUUUUGCCAAGCUCCUUGAAUGGUAAUUUUGCUCAACUUCAUUCUUUGCCCUUCAGGAAUUUGGAGUUGCUUUUUUCAGUUUUCUUCCUUGUGACAAUAAUCGAGAUGUUUAAUGUUCCAGGCCUCCAUGUAUUUUAUUUUCCUUCACUUCUCUGCUUUGAAAAAUGCCCACAAUCUGAUCAACAGAAAGGUUAUAACAUUUGAAAAAGAAAUGCUUUGUUUUGGUUUUUUAAGUGCAACAAUUUUCAUUUGGAGAAAUGAUCUAAAGGGUAUUGGUGUUUGGCCGAAUUCAUGGAAUUUUCUCGCUAAUUUGGGAUUUAUUCUCAAUUUCAAGAUCACUGUGGAUAUUUCAGAAAUUAAUGAAAUAUAUAUGAUGGAAUGUGAUUUUCUUGUUUAAGAAAAGUUUUUCUUUGAAAAUGUGGGUGACCCCAACCUACCUUAUUGUACUACUUGGAACACAAAACAAAAGUUUUUCUCGCUAAUUUAUUAACUAAAUUGCACACUUUUUGAUAGUUCAAGGAAGUGGUGUCAGCUUUGGAAAUAAGAUGGAUGAUUGUAGGGAACUUUAUUUCUCAUCUUUAUAGGGAACUUUCCAUAAUAUAGCUUAUAAAUAUCAUAAUCACAGUGAUGAAUGAUUGUCUUGUUUGAAAGCAUGGUUGCACUUAUUUCCAGGGAAUUUGUCUGCGUUGAAAUUAAAUUAAGCUUUAUGCAUCAUUUGGAUGCUGGGAAACAAAUGGAAAUAGAAAAUUCAGAAUCUGACAAGUUUGUGUAGGGCAACUGGAUCUAAUCUCUUAGUCGAAGCUUAAUAGGGGCAAAUGCUGAUCAUCUUUGAACCUAUUGAAGGCUCUAAUCUGUGCACAAUUCUAAUGUUUUUGUUUUCUUCAUUUCUUUUUCAACUUUUCAUAAUAGAUGUCAAAAGUUAAAACCGAACUUACGUAGUCCAUCCAAGUGGAUGCAUAUAAAUUUAACAGAAACUGAAAUUUGAAGAAAUUUAUUUUCCCUUUUGUAAAUGGUGUUUAAAAAGUCUGUGUGUAGUUUGGUUUUUUUCCUGGAAGAUCAGAUGAUUUCGUGAUCAUUUUUUCUAUUUGCCUUAUCAUCAUGAGAUUUAAGUAUUUUUUUUAAAAAAAUAUUUUAUUUUCUUAUAUAAUGCAUGUCAGGAUACCAUUCUGGCCUUACAUAAAGCUGAUGGUCAUCUGCUGGCUGGUGAUACCGCAUUUUGAUGGUUCCUAUUAUAUCUAUCAAUAC
rnacentral:lncRNA from 1 species